AAUCAUCCACUUCUUCUCUUCUUUGAACUCAAAGUCCCAGUUAAUAUUAGAAUCAUGGGUGUUGUCACUUAUGACUAUGAGUCUACCUCCCCAGUCGCCCCUUCCAGGCUUUUCAAGGCCUUUACUGUUGAAGCUCCGAAAGUUUGGCCCACGGCUGCACCUAAUGCAGUCAAGAGUAUUGAGGUUGAAGCUAAUCCUAGCUCUGGAAGUAUCGUAAAAAUCAACUUUGUUGAAGGUUAGUUCUUUCAUUGGCCUUUUUGUAGUCUGUUUUACACGAGUAUGUUGGAUAACAAGUAUUUAUUUGUUUAGGCCUUCCAUUCCAAUAUAUGAAGCACCAGAUAGGAGGACAUGAUGAAAAUAAUUUUUCAUACAGUUACGAUUUAAUCGAAGGUGGGCCUUUGGGGGACAAACUUGAAAAAAUCAGCUAUGAGAACAAGUUUGAGGCAGCUGCAGGUGGAGGAAGUAUUUGCAAGAGCUCAAUGAAAUUCUACACUGUUGGCGAUAAUGUAAUCACUGAAGAUGAAAUCAAGGCUCUCAUUAAGGGAAGUGAGGGAGUUUACAAGCCUGUUGAAGCUUAUCUAUUGGCUAAUCCUGAAUCCUGCAACUAGGAUAUUGGUUGCUUUGAAUUCUGAUUCUUGGUUUUAAAGAGUGGUCAUUGCUUUUAAUGGUGUGUUUUUUAUAUUUUCUUUUUCCUUUUAAAACCUAAAUUGUCUUCUAAUUAUUUACAUAAGAGUGGUGGUGAUCGAGCUUUUGUCAUCUUUAUUUUCAUUACAGUCAAAGAAUUUGGGUUGUCUUUGACAUAUAUAGAAAUAAAAUAAACAAAUAAACUCAAAAAAAAAAAAAAGGUUUUACCUGGUAUAUUGAUGAGUGAAAAUUCACAAUCCAUAUUAGAGAUGUGCAUUCGGUGGUUGGAACGAUUUGAUUAUUUUAUAACAAUAAUCGAAUAAUUAAAAAAUUUUACUGCAAUUGAAUUAAUCGAACCAAACUUAAAAAGGUAAAAAUGAAACAACCGAACUGAAUUUAGUCAAUUCGAUUAGAUUUAGUUAAUCGAUUUUUGCUUUUUUUUGGUUUUUAACUUAGUUGAACUCCACCGAUCCAAAAAUUCUUCACUGUUCGUGUCGGCAUGUUUGUUCCUCACAGAAUAGGAGCAAACAGUAGCCGCCUUACCUUUUGCUAUAAAAAGGAUUUUAGCCUUUGCUUUCAAAAUCAUCCCAAUCUCUCCAAGAAAGUGUGUAUACUUUAGUAUACAGUUGGGUAAUUCCUUUAAUUAAGGAUUUCAUUAGUUUGUAAUCUUUUUAUUAUUAGUGAAGUUAUCAUUAGAUAUUGGAUUUUGAGGAUGUAGAUAAUUGGUUGAAUUUCAUAAAUUUGGUGUGUUCUCUUAUCUAUUAUCUUAUUUAUAUUUAUUGAUUUUUUCUAUCGUUUUUGAUAUUCAAUAGUAACUUGUCGGGUUAAUAUAUAAUGUUUAGGAGGUGAGAAAAAGUCGAUAGAAAUCGAUCGAACCAACCAAAAUUCAUUUUUCUAAAUUAGUUUAGUUGGUUUCGAGUUUAACUCGGUUACAUUAGGUGAUUAACUCAAGGUAAUGUCGACUCGAUUUCAGUUUUAAAAUUCAAAACUAUUUUAAUCAAUGACACUGACUUUACGUAUAAAAAUAUAAUAUAUUUAAUUAUACCCAAACCCAAUAUGCCAUUUACCAACCCAAUCUCAAUCCAAGCCAAAAUUAAAUUGAAAAUUUCAAAUACCCAAACCCAAUAAAAAUAAAAUAAUAAUUUAAAAUUAAAAAUUUAAUAAAAACUAAAAAUGUAAUAAUAAUUAAAAAACAUUAAACAAAAAAAACUAAUAAUUCUAACUUUCUAACCCUAAAACCUAAUUUCCCAAAACCAAAAAAGAAAAAUCUUACCUUUGUUGUAGCCCACAGUCAUUCCCCUGACCCUGUGUUUCACCUUUGUAACGAUCUGAAUUUCAGUGGUGUAAGAAAAUACAAUUUUAAAAUCUCAUUUUCGUAAACUGGGUCCGUAAGGGCAAAAAAUAAAAAUUUAGGAAGUUAGUAUGAAAAUAGAUAGAAACUUUGUUAAGUAAUUUAACCGAUAAAUUGGUUAAUUAAAGUUCAAUGACUAAAUUGUAAAAGUUCAAUAAAUUGUAAAAGUUCAAUUGAUAUUGAGUUUGUAACACCCCAUACCCGACCCGAUCGUCGGAUCUGAACUAUAAGGUGCUACACUUCAUUAACUAUUACCUAAAACGCUCCUUUUUAGUAAUACAAUAACUCAAAUUUAUAAUGCUAACUCUUACAUACAAAUCUUUAAUUUAGUACUCUUCAGAUGCUGAGUGAAGACAAAUAGACAUUUGCAACCUAGAUAAAUAAGGGAUUUACUACCAUGUUAAGACACAUAAGGAACAAUUUCACUGGAAGUUCCAUUAUAUUGAACUAAUUUAGUGACUUGAAAAUUUGAAAUUGAUUUUUAGUCUUGGUUACAACUUGACUCAGACCCUAAGACUCUGCCUUAGGUUGCCUCGUUGUAUGCACAUUGCUAUGACCACAAAAUAAGUUGCCUGAUCUUGGUAAAUUCUGGUCUGGUCACUUAUUGAUUUCUAGAAACAACUACUAAACCUGCAAUUCAUAGAAACACAACUGUAAUUUCGAUUGAACCUAGUGAGUGGUCCAUACUUGGCAUCAGCAUAGCACAAAUGAACUACUAUUUGAACAUUUGGAAACCACAUGACUUUCCUUGUGAAGAAUACAUCCAUCAAAUCCUGUUGGUGUGGACUUGACUGUGUAACGUUUCAUUGAUGAGAUCUUAACGAUGUAUGAUAAAGAAUACCUAGAUAGAAAUGUUAGUAUGUUGGCAAGUAAUUCCACAAAUCCUUUCUUUAAUGAUUUUCCUUGAGGACCUUUUCAUAGUUCUUCAAAAAAAUACUUUCUACGAAUUCUCACUUGUGUACUCAAGAAAGAUACUCAUGCAUCUAUCUUGUGUUAUAACUACGUUGAAGAAUAGAUCAUAAAGAAUGCCUUCCACUAUGAACCAUUAUUAGUGCUUGAUCUAACGGGCUCUAGUAGGUGGAUCUACUUUCAACUACAUAGUCAGAUACCAAUGUUUCAAACAGUAUCUUGAACACAAUACUUACUUAGAUAAACAAUUCCUUCAUUUUGGAAGUAUAGGAAAAUACCUUUGUAUCGUCCCCCCAAAGAACCUGGCGAACUGUUAUAUAUAUAAUAUGAAUUCCAUACAAUUUGCUUGUAUAGUAGGUUCAAGCGUAGCAUGUGCUACUAGCACACAGACUCAUUCUUGGCGUACCUAUAAAAUUAGAUUCGAAUCCCCGAAUGAACCUGCAAGCUCUCACCAAAGUGAAUUCCAUAACUACUGUAGAUACAAAACUAUAAGGAUAAGUCAAAAAAUAGUCAUAACUUGUAUCAGACUCACUUUAUUUGCUAGCACAGGCACAAUAGCCUUCUCAUAAUAGUAGAUCACCUUUUUGUGGACUCAUACAAAAGACAUUGUGUAAAAUCAUAUUUACAAGAUAGUUCUAGCAAACUUUCCUUAUAUUACAUAGUCCUCACGAACUUUCACAAAAGAUAGUCCUUAUAGACUUCCAUAAAAGAUAGUCUUGGAUGACUUUCCAUAUAUUAGAUAGUCCUCAUGGGCUUCUACAUAUACAGUAUUGUCAUGGCCAUGGUCUUCCAUUGUCCCAUAAAGGGUUCUCAAAUGUCCCAUACAAGGGGCUCUCAUAUAUUGGUGCACACUAUUCUUCGUACCAUUUAAAAACUCCAUUCUUGGCUCAAUCCAAUCGAACCUCCCUCAAAGCCACAUAAAUAGUAUGCACAUGAAAUCCCUUGUAUGACCAUUCGAACAUCCUCAAAGCCACAUAAAUAGUAUGCAUCACAUACACGAACCCUCAACCAAUAAUUACUAUUUAUCACAUACCAGUCAUUUUAUUGAUUCAUCAUAAGCAUACUUACUACCGAUCAAUCAUAUCAAUUCAAUACGUAACAAUGCGUCAUACCAAACCUUUCAUUUACUUAACAUAGUUAACUCACAAUCAUUUGCGAAAUUGCAUAUCGUAACACAUACAAUCACCAUACAUCAUUAAUUCCUCAUAACAUAAUCAUAAUUUGUAAGCUCAUCACACACUGCAUGCAACAAGACACCUCUACUUACAGUCAUAGAAUGACUUGUCAUUUACAUAACACUAAAUUAGCCUUUUUUAGCACACAAUAUUCAAAUAGGAACAUCCAUUUAAGAUCUGAGUACUGGGACUUACUUGGAAGUUAUCGCCAAAUCCAUCUUUUAAGUCUUUUCCCCUUGUUACACGAGCUUCCUUAGUUAAUACAACACAACAACCAUUUCAGAAUCCAAUAAGACCAUUCAUUAUCAUAAAAACUCUAAUUUUUUUGCAUGCAGAGACUAUUUAAAUGAUUAUUCGUCUCUUUACCCAAAACAAAACAAAAAGAAUAGUCAACUUAAAUCCUUAACUCACUUCUUUUUCUUAAACCCGCUAAUGUAGAGAGAUUAGAAAACUUACCAGCAUGCAAGAUUUCCAAUUUCUAAAACUUAAUCCUCAGUCUCUCCCCUUUGUGCACGAACGUUCCUUAAUCUUUCUCUCUUCUAUGGCAAACCAAAGAAAAUAAGAAAAACAAAGAAAAUAAAAGAACAUCCACAGAGAAUAAUGCCCCUCCUAUAUAUCAGACUGAGGGUGGAGUGUUACAUACUUCAUGGCAAUAAAACUAUUAUAGAGCUUUCUAGAAGUUUAAGUUGACAAGGUUCCCCAAUCUAUGAACACGAAGGCUAAUUUUUUGUCUCGAGUUGCAUCUAUUGUGGGAUUCCAAGAAAGGGAUAAAAUCUUACUAGAGCAUAAAAAAAGUCCCCAUUUCACAUUCAGUAGGACAAGUUUUCAACAUAGACUUUGGAAAUACAUGGAUGACACCAUUAGUGGAGUUCUUAUCCAGUGAUUCAACACCUUUGAUCCUAAGGAACUUGAUUGCAUUUCUUUCCUAGCCUCUUAGUGCACACUUAUUGAUAGAGUUAUCUAUAAUAAAGCUUUCCUCCAUUCUCUUUUGAGUUGCCUAUAGCCUUUUGAAGUAGUGUGUGUGAUACGGGAGGCUUAUGAGCGCAUUUGUGGGCACCGUCUAGAUGAAGGGCCUUGGCCUAGAAAGUUUUGCAGUAGUGAUUGAGACGAAAUGAAUGUGUGGAUGAGUGAGGAAUAGGAUUGUAAGUUUGCCCAAGUUGUGGAUUUCACUUAAGGCUCUAGACAAUCGAAAAUAAACUUGGAUUUCGACACAACCUAAAAUAGAAACAAAUCCAAGUUAGAUCUAAGAAUAUAGAUAUUAAAAGAAGUAAUUAAAAUAGAUAAUCAAGAUAAAAACAAUAAAAUAAAUCAAAGAUUUGAAUAAUUAAAUAGGAACAAAAUAAGAUAAAGAAGAAAAUAAAACAGAUAUAUGGAAAAGAUGAAAAUGGUGUGUAGAAGUCGUAAGGAGCCUUGAAAACCUGAUGAAUCCACAACCCCCUUCGAUUGGCAGUAAUUUUCCCUCCAAGAAAGAAAAUUUGGCAAGAAAAUGCUUGAAGAUGAUCCCCAUAAUCUGAAUAGAUUGUUAAAACUUCUCUAAAAGAAAACUGAAGAGAAAUUCUUAAAAAGAAAACUCAAAGAGAAUUUUAUUAAGUCAAAGUGAAUAAUGAAUGAAUUCAUUGUUGUACAAUGCAAAGUCCUUUAUAUAGGCUAGUUAAAUAAAUCUAAAUAAAAAUCUCAAGUAUACUAGAACUCUAAUUAACCGAAACAAGAAGUAGUUUUAAACUAAACUUUCUUGUUGAUAUAAAACUCCUAAAUAACUUAAAAUAUUUAAUAAUUAUAAAAAAAUUGGAAUAAAAAAUAAUAAAAUAAUAAGAGAAGAUAAAUAGAAUAUUGGGCUCAUAUAUAAUAAAAAUUAAGCUUAAAACCCAAAACCAAUAUGAUGUAAACUCGAAUUAAAAGCCUGAAACUCGUAAUUUCAGUAAUAAUCCCGUAGAGAAAUUCUACUAAUGCAGUUUUCACUAAAACAAUCAUAACUUGAGUUCCCGAAAUCGAAAUCAAGUGAUUCAAAGUGUGUGUCGAAGCUCAAAGAUAUAUCUUAGAAUGCUAUGAAGACAUAUUAAUCUAGAAUGUCUAGAACCCAUCCAAAAAUUUGUCACAAGUUGACUAAUCUUUUCAUCUUUAAAAUUGAUAGCUUGGCUAAAUUGACUUUAAUAGAUUUCACCCAUUCCGAGCAUGUAUCAUUCCUCGUUGCCUCGAAAAGUUUAUACUCACUUACUGACUUUAACCGAAACUUGGUUUGAUUUGGUUGACCUUUGAUCUUGUUGUUGAGCCUUGAGGUAGUGUAAGCCCAUCACAUCUAUCGAUUUGAAAGUUGACAUUUAGACUUGUUUUAUUCCCCCAUUCCUCAAGAAGAUUUGUCCUCGAAUCUUUAGUUGUAUAAAAAAAAGGAAUUAGAAUUAAUAACAAUAAAAGUAAACAAAUAAUUACAUAAUCUUUCCUGUGCACCAAAACUAUCUCUAAGAUCAAAGAUAUGAUUUUUAUCUCCCAAAUUAGCAUGGAUCAAGUACCUCUCCUCCAAAAAUAAACCAUCAACACUAAAAAUAUAAAUAUUAGGCACAUGAGUGUUCAAGUAUAAAAUAAUUUGUAACUUUAUUUGAAUAUGUAUGGUCAUCCAUAAUAAAUUCUAAAGAUUAGUUAAUAAUUUCACAUAAUAAUCAAAAUCCAGAAGUUUAAUUUUAUUAUGUAAAACAUCAUAUUUAAAGUCUAAGGUAGAAAAUUUUGCUACAAGAUCAAAUGCAUAAAGUUCUUUAAUAAACCUAUCGAAUGCAACAAAAGUAACCUUUACAAACCUAGAUAAACCCAUAAAAUCAAUUGAACUUUCAAACCAUAGUUUAUUGAAACUUGACCAAUGAGAAAACAUGUUGUAAGGAAAUAUUUUACAAACAAAAUCAGUAAUAUGCUUAUUAAAAACAUUCAAGGUAUGCCUUCUUAAAUCAGAAUGUUUCCUUACCUUUCUUACCUUGUAGCAUUUGUGGAGAAUUAUCAAUGUUUAACUUACCUCUCUCCCAUAAGGAAAAUCGUCUAUCGAUGGUAUAAUAAUAUAAUUGGAAGUCUGUCAAUGGAUCUCGAAAACCCAAAAAAUUGCGGAGCAACUUGACAAAAUUUGUUCGAGGUGUUCCCAAUUUCCAAAUAUCAUGAAAUUUAAACUAGAACCUUUCCAAAUAACAAAAAUCUGAUUUGGAAAUUUUGGCAUGAAAUUCAACCUAAAGAAUAAUUUUUUAUUGUUUAUUUUUCUUUUAUGUUUAUGUUUUUCCUCUUUUUUGAUCACUUUUUUUGUGGAAAAUAUUUUUUAAUAUUCUAAAAGAGUGCUAAGAAUCAGCAUGUAAAAUUUUAGAUCUUUUGAAAAAUGUUUAGCAAUUUAAAAAUAAUUUUUUCCAAAAAGUUUUUGCGUAAAAACAAAAACUCUUUUGAGACUAUUUGCUGGAAAUCAAUUUAUAAGAACACAAAGAACAUCUAAAAUGCCCAAGAAUCUGAUACCAAAUGAUAAGGUGACGGGGGACAUGAUCGUAAGUUUGUUCAAGUCACGGAUUUGACUUAGGGCUCUAGACGUUCGAAAAGAAACAUGAAUUUUGGCACAACCUGAAACACAAUGAAUCCAAGUCAAAUAAAAAAAUAAAUGAAAAUAAUUGUGUAACACCCCAAAGCCGGCCUAGGAGUUAUGGCCGUAUUAGUGUGUCACAUUGAAGUGUUUUUCGAAAAAUUGGACUCAUUGAAAAAAAACUUGUUUCUAAGUUUAAAAUAAAUAAGCAAAAGCCCAAUUAAAAAUAUAAGCUACUUAAAGGCCUUAUUACAAAAAUAAAACCCAGCAUAAAAUUAAAUAAAAAUUAAAGUAAAUUUUAAACAGCAGCAGUUGUGUGGUCACCUCUAAGUCUCUUGCAGCAUUGAAUUGCCUAAGGCUUAUGAUUACUUGCACAGUCAGAAGAGAGGGUGAGUUUACGAAAACUCAGUGUGUAAUCCUCUACCAAACAAUCAGCAUACAACAUGCAGAAUCAGUCUGGGCUUAAGCCUUAUACAGUAACAGUGUGUGGGCCAUAGCCCAAUAUAAUAAUAGAGAGUGGGCCUUAGCCCAAUACUGUAACAAAGUGUGGGCCUUAGCCCAAUAUAGUAACAAGGCAAAUGCAGUAAUGCAACCCAUCCCAAUCAAGCCAACACACCACUCCGUACCACCAACACACCAUGUGGGGAUAAAAUCGACCCACCCAACCAACACACCAAUAUCGCAGCAAAGCUGCCAGUAAUAGUAACGCAGCAAAGCUGCUAGUAAUAGUAAUGCAGCAGAGCUGCCAGUAUCAGUAACGCAACAAAGCUACCAAUAACAUUAUUUGUGGCAAAGACACCAGUACAAUACACUUCCCCUAUAUCAGAAUCCCAACCCCAUGCAGUAUGUCAUGUCAUAAAUCAUACGUGUAUGCAGUAUGUCAUACUCAGUAACAGUUAUAUAUAUAUAUCAUAAAACAAGUCAUUCAUACACACAUUUCAAUUCUUAGGAGCAUAACAGUCAUUUUACCCUAUGGGGGUGUUUUAGUCAUUUUACCCUUCGAGGGUAUUUCAGUCAUUUUACCUUUUAAGUGUAUUUCGAUCAUUUUAUCCUUCGAGGGUAUUUUAGUAAUUUUACCCUUCGGGGGUAUUUUAAUAAUUUUACCGUUCGAGGGUAUUUCAGUAAUUUUACCCUUCGGGGGUAUUUCGAUAAUUUUACUCUUCGAGGGUAUUUCAAUAAUUUUACUCAUCGAGGGUAUUUUGAUAAUUUUACUCAUCGAGGGUAUUUCGAUAAUUUUACCCAUCGAGGGUAUUUCGGUAAUUUUCCCAUGAAUCGGACGUAGGGCUCACCAAUCGAGCGAUUGCAUGCCCGUGUGGUCUCAAACGUCAUGUUCACGGCUUUUCGGCUUUUACCGAUUUGCAGUUAAGUGAGGGUAUGAUUACACACCUGAUUGAGAAGGCGCACCUAAGUCUGCAAACACCUAAAAUCUGCAUUCAAACACGUUUUCCAUUAGACACUAAACAAGAAAGACUAAUCACCUUCUAAACAUCCUUGAUCAAAACAAGAAUGGUUUAGCCACUUGCAAACGAUGUCGACUGGUUCAAUCUUGCUAACAGAUAUCUGCAAUGCUACUACACAUUAAUCGGUAUUGCUUAUUCAUGUGGUUGAAAUCCAUAAAUAAUCAAAUACAGAACCAAGAACAUUCGGCCUUCAUAUGAGAAUACUAGCCUACCUACCUUGGUCGAGGGAUAAGAGGAUGAUUUCAACGAAUUUACAACGCUUACACCGUACCACUUCUCGAGGAAAAACCUUAAUACCACAAUAGGCAGCACAUUGAGAGAAAAUCAUCAAUAAUAAAAAAUCAAAGUAUUACAGAGGAGGGUAUUCGAUUUUAGGAAGAGAGAAAGAAGGGAACAGUAGCACUUACCGGUAGUUGAUAAUACUUGUAACACAAAAAUAAAAAAGGAGAAAAAGAGAAGUGCAAAGAAGAUUUGGCACAAAAAGAGUAUAAAGGGAAAAGGAUUCGGUAGAUAGGAUACCAAAGAACUAUUCGGCCACUCCAACAAAAGAAUAAAAUGGAAUUAGGAGAAGGCAAAUGAACAAACCCGAGAGGUUCCCAAGAUCUUUUAGGAAAAAUGGCACAGAAAAACCAAAAGGGGAGAAAGAAAAGCCAAACAAAACCGAAACUGACCAAAAUUUCAAUUGUGAAUGAGAGAAUUCUCUUCAAUACAGAAACUUUAGCAGCCAAAAGACCAAUUCGGCACUAGUAACCCCCUAGCCGAAUUUCCUAGAGUGCCAGACUCCAAAAUCUGCACAACUCUUCCACUCAUCAACUCCUCAAUUUUCUCCUCAAAUCUCUCUUGUUAUCACUCCACCGAUUUCUCCUCAACUCCUUCUAUGACCAAUUCAAACUUCCUUUGGCAGCAUUUCACUCCAACUCUGCCACUUACACGACUCAAGUAGCAAUAUAAAUACCCCAUUGCGCAACCCAAGACUUGAACCCCUGACUUCUCAGACACUUCCAAACACUCCUAAAUCACUUAACCACUGAAGCAGACAUUCAUUUAUGUCACUUUCUUUCACAGCUAAAUAUUUAUGUGCAAUCUUCGAACUGUUCCCUUAUUCAAAACCUAUUUCUUCUAGGCCCAAAAUUUGGGGUGUUACAAAUUAAAAUAAAUAACUAUGAUAAAUAAAAUAGAACAAUAAAGAAGAAAAUAAAAAAGAUAGAUGAAAAAGAUGGAACAUGGAGUGUAGAAGUCCUAAGGAGCCUUGGAAACAAGAAGAAUCCAUAACCCCCUUCAAGUGACUCUAAUUUUCCCUCCAAGAAUGAAAACUUGACAAGAAAAAUUUUGAAUAUGAUCUUCACAAUUAGAAAAGAUUGUUAAAAAUCUCCUAAUAGAAAACUCAAGAAAAAUUCUUGAGAAAAGAAAACUCAAAGAGGAUUUAUUAACUAAAAAGAGAAUUUGUUGAAUAAUAAUGAAUUGAUUUGUUGUGUACAAUGCAAAAGCCUUUAUAUAGAUUAGCUAAAUAAAUCUAAAUAAAACUCUUAAAUAUACUAUAACUCUAAUUAACCUAAACAAGAAGUAGUUUUAACUUGAAUUUUGUUGUUGACAUAAAACUCCUAAAUAACUUAAAAUACUUAAAAUUAUAAAAAAAUUAGAAUAAAAAUAAUAAAAUAACAAGAGCUAAUAAAUAUAAUAUUGUGCUUACAUAUAAUAAAAAUUAAGCAUAAAACCCAAAUCCAAUAUGAUUUAAACUCGAAUUAAAAGCCCAAAACUUGUAAUUUCUGUAAUAAUUACUAUUACUUGAUUGUUUAUUACAUGACUAGGCGUGUGGGUUUAAUUGGUAUCCUUGAAAUGAAAUGCCUAGGCUUGUUAACAUCUUCCACAUGGGCUUGUCGUCAUAGAUUGAGAUUUUAGGCCCACAAACAAGAUUGGUCUCUUCUAAUUCAUCCUCGCUCUGUAUUGAACUCCAAAAUCCAUCAUCUUGAAGCUUCAACUCUUUUUCUCAAACUUUUUUGUGAUAAAGUCUUAAACGAAUAAGUUGAGUUUUGACUUUAACUACUUGGAUUUAGAUAUCGUGAUUGGGCAUUGAGGGAAACUAAGUCCAUCUUUAUUAUAACCUUUGAAUUGGACCGGGUUGCUCGUAUCAUUGCUCAUCCACAAAAGGGUUCUUCAUUGAAUCUGCAAUAUCAAUGGGAGAAAGGUCAACGACAUUAAAAGUGGCACUAACAUUAUGCUUACCGAAAAGAUCGAUUUGAUAUGCAUUAUCAUUAAUGUGCUUGAGUACUUCAAAAGUUCCAUCACCACGUGGGUCCAAUUUUUUCUUGCUUCUAGUCAAAAAUCUUUAUUUUCUCAUAUGGACCCAAACCUAAUCAUCAAGCUAAAAUAUAACUUGCUUACACCCCUAGUUAGCUUUGUUUGCAUUCGUUUCAUUUGUUUUGGCGAUUUUUUGCCUUGCUUUCUCGUGCAUGGAUUUCACUAAUUCAGCUUUCUUCUCACUAUCCAAACUAGAAAUUUUUUCUAUAGGAAAUGUCAUAAGAUCAAGUACAGUUAGUGGAUUAAAACCAUAAACAAGUAAAAAUAUGGAAUAGCCAGUUGUAAAGUGAAUAGAUCGGUUAUAUGCAAAUUCAGCAAAUGGAAAACAUUCUUCCCAACUAUUAAGGUUCUUACCCACAACAACUCGUAGUAAAGUACCUAAGACUCGAUUGAGUACCUCAGUUUGUCCAUCAAUUUUAGGGUGACAUGUAGUAGAAUAUAAUAAUUUAGUAACAAGAUUACCAUACAACACUUUCCAAAAGUGGCUUAGGAACUUUACGUCUUUGUCAGAUACAAUGGUGCGGGUUAUCACAUGUAGGCGCACUACCUCUCUAAAAAGUAAGUCAACCACAUGUGUUGCAUCAUUCGUUUUGUGACAAGAAUUGAAGUGAGCCGUCUUUGAAAACUUGUCAACAAUAACAAAGAUACUAUCUUGACCCUUUCUAGUUCGUGGCAAACCAACCAAGAAUGAAAUCCGUGGAUAAGUAUACCCAUAGCGAAGAAGGAAUCGACAAAGAAGUGAAAAGUCCGUGGAUAAGUAUACCUAUAGCGAAGAAGGAAUCGAAAAAGAAGUGAAAAGUUCAUAAGACGUUACCUUAGAUUUUGCUUGUUUACAAGCAAUACAUUUAGAAUAUACCUUUACAACAUCCUUCCUCAUGUGCCACAAAUAAAAAAUGUUCUUGUAAAAUAUCUAGUGUUUUGGCGACACCAAAGUGUCCCAUUAAGCCCUCAGUACAUACCUCACGAUUUAAUAACUCUCUCAUGGAACAUUGUGGAACACAUAACCUGUUUAGGUAAAAUAGAAAUCCAUCUACAAGAUAAAAGUUGUUAAAGGCACCAUUCUGACAAUUAGAAAAAAUAUUUGCAAAAUCAAUAUCAUUUAAGUAUAAAUCCUUUUUAUGUUCAAACCCUAAGACUUCAAACCCUAAGACUUUAGCAUUUAAUGUAGUUAUCAAAGAAUAUCUACGAUAUAAGGCAUCAACAACUACAUUUUCUCUACUGGUUUUGUACUUAAUUACAUAUGCGAAUGUCUCUAGGAGUUCUACGCAUCAAGCGUGUCUCUUUCUCAACUUACCUUGUCCCUUUAACCAUUUUAGGAAUUCAUGAUUCGUAUGGAUAAAAAAAUCAUUUGGCAGCAUGUAAUGUUGCCAAACUUGUAGAACUUGAACUAAUGCAAGCAACUCCUUAUCUUAAGUUGAGUAGUUUAAUUGCGCCUCAUUCAAUUUUUCACUAAAGCAUGCGAUAGCGCUCUUGUCUUGCAUCAAUACAACUCCAUUUCCAAUAACUGAAGCAUGACAUUCAAGUUCAAAAGUAUUAGAAAAAUUAGAUAAUUUAAGAACCGAAGUAGAACAUAACUUAUCCUUUAAGGCUUGAAAAGCCUUUUCCUAAGCUUCUCUCCACUUAAAAUUCACAGACUUUUUAAUAACCUCAAUUAAUGGGGCAACAAUAGUGGAGAAAUCCUUCACAAAACAUCUAUAAAAACUUUUUAAACCAUGAAAAGAUCCCACCUCAGUAAUUUUUUUAGGAGUGGGUCACUCCCUAAUUGCCUUUAAUUUGUCCUUAUCGACAUGAAUAUCUUGAGCACUUACUAUCAAACUAAAAUGGCUAGUUUAUAAAAACAAAAAUUGCAUUUAUCAAGGUUGGGAAGUAACUUUUCAGUUCUAAGAAUGUCCAAAAUAGAUUUAACAUGGAAAACAUGAUCAUCUAAAGAAGUUGAGUAAAUCAUAAUAUCAUCAAAAUAUACUACCACAAACUUACCUCAAUAAGGCCUUAAAACAUGAUUCAUUAUUCUCAUGAAAGUACUAGGUGUGUUAGUUAGACAGAAAGGCAUAACAAGUCACUCAUACAAUCCAUACUUAGUUUUAAAGGUUGUUUUUCAUUCAUUCUCUUCCCUUAUAUGAAUUUGAUGAUAACCACUUUUUAAAUCAAAUUUAGUAAAAAUUAUUAAACCAUGUAACUCAUCAAGCAUGUCAUCAAGUUUAGGGAUUGGAUGCUUAUACGUUACUGUUAUUUUAUUGAUAGGGCAACAAUCAACACAUUCAGAAUGAACCAUCCUUCUUAGGCACCAAUAGGACAGGGACGACACAAGGGCUCAAACUUUCUCUAAUGUACCCUUUUUUAAUAGCUCUUCCACUUGCCUUUGUAACUUUUUUGUCUCCUUGCGAUUGCUUCGGUAAGCUAGACAAUUUGGAAUUGUUGUACCAGGUGCUAAGUCAAUUUGGUGGUCAAAACCUAGCAAAGUUGGUAAACUUUCAGGUGGCUUAUUGAAAACAUCCUCAUAAUCUCGCAAAAUAGAUGAAAAGACACUAGGCAAAAAAUCAUUAAGGUUAGCUAAAGUUAAAUAAUUUUUCCUAUACCUCACAAGGAUACAAUGUUGUUUGUGUAAUAGGGCUCUCCUUACAUCUUUUUUACUUGCAAAUAAAUUUCACACUUUAUUUUUACUACUAGAGGGUUUACUCACUAUUGGGUCUUUUGUAUUUUUAAUUGUAUCACUAAUGACCUCAUUCCUCUCUAUUUUUUCAAUUUUAUCUUUCCCUUUAACCCUCUCAUAGAAUUUCAUAUAUUUAGUUGGUCCUUGUACAUAUUUUUAGGCUCCAAAGGGGCUAAAGUGUAUUUUUUCCAUUAAAGAUAAUGGAAUACCUAUUCUAUUUACCAUGGUGCACCACAUCACAAUCAAAUUUCCACGACAUUCCAAUAAGUAAGUGGGCGAUAAACAUGGGUACCACAUCGCAACAUACCACAUCUUCAUAAUUCCAAAGCUUAAAGGUAAUAAAUGACUACUUUGUGAUUCGCACUUCAUAACACUUGUUAAGCCAUUGAAGAUGGUAUGGCUUAGGGUGUUUUGAACAAGGAAAUUGCAAGGACUCCACAAGAUUUCUACUUACUACAUUAGAAAAACUCCUACUAUUGACAAUAAGCGAACACAAUUUACCUUUAAUUAAGCAUCGUGAAUGGAAAAUAUUAGUCCUUUGAUUGUAGAAAUCUUCCCUUAUAUGGAUAUUGAGGGUGCGUCGUACCACUAGUCAAUUGAAUUCAUUAAAGUCACUCUUUUCAUUUGUUGGUUUAAUCACCUCUUCCUUGUAGAUGUCACCUCCAUGUGUCAUAUUCUCCAUCAACUCUAUCAUAUCUAAAUUAUCUGAAUUAGAAAUAUAUUCAUUUUUUUCGUUGAUGAGGAGAAGCCUUGUGUUAGGGAAAUAUCUACUGUAAUGCCUAUACCCUUUACAUUUGAAGCAGUCAACCUCACGAGUUCUCGUCGUGUUUGAACCACUCAAACUGGGAUGGUACUUGCGUUUUCGUCGGAGCCCCACUUUUCCAAUAAGCUUUCUUAUUAUCACCAAUUUUAGAAAACUUAUUAGCAGUAAAAGGCAAGUUGGAAUUCUUAAAGGUAGAACUAGAGCUGUUACCUUUAUAAUAUUGUGAAGUGGUAAACGAAUGAGGACCUUGUUCUUUCAAUUAUUGCUCAAUAUCAUUGGCUUUAUGAAUUGCCUCAUCGAGAUCUAUAUAAGCCUGUAAGUGCAAUGUGUUAGCUAUAGGCUUGUUCAAACCAUCAAAAACACAUAUCAUAGUUGUUUCAUCAUCCUCAUCCACAUUAUCUCGUUGUAUGAGCAUUUUCAUCUCCUUGAAGUAAUUUGUAAGGCCCUAAAAAUAAGUCUGGCAGUUUCGGGUAAGUUUAACGGGUUCCAAGUGAAAAUUAGGAGUUAAUCGGGUUUAUUAGUAAUUUUUUAUUAGUUAGUUAGCUUAAUUUCAUUUAAAAAUAAGGAAAUAAUAUUCCAGAAAUAAAAAUAUUUUUAGAAAAAUUAAUUUUAUAGUCUUAAAUAAUUUUUGGGUAAAAUAAAUAUUUUGGGUCGAAUUAGAAUUGAAAAAUCAAUUAAAAUGGGGGUUUAAUUGAGAGAAUUUAAAAUAUUAAUUACAUAGGACCAUUUUGCAAAACAAGAGAAAUAUUUGAGUGGUUCUAUGGAAAAUUGCCCAUAUUUUUAGAAUUUUGGAGGGAAAAGAUUAUUUAGUAAAAGAAGGGAAUUGCGGGAGUGGCCUGAUGAUAAUUUCCCCAAUUUUUGGAAAUCAGGUGGGGGUUCUUUAGUUCAAAAACGCUGCAGCCUCCUCACUUCACACACAAUUAUCACCUGAUUUCUAAGCAUUUUCUCUCAUUUUUAUUUUUCAUUUUCAAAGUCCACAUAUCAAAGAUUUGAUCUCAUCUUUUAUUCUCUCAAAAUUCUCUGGAAAAGAUUUCUAAAGUUGAGAAAGAACUCAUCCGAGUUCUUCAAAGAUCUUGAUCCAAUCUUCAAUAUGAAGGUAUUUUCUCAAGUCUAAAUUCAUUCUAACGUUGUUUUAAUCAUUAUUUUCAAUCUAAAUUGAUUAAAAUAGCUUUUCAAGUCUUGAUCUCUUAGCUAUUGAACAUGAGAUUCAUCAAUGGUGAAUUCAUGGUUUUGAGUUGGAAUCCAAGUUUAAAUGGAUAUUUAAGCUCAAACUCGUUUGGUUGAUCAAUUUGACAAAUCAAUUUUUUAAACUAAAAACAUGAGUUGAUUUUCCGAAAAAUUAUGAAACGGUUUGUUUGGUGAAAUUGAUGUUUAGGUUUUGUGUUGAUAGAUUAGGAAUGAUGUUUAGAUAUCAUUUUUGGUGUAGAGAAGGUCAUUUGGGUGUUGAAAUUUGUUUUUUAGAUCGAUCAUGAGUUUUCAGUAAGGUAGAUUGGAGAGGCGUUUUAGAUCUGUGUAGUUCAUGAUUUUUCAAUUUUAUUGUUUUUAAUGAUAACUUGUAACAUGUAUUUUACCUAUGCUUAAGAUCCACAUCGAGGAGGGGCCACUGCUGAUUAGAAUUGAGGUCUAAACACAACUACUUGAUACACUUUGGCUUGAAAAGCAAAGUGUGGAUGUGAGCGGUUUUUAAAGGAAAUUGGUAAACUUGAUUGUUUACAUUCUGAAUUGAGGUUUUGAAUUGUGUUUCUAGUGAUUCAAUUGUAUCUCAAAUGGUUUACAUUUCAAAAUUGAUUUUAAUUUUAUGAAAGCAUAUUUGUAAAUGAUUUAUGGAAACUAUGAAUAGAGUGUUUGAUAUGGUUGAUUUGAGUUGGAUUGAUUAAUAAUUGGAGCAUGGAUUACUGUAUAUUAGAUCACUUAAGGAUGAUUUUAUAGUUGGUUUUAGAUCCAUGGACAAAGACACUUAUUGAGCUUAUCUAUGUUGAUGUUAAAAUUGUUAAGUGACAUGCUUUAAAUUAAAUUUUUAUAUCCUGAAUUAAGUGCUUAAAUAUCAGUAUUUAUGCCCUGUGUGUUUGGUUAUAUUGGCAACAUUGCAUGGUGGAUCCAUUAGAUAUAGAUGACAUACCAUAAGAUUAGUGAGUACUCACCACUACAUGUGUUAUUUGUGAGCAUACGGCUCUAUGAGUAUUGACUUUGCUGGAGUGAAUAAGGGAGUGUUGAGCCUUUUUUCUCCACUCAAUCAUUGGAGAUUUCGAGGAAACAUAAAGGAGUGUAUGGCUACACCCCACUCAAUCGGAGUAUUGUAUUUGAUAUUUGGAAGAUUGGAGAUCCGUUUAUCCAAUGCAUGAUCACAUGUUUAUAUUUUGCCAUAGAUGUCAUUUGCUAAUAUAAGUGUGUGCUUGUUAAUUAUAAUAUGUUUUCAUAUGCCAUAAUAAAUGUGAUUUUUACUCAUGGAAUAACAUGUGGAAUUAUGAUGUUAUGAUGUUGCAUUGAUGCUGGAAUUUCAGUCAAUUGAAUGCCAUAAUUGAGCGUCAAAAUAUAAUUGAAACUAUGAAUCAUAUAACUAAAUUUUGAUACAUUAUUUGCCUUGGUUUAAGUAUGUCUUUGGUGUGAUUUACUUAUUUAAUUUAUGGCCAUUCACUGAGAUUUUUCAGCUCACACCCUCACAGCUUUGUACAGAGUUUUUCUAGCUUUGAGGAUUCGAGGAGCAGGGGCAAGGUUGGUCCAAGUUUAAGGCUACUUGGUAGUAUAGAUUAAGGGCUCUUCUAUAGAUACAUUCGAGGGAAUUGUGGCACUCAAUUGGGAUAAUUUGAUGCACUUGUAAUGGAUGUUUGAGACUUACAUUUGGAUAUUAAUUUUGAGAUGUUAUAUUUGUUUUUUUUAUGUUUGGUUUUAUGGUUAAAUGUUGAGUGUAGUAUUGUAUGUUGCUAAGUGAUAACAUGGUGAUUGAAAAUAUGGUGAUUGAAGCAUGAAAUUUUCACUAAUACAUUUUAAUCGUAGUUUGUCAAGGAGUGGAUAGCUUUGUGGCUAAGGUAAGUCCAUUGUAUGUUUUAAUUGUAUUUCGUUAAGCAUGACUUUGAAUGUUUAAAUUAUUAAACACAUGUUGUUUAUUAGUUGUAAUUAGAUUAAUUAGAGUUGUAUGUAUGAUUAAGGUAAUAAAACUUAGCUAAUAUAGCUUUAAUUAAUAAACGACUUAAGGGAAAAUGACUAGUUAAAAAGAAUAUCAGGGGUUUCACUAAUUAAAAAUAAUAUCAGGGGUUUCAUAAAUUGACUAUAAGAAAGUUAGUAACCAUUUAGAAUUAAAAUCAGGUUUGUUUAGCUUUAAGUGCUGAAAUGACCUAGAUACCCUUAGGGUUAAAUUCCUAAAGGAAGUUUUAAAAUGGUUCACAAAUUGCUUUUGCAAAAAGAUUAGAUAGUUAUUAGUUAGAAAUGGGGUGUUAUAUGGUUAGGGUGUGCUUUAGGUGAUUUUGUGCUAGAGAGUCACUUCGGUGACUAAUGUGUCUGUAACAUCCCUAACUCGUAUCUGUUGUCGAAAUAGGGUUACAGAGCAUUACCAUACAAACAGAAUAGUAAACCAUUCAAUUCAUACAUCAAUGCAAAUAUAAUCUAACUACAUUCAAUUACAUUCAUAAUGUCCCUUAAUCGAACCCUUCAGGCCCUAAAAAUACUUUAAAAAUAAUCCGGGACUAAAUCGGAAAUAUUGUACUUGUACAUCUGUUUCAAGUCACAAUACUUCUUCAUACUACCAGGAGGAAUAAAAUACGUAGUACGGUGAGCUUCAGACAAAUUAUCUCUUUUCAAAUCUGAAUCAUUUGGAACACAAAUUCUAUCACUAUAACGCAAUGUAUCGUUAUCAUUAAUAUUGUACUCAGUACUGAAGUCAUUCUGAACCAAUUUUUGUUUCAACGUCAACUUUGGAUCUUUGUUUUGUAAUUCCCGAAUCCGUUGUAGAAACAGGGGUUUGGUUCUCAACUUUGCCAGUAUAGAACCAUCUUCAUUCAAAGCUAAAUGAGCGUUCAACACUCGAAGUGCAAACAAUGACGACUUUAAACUGAGUGCAUCUGCGACCACAUUAGCCUUUCUCAGAUGACAAUCAAUAACCAGAUUAUAACCUGUCAGUAACUCUAACUAAUGUCUCUGUCUCAGAUUCAGUUCUUUCUAAGUCAUCAAAUACUUUAAACUUUUGUGAUCCGUAAACACAUGACAUUUCUCGCCGUAUAAAUAAUGUCUCCAAAUCUUCAAAACAAAUACAAUCGCGGCCAGCUCGAGAUCAUGAGUAGGAUAAUUCUCUUCUUGUGGCUUCAGCUAUUGAGAAGCAUAAACUACUACUUUUCCUACCUGCAUAAGCAGACAACCGAAAUUGUUGAAAGACGCAGCACUAUAAACAACAUACGCUACCUUAAAUUCAGGCUGAGUCAACACUAGAACUUCUGUCAACAUGUUUUUCAGUUGAUCAAAACUCUGUUGGCACUUCUCAGACCAAAUAAACUCAACAUUUUUCUGUAGUAUUCUAGUCAUCAGUGAAGCAAUAAUCGAGAAGUUUUUAACAAAACGUCGAUAGUAACCUGUUAAACCCAGAAAACUUUGUACCUCAGAAAUAUUCUUCGAAGUUGUCCAGUUCAUCACAGCAAAAACUUUACUCGGAUCAACUCAAACCCCAUCAGCUAAUACUAUGGGACCCAAAAAUCCAACCUUUCGAAGCCAUAAUUCACACUUAUUGAACUUUGUGUACAACUAUUUUUCUCUCAAAGUCUGUAACACGAUUCUCAAAUGUUGAGCAUGCUUGGAUUCUAUCUUGGAAUAGAUCAAUAUAUCAUAAAUAAACAAAACAAAAAAUCUAUCCAAAUGAGCUUGAAAAACUCGAUUCAUUAAAUCUAUAAAAGCAACAUGAGCAUUAGUCAAACCAAAUGGCAUUACUAGAAACUCAUAUUGACCGUAAUGAGUUUUGAAAGUAGUCUUUGAUGGAUCACAAUCUUUAACCUUCAAUUGAUAGUACCCAAAUUUGAGAUCUAUCUUCGAUAACACUGUGGCACCUUUUAAUUGAUCAAACAAAUUGUCAGUUCCUGGCAAAGGAUACUUAUUAAUUAUGAUGACUUUGUUAAACUGUUUGUAGUCUAUACACAAUCUCAAAGAGUCAUCUUUCUUUUUCACAAACAAUACUGAUGCACUCUAGGGAGAUACGCUCGGUCGAAUAAAACCUAUGUCUAAUAACUCUUGCAAUUAUGCUUUCAAAUCUUUUAAUUCAAUUGGUGCCAAACAAUACGGUGAUAUUGAUAUCAAUGUAGUUCCAGGAGCUAGAUCAAUCACAAACUCAACUUUACGAUCAGGAGGCAAACCCGCUAACUCUUCAAGAAACACAUCAAUAAACUCAUUAAUAAUUGGUAGUUGAUCUAACUUCGAUUUUGAAUCUCUGAUAUCAAAAAUGUAUGCUAGAAAUGCUUCACUACCUUUACGUACCAAUGUCUGUGCAAAAAUAGAUGAAAUGAUUCUAACAGCAUUUUUCGGCCCAUCAGACUUAACUAAAAUCACCUCUUCUAUGUGACAUUUCAAAUCAAUCUAUUUCUGUCUACAGUUUACUACAGCAUCAUGCAACGAUAGCCAAUCCAAACCGAGAAUAAGAUCAAAUUCCCGAAAGGGUAGUAACAUCAAAACAGCAGGGAAUUCACAGCUUCUAACUUUUCGUGGACAUUUACAACAAACUAAGUUAACUAUCACACUCUGACCUAGUGGAUUAGUAACUUGAAUAUCAUAUUCAAUAGAUUCAACAUAUAAUUUCUUUUUCAUUACUAAUGCAGUGCAAAUAUAAGAAUAAGUUGACCCAAGGUCAAUCAAUGCAUACACAGUAACAUCAAAGAGAUAAAAUAUACCAACAAUCGCAUUAGGAGCAGUACCUUCCUUUCUGGCUCGAAUGUCAUAUGUGAGAGCAUUUGCUCUAGCCUCUAAUCAAACAACAGUGUCCUUUACUCUUCUCAAGUAGUCCCAACAGUACUAUUCUGGCCCGGACGUCUGCCUUUCUGAGAUGUAGACAUUUGCUUCUCAUUUUGUUCUUCAUUUUCUUUUAACUGUUUAGGACAAUUUCUGAGAAAGUGAUCAGUCGACCCACAUUUAUAACAGAAUCCUGACUUAGUUCUACACUAGCCAAGAUGAUAUUUUCCACAAUGUCUACAAUUGGGCUUCGGAGCGUUCCGUACACUUCCCAUACUAUAAACUAGUUUAAUAGGAGCUUUAAAGUCAUGUUGAAUCGAUUUACCUUUGUUCGGAUCUUCAGACACUGAAAUAGCUUGACUAAAGUCUUAUUUAGUUUUCUUUUCUGGUGAUGCGGAAAAUGAUUUAGAAGAACUUCUCUUGUGAAACUCUCGAAUCUGUUGAUCUCUUUGUAUUUGCGAUUGUACACUUCUUCCAUUUUCUAUGCACGACCGAAUAAAACAAUAAAUUCUCGAAUUUCAUUACCUCCGAUCAUCAUUCAGAUUUCAUCAUUCAGGCCAUCUUAAAAUUGGAUACAGAUCUCUUCUUCAAUAAGCACAAUCUCUCGGGCAUAGUUACUAAGAUAUACAAAUUCUUUUUUGUACUCAACCAUCGAUUUAUUUCCCUGAUGUAACAUAAGAAAUUCUCUAUUUUUCUUGUCUAGAUACCGUUUCUUGACAUACUUCUUUUUAAACUCGUUCUGAAAGAAAUCACAGGAAAUUUUCUCUCUCGGUACCAAAGCUACCAACGUUGUCCACUAACUGUAUGAUUCCUCUUUUAGUAAUGCAAUGACACAUCUAAGAAAAUCAUCAGGAGGGCAAACCAUUUCUUCAAAAACUCGUAAGAUUUUCUAAAGCCAAUACUCAGCUUUAACCGAAUCAUCUUCUGGUCUACCUCAAAAUUUUUCAGCACCACACUUUCUAAGUUUCUCAAUCGAAAUACUUCAACUAGGCUCAAUCACGAGAGGAGCUGGAGGUGCAACUGGAGGUAUAACAUGAGGUAUAAAAGGGGGUAAGGUCAUUGAGCCAGAGUAUUCAUUUGCAUAAACUCAUUGAACCAUUGGUUCAUAAAUCCAAGGAACAUGUGUUUAUGUUUAUGCUUCAGUGUUGGAUGAAUUGAAACAUUACUACUCGUCCCAUGAUUAAAGGUCGGUAAAUUACUAUUAACCUCAUCAUUGUCGACAUGAUCAGAUCCAUCUGACAUCUUUAUAAUCUAAAAGAAAAACAAAGGUUAGAUCGGAUAAAACACAUCACACUAUCACAAAUUUAUAUGUCAUGUAAUUAUAGGCAUUUCACAUGCUACGUUUAGUCUGAGAACUGACUAAACCGUAGCUCUGAUACUACUAAAUGUAACACCCUUAACUCGUAUCUGUCACCAAAAUAGGGUUACGGAGCAUUACAAUACAAACAAAAUAGUAAACCAUUCAAUUCAUACAUCAAUGCAAAUAUAAUUUAAUUACAUUCAAUUUCAUUCGUAAUGUCCCUUAAUCGAACCCUCAAGGCCCUAAAAAUAUAUUAGAAACAAUCCGGGACUAAAUUGGAAACAUUUGGAAAGUUUAAGAAAAAAUUAGAAAAUUUGGAUUGUAGGGGAUACACGGCCGUGUGGCCAGGCUGUGUGCCUCACAUGGUUGAGACACACACCCGUGUCUCAGGCCAUAUAACCUUCAAAAUAGGGACACAUGACCGUGUCCCAGCCUGUGUACUUUCCCAUGGAACUCUCUGAGUUGCAUUACACGACCAAGCCACACGCUCGUACUCUAGGCCGUGUAACGCUCAGAAUAGCCUCACAUGCCCAUGUGCCAGGCCGUGUGCUAGGCUUUGUAAAUAUCUGACUUGUGAGCCUUAAACCUAUAGGGGACACACGACUGUGUCACAUGGUCAUGUGUCACAGACGGCUGAGUCAUACACCGGUGUCUCAGGCUGUGUGGAACUAAAUUGAACCUUAAACCAUAGGUUUACCAUUUCAAACUUACUUGGAUCCAAGUAAACCAUUUACCAACCAAAGCACCUAUUGAAAAUAACAUUAAUCAAGCAAAAAACAUACCAAAUCAAUUCAUAAAAUUAACACGUAACCAAUGUACCAUUUCUAUUUUCAUUAAAACAUCUACCUCAUUCACAUUCAUUAUAUAAGUUAGCAAUUCAUACAUAAUAUCUUACUUAGCAUUUUACUAUUUUCAAAACAUUAGUAAUAUCAACACAGAAGCCUAUUACCCAUUUAAACCAAAUCAAACAUUUCAAAAACUACCGAGUUAAGCAGAAUAGUGUAACGUGAGUGCUAAUUUGAUCAUCCAACCUUUCGAGUAUCUACAAGAACAUUAAAUAACAAAAGUAAAAUAAAUGAAGCUUAGUAAGUUUAAUGUAUUUAAAUGAAAAAUGUUACCGAAGUAAUUACAACAAUUCAAACAAUAACUAUUCAACCAUGAAGGUUUCAUGUCAUCCACAAUCUCAACUAAAAAAUCACAUACAUUCAAUUUAAUGCUCAAAUGUAUAGCAAAUCCAUCAAAUUCGGUAAACAAAUUACCUUACUGAGAUUUUCAAUUCGAAGAAUGACUUACGGAUAGAAGCACUUCGUCAAUCCAACCAUAACACUCCAGAUGCUCAUAUGAGCAAAUCCCUCCAAAACACACCAAAUUCUCACAAGAGCUAGUCCGACCGAAAAACGCCAAUGCUCAUAAGAGCUAGUCCAACCAAAAAACGCCAAUACUGAUAAGAGCUAGUCCAACUGAAAUACACCAAAUAAAGAGUAUAACAGGAGAGUUCGCAACAAAUACUGAACCUCAAUUUACUUGGGAAAUAAAUAUAUACAUCCCUCUAAAACCAUCUCCACUCGAAUCCCCCACAACAUACCAUAUCACGAUUAUCCUCUAUCCCGCGUUCAAUUCAACCCGAACAUCAAAUUCAAUAACAUAUCUCAAAUAAUCUUUCAUUAUCAUUAAUUGAAUAUAUAUAUUGGUAUCAUGUUAUACUAAUCAAAAAUUGAUAUAGAUGUUAAAUUUUCAACCGUUCAAACUUACCUUGACUGAAUUGUAGUAGUUGUAUAAGUUUAGGGACUAUUUCGCUAUUUUUCCUUUCCCACGAGUGUCUACGGGAUCUUGAUCUAAAAUGUAAAAUUUCUCAAAUAUCACCUUACAUUUCACAUUUCAAUCCAUUUUACAACUAAUAACCUUUUAUUUUUUAAAUUUACAUAAAUACCCUAAACUUUUAUAAUUUUUGCAAUUUAGUCCCUUAAAUCGAAACUCAUCAAAAUAACCAUUUUUAUCAAAUCAAAAUUCUAUCCAAAUAUACUAGGCCCUUCAACAAUCCCUAAUUAACAUGAAAUUCACUAUCAAACCCUAAAAUUUUGUCAUUUUCACAAUUUAAUCCUAAAAUCAAAAUCUAACAAAAAUCACUUUACAAAAUCAUUGUACAAAAUAAUCAAAGCUUCAAAUACAAGGUAUCACAAGUCAUUUUGAAAGCUUGAUAAAAAAACACAACACUCAAAAAGAAAAAAAAACCUCACCGUUAUGCACUCAAAAAUAAAAUAAAAUUCUCAAUGAGGUAAGAAUUAAUCUUGUGAGUGUUUUAAAAGUGUUUAUAUCAAUUAAUCAUAAUGUAUUAUAACCAAACUAGCAAAGAAAACCUAGUAGCACUAGGACUCUAAAAUUAGCUAGACACCAAAUAAUUAUGUUACAUGAAGGAAGGAAUGUGUAGCGUGCUUUAACCUACUAACACAAGAAAUAAUAAAGUGUUAGAAUUUGUAAAGGAAUAAAAAAAAGUGAAAACCUAAGGCUAAGAGUCAAUGAAAAUCCCUGAAACCUAAAAACCUAAAAAAUUGUGUAGUAGCUUGACAAAAUUCGUUCGAGGUGUUCUCGAUUUUAAAAAAUCACGAAAAUUGAACUAGAGCCUUACCAAAUAAUGCAGAUUUGAUCUUGAAAGUUUCCACAUGAAAUUCAACCCACAAAACAUUUUUUAAUUUGUUUAUUUUUCACAUUUUUCUAUUUUUUCACUAUUUUUUGAGAAAUAUUCUUUAAUAUUGUAAAAGAGUGGUAGGGAUCGGUAUGUAAAAUUUUAUAUUGCUUGAAAAAAAAAAUUAACAACUAAAAAAUAUUUUUCCCAAAAACUUUCUGGGUAAAAAGAACUAUUUUGAGGUUGUUUGGUGGAAAUCAGUGUAUAAAAACACAAAAAAACACCUAAAAUGCCCAAGAAUCUGUUACAAAAUGAUACAUACUCAGUGUGUGAAUGAGUGCAAAACAUGAUUGUAAGUUUGUCCAAGUCGUAGAUUUGACUCAGAGGUCUAGAAACUUAAAACACAAACAAAUUCAAGUCAAAUAUAAAAUGUUAAAAAAAUUAAAGGAAACAAUUAAAAUAGAUAAUUAGGACAAAAAACAAUCAAAUAUUUGAAUAAUUAAAUAGGAACAAAAUAGAAUAAAGAAGAAAACAAAACAGAUAGAUGGUGUGUAGAAUUCCUAUAGAGCCUUGGGAACCCAAUGAAUCCACAACCCCCUUUAAGCGGCUUUAAUUUUCCUUCCAAGAAGUAAAAUUUGACAAGAAAAAGCUUGAAUAUGAUCCCCACAAUAUGAAAAGAUUGUUAAAAGUCUUCUAAAAGAAAACUCAAGAGAAAUUCUUAAAAAGAAAACUCAAAGAGAAUUUUAUUAACUCAAUGUGAAUAAUGAAUGAAUUCAUUGUUGUACAAUGCAAAGGCCUUUAUAUAGGCUAUCUAAUUAAAUUUAAAUAAAACUCUUAAGUAUACUAAAACUCUAAUUAACCUAAACAAGAAGUAGUUUUAAACUAGACAUUCUUGUUGACAUAAAACUCUUAAAUAACUUAAAAUACUUAAUAAUUAUAAAAAUAAAAAAUAAAAAAUAAUAAAAUAAUGGGUCUGAAAGUGGGCCUUGGUACUCAUAUUAGGGGUACUAUUGGCUCACCAUGCAAAAAGACAUAAAAACCUGCCUCCGCACGCCUGUUGAACCUCUACAUACCAUCUUUAAUCUUUAGCCUUUUGCAAAUGGGGUAUUUACAUUGUAAGACCAUUUCCAUAGGCCACAACACAUAAGAGGUAUAUUGUCAUCACCAUAGAAUAUUUUACGAAAUGGAUAGAAGCAAAAGCAUUAGCCACAAUCAAAGAAAAGCAGGUGGAGAACUUUAUCUUGAAAGUUAUCAUACGCAUAUACAAUAUCCUACGCCUGAUCAUUGUUGAUAACACGAUGUAAUUCCAAAGAAAGUUCAAUGAAUUUUGUGAUAGCCUCCAUAUAGAUUUGGUGCUUAGUUCAGUCAAAACCCCACAAAUGAAUGGGAAAGCAAAAGCCACUAAUAAGAAGAUCCUUUAGUGCUUGAAGAAGAAGGUAGAAUAUACAAAAGGUAGAUGGUUGGAUAUAUUUCCUAGUAUCCUCAAGUCUUUAUGGACCACAUUAGACUCAGGGACAGGAGAAACCCCUUUCAAUAUUAUGUUUAGCAUCGAAGUUGUAAUGCCAGUUGAUAUUGACCUCAACACGUACCGAAUAAUUCACUAUACUGAGCAUUCCAAAGAAAACAAUAUCUAAGAGAAUCUAGAUUUCUUAGAUGAAGUGAUGAAGCAUCACUUAGAAUGGAAAUCCAAGUUUCGUAGGUGGUGCAGUACUCUAAUUCCAAAGUCUACGACAAACAAUACUAGGUGGGAGACUUAAUAAUGAGGAAUGUAGAAGCUAGUCAACCAAUUGAUCAAAAAGGAAAAUUCUCAGCUACUUGGGAGGGACCUUACCAUGUAGUAGCAAUAUGGGGAUGUGGAACUUACCAAGCUCUAAAAGGAUUGUGCGUACUCACAUUUGUGAUGUGGUUUAUAGGGCAUUGAGGCCCAGGGAUAGUUUUUGGAGAGAUAAGGGAACGUGGGCUAAGCUCCAUUCACCAGGAUAUGUAUGUUUGGUGUGUUGGAGAGUGUUAGCGAUAUGCUUCACUUGUGGGAUAUGUAUGACUCUAUGAGUCAUUAUUAGUGUGUUGGAGAUCUGUGUAUUCGAUGUAUGGUGAGAGAGUCCACAUUAUGUUUCAUAUCCUCAAGAUUCAAACUAUCAUAAAAUGUGAUUGAAAGUGACUAAAUGUGAUUAAAAUGUGCUUCGAUAUAUGCUUAACUAUUUAGGUGAUUAUUGAGAUAAAUGUGUAACGGAAUUAAUGGAAGAUGCUUAUACAUGUUAAAUAUGAUAUUAGAGUUUAAUAUGUUAUGAAUAUGAGAUAUGUCUGUUUACAAAGUGGUUAUUCUAAGCAUUCACUGAGCUUGUUCAGCUCACCCACUCCAUUUUAAGCUUUGCAGAGUAGUUGCAUUUCCAGUGUGAGCAGUGUGGCCUUCAAGGGAUUGAUCCAAGUCAUUCUUUAGUCACUAUAGUAGGUAUUACUGGUUAUUUUUUAUAUGGGAGUUUAGGGCAAUGUGGUAGAUUUUAUAUUGGUUUUGCUAAGACAUUUUUGGGGUAUUUGCAACGUAUUUAUUUUUAGAGGUAUGUGGACUUGAAUAUGAUGCUUGGACUGUUAUUUUGGAUAAUUUGAUGUUUAUUUAACUAGGUGAAUGAAACAUGUUAUUUAGGGUUGUGUUUGAAUGUUUUUAUUACUGAUAUAUGCUGAAAUUCGAUAAUCUGAAGCAGAUGUAUUGAUAUGUGGGUUUUAAAAAUGAUAUAUGUGUAAAUUCAAAAGUGUAGGGAGUUAGAAUAUAGAAUUGGUAUCGAUACCUUGGCCCGAGUAUCGAUACUCGAGGUAAAAUAAUAAAUACCUUGCGAAUGGUACUGAUAGUUGUUGACGUUUGGAAAUUUUGGUGAGAAACAGAAUGCAAGUUUGGUGUCGAUUUUUCAUGUGGUAUUGAUACCACGUAAAGAAAAUAUCAAUACCACUCCUUUAGCAUCGAUACCUAUCUAAAAUUUUUUGGAAAAUUAAGUGGUCCCAAUGCUCGAUGUAUGUCCAUUUUAUGCUUGUUCGUCGAACGUUAGCAUGGUUAAACGUUAAUUGGAGUUUGCAAGUCAUAAUAUUCGCGUGAUUGCUAUAGUAACAAAAGAAAAUAAAGAUGUAUGUAUACUAAAUGUGACAAUUACGAUGAAAUCGAUGUGAGACGGUAGUGUAGUGUCCUAGUAUUUUGGCUCGACGACUAGGCUGGGUAUAAGGAGUUAUAGAUCGAGUCGAGUAUAGGUUGCUAUAGUAAGCCUCCCCCAUGUAUCUGGGAACAAGUUAUUAUUGCUCCUUUAUUCUGAUAAAUAUUUGUGUUAAGCCAGUGAACCAUUCACAAGCAAGACAAUAUUUUUAUGAAAGAGAAUAUUCUAACACUUACUACUUAGUCCAAUUCACAAUAAACAUUUAGAGAGAAUAAUUUGAUUGAAUACUUCAACUAAUGACUGCUCUCCUUACAAAACAAUCAAGAGUCGGAGUAUUUGGAAUUUAAAAAGAAACUAUCAAAACAUAUGUUAUAUAGAGUUACUAUUAUGAAUACCAUUCGUAAAACUUGCCAAGAAUAACAAAGAAGGAAGCAGUCAAAUGCAAAGCAUUAAAGAAACGCAUAAAGUAUUAUUCAUAUAAAGAUAUAGUACAAGAUACAUCAAUUAUCAAUAUCUACACCCUCACUAGAAUUUACAAGAGGCUUCUUAAUGGGUAGAUCCUUACCAACAUCAGAAGUAUUGGUUUCCCCUUCUGCUGCACCCUGGACUUCUAAGCUCUCCCCUUUGAGAAUGCUUGUUACACAUUGAGCUCUAAUCCUCUCGACAUACUCUUCCCACUUGUGACCAUCAGGAUAAAAAAUCUAACUCGAGGUCAUCUCUCUCGUAAGUUUUAACCCAUUGAGUGGUUUAAUAUCUAUGUUGUGGACGUAAAGAUGGCUAGAUGUAGUUGCAUUCACAUUGCUCUGUCUGCAGCUUCUCCCUCAACUGGGCCAAGGCUUUUUAGGCUAAAUCUCAUUCCUUUUUAUAAGCAUUUUCUUGGCCUUUCCAACACUUGAUGUCAUCCCAGGCCUUUUUCUCAAUAGCUUUAAGCUUCCUCUUAGCUAUCUUUACCCAAUCCUUGAUGACUUUGACCCUUAUUUUAGUUGUACUAGAGGAGUCAUGGAAGUCCACUAUAAAGUGCAUGGACAUCUCAAUAGUAACCCUUUUCCCCUUAAAGAGAUUUUCAAAGCCUGCACACAACUAUCACGUUACAUCCAUCCGGAUAUGAUAACAUAACUUGCAAGAAUUGUUUAUCACUCAUCUAAGGGAAGUAUUAUAGAGUAUGUUGUACAGGAAGGCACCAGUUGUGUACUACCAAUAGGAGGGUUAGUAGAAGUGUUAGCAUAUUUGUCCUUCCCUUCGCCUCCUGUAAUGGGAGUUCUCUAUCCUUCACCUUUGGGAGGGGUCUACACUGAAUUGUCCUUCACCCUCUUCCCAAAGAAAUUUUUUGCAAUAACAUUCUUUCCUAAACCAAAGGAGGCAUUUUUUGUAGUGUCAUCCCGUCCCCUUUUGGGAGGAGGUUUUAUUAAGUUUUUUUCCACUAUUAAGGGUGCUCGUAGUGUUCGAUUAGGUAUCAAGGAAAUGUAUCUCUUUUUCCCAAGUAUAGUAAGCAAAACAUCAGCAGCAAUAGGGUAUUUGCUACUCGUCAUACCUUCCGAACCUACACAAAGAACAGAAGUUAGAAUAGUAUUAGUAUCAACACAAACAAACACACAAGACAAACACUCAUGUUGUUUUCGUUUCUUAGAAUGAAAGGGGAACACAAGUCCCUCAUUGUCAAUAUCUACAUCAACUUAGUGUAUACCCUUAGCGAGGAAUACUUCCAAGUGUUUCGUUUCAGCUAAACUAUAUUACAAUUUGAUCCAUGUACUUGCGAACACCACCAUUUUAAUCGUAUAUAUAUAUUUGGUAUUAUUUUUACUAUAAAUGAUAACUCUUUUAUAGGCAGUCAAGUUGUUGGUGUUGUUGCCAGGGAGGUUUCAAAAAUAAAUCUUAAAAAUAUUUUUUUACAAUUAAUAAGAUAAGUAGGAACAUUAAAGCUUAUAGGUAUGAUUUUUAUUUUAUUUUAUUUUAUUGUUAGUAAAUUUAGAAGAGGAACAUUAUGGAAACUUUGAUGGGUAGAAAUAGUUUUUAUAUAAAUUGGCUAAAACCUAGUAAUGCUCAUCCAGUAAUGAGUACAAUUCCAUUUGAGAUUAAUCUAUCACAGUUGGAUUCCUUUAAAUCCAGAAACUCAGAACCUUUAGGGGUUAAAUUAAAAGAGGCCAAAAGUUGGCGAUCUCUACUGAAAAAUCAAGAAAAGAUAGCAAUUAAAAUUGGACAAGAUUGAGAACCAAGUAUGGUUCGGUUAGAUUAGAAUCAUUCGGUACCUUAGUGGGAAACAAAAUGAUUAAGAAUGGGUAGAUGUAAAACAGUUGAGGAUCAUGCGGGAAAGGCUAUAAAUAGUUGGAAAAUGACUUCUCGGGAGACUUCUUCUCUAGUCUAUUUCAUUUUUCUUCUUAAGCUUCUUUCUUAGUAGUAUCUAGAAGAGAUGGCUAUCAGAAAGCUCUACAUGGAGCGAUAAUAAUGGAAUUUCAGUAGGAAAGGAGGGGAGUUCAGUGAGCUGGUAAGGUUCUAAGCCAUUCAUGGUACGUAAUAUUUAGAAACAAAGUGAAGAGUUUCUAGAAACCAUUUUUAAGGGUUCCCAAUGUUUCUAGAAAACUAAGUUUAAUUGGGGAUUUUUUAAUUUAACCCAUGAUUUGGUUGUCAUGCUUAGCUGCAAGGAGAAUGGAAACUCUAGUGUUUGGGAAAGGCGAAUAAGCAUCAGGUGAGUUUAUGUACUUAAACAUGGAACUAUCAAAUUUUAAUGCAUGGUUUCACAAGUUUAUGAGUAUCCACCAUUUUUUUGUAUACAUGGUAAAGGAAAAUAAUGAAACGGGAUCAAUGAUGGGUUAGACGAAGUUAGGAAUGGGAAAAGAAAGUAAAUCUAUUUAAUACUACCAUAUUGUAUUGCUGAGAGCAAAUCGUGAUGUGUGAAAGGGACACUACGGUGUUCAAGCAUCAAGGUAUAUGAUGGGGAAAUAUAGGAAUGGAUAGAAUGAAAUAGGAAGAGUAAAGAUCAUCACUAUGCCAUGGGACCGAUCGGAGGUAAUUCGUCUAAACUGAUUAAGACUAUAGUAGAAAGAUGUUAUGGCAUCAAGAUGAAAAUGAGUAAGACCAUGGCUGAAAGAUGUUAUGACAUCAUGGAAAAUAGGAGUAAGAGCAUAGUUGGACUAUGGAAACAUGGAAACCGAGGUUGUCCGUCGGGACAAUAAUAUUGGGGUACUAAUGUGUAAGACCAUAGCUAAAAGAAGCUAUGGCAUCAUAGAUAAUCCAAUGAGAUGUUCAAAUAGGAUAGUCUAACGGGACGUUAAUCACGGGACAGUUCUUCAAGACACUAAACACGGGAUAGUCUGUCGGGACAGUAAGCACGGGACCAGGUGAGUAAAACCAUGGCAGGGUUAUGGUAGCUUGUGGAGACCAUGAAGAUGCUAAACAUGGAAUAGUCCACUGGGACAGUAAACACGAGCGCUUAUCCUGAAUGGUACUUGUUGGAAACGUUAAAAUAAGGAAAAAGGUUAGAAGAAUGAUGGAAGUAUGUGGCACAAUGGAUAGCGAGUUGAAGGAAUCAGCCAAUAAUGGAAGAAUGUAAAGAAAAUGGGAAGAGACUACUAGAAUGGUAGGUUUGUAAGCCAGCAGGGCAUAUGGGUGGUAACCCCACCAGAAAGAGUUAUGGGAAAGGACAUACUAGUAGUGUCUGGUGUGCAAGCGAAUGCAAGAUGGCUAACCAUGGAUCGUAGAUAAAGAUCCUCCAUUACUAAUUGUCAAAAGGUGCUUAGAAAAACCCUGUGAGCUAGAGAUUUGAUAUAAGGUAUAUUUGUUAGUUUACGAAAAAAAAGGGUUAGAGAGAACCCAUUAAAUGGAUGGUCCACACCAACACCACUACCAGACAUGUUCAUGCAAUUUCCAUCUUUAGGAGAAGAAGAAGAUGAUGAGGAUGAGUCAGAGCCUAAUUCCGACUAAUUUUGAAUAAUUUUUAAUUUGGACAUUGUACUUAAGUUUGUUUCUUUGGGAUGAUGGUUAUUGGUUUGUUUUAAUUUUUUUAAGAACUUUGGUAUUAUAUAUAAAAAGAUAUUGCAUAUUUCUUAGCAAGAGCCCAAAUUUUUUUACGACACUACCUAAAAGGAGUAGUCCCACCAAUCGAGCUGCACAAAUCACGCCAAUCAGGUAUCCUCUUUCCUUUAUAUUUUUAAUUGUGCAUUAGGGGCAAUUUGCCGAAUAAAGUGUGGGGUGACUUAGGAAAAUUUUUAAAAUUUUCUGUUAUUUUAUUUUCCUUUAUUUUAAGUAGUUUUUAAAUUUUUAAUUGCAUGUUUUCUAUAUGAUUGAGUUUGUAGAAAUACAAGUGAUUGGUUAUAAGCAUGUUAAUAGGAUUGUGUGAAUAAAUUGUAAAAUUAGUUUGAUAAUAAUUGUUUCUAAAUUUUUAAUUUUAGACUACUCAGUUUAAUUCAUUACAUUGUGAAUAGAUUUAAGAUGUUAUGUAUACCAUGUGAUAAAUAAAUAUAUAAAAAGCAUGCAUGUUUAAUUGAAUUAUAAGCUAUAGAAAUUGAUAGACAUGGCGAAUUUAAUCCAUGUAUAGAAUUACCUAUGGACGACCUAAGGCAUUAUUUGGUAGACAACUUUUUGAGCCAAAAAGCUCUCCCGUAAAUAUUUUCCCUAGUACCUAUUUUGAGCCUCUUAAUCCAUUCUCUUAAUGAAACUGACAUGAAACCUUAAGCCUAUUACACAUUCUAUUUGAUCCCUUAUUUCUUGGUCCAUACAUGGAUUUAGACGUCCGACCAUCGAUAUUGAGAGAUUAAGUACAUACAUCUCGGUGGUUUAAUAAAAAUAAAAAAAUUAAGUGAACUAAGGAAUUGUAAGCUAUAGUGAGUAUAAGAUUUUGAGCUUAUAGAAAAAUAAGGCAAAAUGCAAAUCGAUAAAAUCUUGAUGAAAAAUGAAAACAAAGUGAUUUGGAAAAAAAGUACGCUCACAUUUGUUCAAAAACAAAUUACGAGCUCAAAUGAUUGUACUCAUGAAUAUUAUACGAUGCAUUAGUAAAUGGAGAAAUAAGGAAGGUGAGAGAAGCAGAUAUAAGGUGGUGAGCUUAUGUGUACUUUGGGGAGUUUUGGGAACAAUAUCAUAUGCCAAACUACCUUCAUGGUGAAUCAUUUUGCCGAGCCUAAUCUUUGAAUUCCAAACCAACCUCAGUUGCGGAACGUUAGAAGCCAAAAACUGCUAUGUGCUUAGGUAGUACCUUACAAGGAUGAAAUUGUGUCGAGUCUUGAUGUUUUUACCACUUAUAGUCAUUUGAACAUACGUGUAUAUUUGUAUAUAUAUUUUGAUGGAACCUUAUACUUAACAUUCUUUUAUUUGUUUGGCUUGUAACUUGUCGAACUAACCCGUCUAACUUUAGAAAUUGUGAGUCAAUUGUAUAUUACUCUAGAAUUACAUAUUUAUUUACCUUGUCCUAUUAAUAUAUUUCUCUCCAAUUUCCUGUAUCAAGUUAGCUUGAGUACAUUUUCUUUCCUUUGUAUAAUUAUUUAUUAUUUUUCAGUAGUUCGCUUUUAGCUUUUAAUUUGUUUUUGUUUAGUUUGCUUGAGGACAAGCAAACUCUUAAGUAUGGGGAUAUUUGACUUGUCGUCAAAUGUAGUAGUUAAUUCAGGUUAUUUUCGCCUUUAAAGAGCUAUUUUUCUAGGCAAUUUAGUUUUAAUAUUAUGUUUUCAUUAUUUAGUAUUUAGAAUUAAAUAUCAGUGAAAUAAGUGUUUUUAACAAAUUUUACGAGUGUUGUGACCCAUUAGGCCAACACAGGCCUCGGGUAGUGCUAAUAUGUUCAACUGAGUGUUUAAGAUGAAUGAUUAUAGGUGUAACAACCCAGUUUUAGUGGUGUCGAAAAUAAUGGUUUCAAGACCACGACUCCAACAAGUGAGUUAUUAUUUUAAUGAUUAUUUAAAGUCAAGCAUUUGAUUGUUAUUUUUGAGUGCAUAAUAGUGAGGUUUGCUUAAUUUUUCUUUUCAUGAGUGUUGUGCUCUUUUUAGGCUUUCACAAUGAUUCGCAAUACUAUGAUUGGGAAGUUGAGAAUGGAUCAAGAGGUUCAAAAUGCUCGAGAUUAGCAACGUGACACUAUUCUAUACACAAUCAACAAAAAUUUAAAAUGUCUAAGUACAAAAAUUGAGCGUCAGAAUCGUAAUUGGGGAGAUAAGAUUGAUUAGCCUUGUCUUCAUGCAAAUAAUUCUUGACGUGUCUCUCGUAAAAAUGAUGAGACUUUGGUUAAUAAUGAUUGUAGGCAACAUGUUUUAGCUAAAGCAAAGUUCAACAUUCCACCAUUUUAAGGGAAGUAUGAUCCCAAAGCAUAUUGUGCGUGGGAAUAAAAAAUUGAACUUAUGUUUCGUUACUAUAAAUGUCGGAAAGAGGAAAAAGUCUAAUUGGAAUUGAUUGUCAAAGGAACUACGAAAGGGUAAUUGAAACAUGGGAUGAGUUGAAGCAAGUGAUGCGAAGCGUUACGUUCCUUCUCGUUACUAUAGAGAGGUCUCAACAAAACUUCAACGCCUUGUUCAAGGUAAUCGAUCUGUUGAUGAGUACUUUAAAGAGAUGGAGAUGCUUAUGCAAAGAGCAAAUAUAUGGGAGGAUGAAUAAACUACCAUGGUGCGAUUUGUAGAUGGCUUGAACAUUUCGAUAGCCAAUGCUCUUAAUCUUCAAACCUAUAUUGAUCUUGAGGAGAUGGUACACAAGGUAAUUGAGACUAAGCAACAAUUUCAGCAACAUAAAUCUCGUCCAUUUGGCACAUCACACUAUUAUCGAGGUACAAGUUCUAAUUCUACUUUCAAGAAUUCAAAACCUUCUUAUGCUAUUAAUAAGUUGUUGCCAAAACAUGCUGUGACUAAACCUUUUGAGUGGAAAAGUGGGGCUCUUACAGAACAUUCUUCUACAUCUUUCAAGCAACUCAUUUUUACUAAUUUUUCACCAAAAGGACAAAGAGCUUGAGACAAUGAAUGUUUUACGUGUAAAGGGAGUGGACACUAUAGUCGUGAUUGUGCCAACACGAGACUUUUGUUGAUCAAAAAGGAUGACGAACUUUGUGAAUCAGAAAAAAAUGAUAAUGAGAAUUUUUUCCUUGAAUCUAUAGAGUUAGAUGAAAUAGAAACAUCAUGCUCUCCUACUGAGAGAUAUUGUAUUGAAUUGAAUAUUCAUAAUACUUGUGAGAGGGAUAUGGGAAGUGAGAAAGAAUCAUGUGAAAAGACAGAGAGAAAAGAGACCUGAAGUGAUAAAAGUCUACUUGAUGGUCUAAAUUUGGUGAGUGAAAAUCCAUAUGAGUUACAAUUGGAGAGUUCUCAAGUGGAAAGAGAAAAUAAAAAGUAAGAAAAUACCCAUUCAAAAGUAAGGAGUGAUUAUGUUUUAACUAACCCUAACUGUAACGCCCCAAAAUUUUUAAUUUCGUUAUUGUCAAAAUAUGACACAUAUUUAUCAACUUUAGUGGUUAUGUGUUCUUGGAGUGUUUGGGAGGUCCCAAGUUCAAGCCUUCGUUUGGGUAAAUUUUGGUAUUUUGAAUGAAUUAGGCCUUACUCUUGUUAAGUAGGCUUUUAUUUGAUUGUUAGGUAAAUUACAUCAGAAUGGGCUUGCUGGUCUGGUGGUUAAAUGGUGUGUUAUUAUGGUGGAGGUCUUGUGUUCGAAUCCCUAUGCAGGCAAGGGUAUUAUUUUUUUGCUCUGAUUUCGACAUAAGUUAUGUAGUAAGGGGAUUUUGAGUAGUGGAUGUGUAGUGGGAAUUAGGGGAGAAGAUUAAGGGAUUUUGGGGGUUAUCAGGAUUUUAUUUUAUUUUUUUCCAUAAUCGAAUUUUGACUCUCUUUUCCAAAAAAAUUAUGCCAUCUAUUCUUCUCCUUCACCUCUUGCCAAUAUUCUCUGAUUUUUUCCAUAUUUCUCUUCUUUUUUUUCUUCUUGAUUUUUCCAUAAUCCAUUUAUUUCCUUCGUUUUCGCACACGGUUGGUGCUCGCUUAGUUUCAAUAAGUGUUUCUCUUCGUUUCUGUCAUGAAUCUCUUAGCGACUAAAGUGGUAAUGUUUUUUGGUAAGUGUUUCCCUUCAUUUCUGUCAUGAAUCUCUUAGCGACUAAAGUGGUAAAUUUUUUCUCUGUGAUUUGGGCGUAGGAGGAGGCUCGAACUGGUGAAUUUAGUGUUCUCAUCUUAACAAUAGUUAAACGGAGGAUUAUCGUUGGUGGUAAGUUGGGUUUUUGUUCGUUCUUGGUUGUCAAUUCGUUUGUAAAUCCGUAAAAUUGAUGUUUAGUAUCUUGAUUAUAGGCUUUGGAGUGCUCGGGAACUGUUUUAGCAUCAAACAAAACCAGGUGUGUACCCAAAAUGACAAAAAAGGGAUUCGGCAAAAAGCUGAAAUUGCUUGCUGUUUGGACAGCAGCAGUAGGCUAUUUUUGAAAAAUCGCCAUAAAUUGUGGAAAUCGAAAUAAGGAUGAAAAAAAUAUGGAAUUAAAGUUUAUUGAGUCUAGUUUCUCAUAGAAGAAACGGUGUAAAUAAUGAGUUCGGGUUCCCCUGUUCUGACUUUAGAAAAUCAUCAAAAAUUAGAGAAAAAUAAUUAGGGGUUAAAAUUUACAUGUUUAAAUUAUUAAUGAGUCUAUUUCCAGUAGAAACAAAUGGGUACUUCAUCCAAAUUUUUUACUAAGAGAUAAUUAUUUUUUAGCAAAGAAGGGUCGAAGCUGUCAGACAGCAGAACAGGUGUAAGUUUUAAGAUUUUACUAUAUUUAUUGGCUAAACAAAAAAUUCUACAAAUUUUAUGGUAGAAAGGUAUUUGAGUCUAGUUUCAAAAACAUCAAGCGAAUUUUAAUUCGGAAUUCUGUAGCUCAAGAUAUAAAUAAUUUAGUAACAGUGAUGCAAGUAGACAGCUUUGAAGGAACACAUAAAUAAAUAGUGAAAACAUAUAUGAAUAUUUAGCUAGAACGGGUUACAUUAAAAAUGGAUCAUGUGGCCAGGGCCAAUUUGGGCCAAGUGGGCCACAUGGGCAUGUGAGCCUAUUUUUCUGAAUAUUUUUGUAAGGUUGCACUAGUCGCCCAAGUCGACUGUGGACCAACUGUAGGUUCGGUUGGUGAUAUCUAAAUGUAUGUACUAUGAAUUGCAUAAUGGCAUGACAUAUUUUGUAUGUUGCAUUGCCUCGGGGUGGGUUGAUGAUAUUUGGAGGAAGUGUCUGAAAGGCUAUUAAGCCAAUUAUCUGGCAGCUCAGUUGCAACCUUCUAAUUAUGUGCCACAUUUCAGUACAGCAUGGUGUGUAAGGAUGGGUGGGUUGAUUUAAUCCCCACAUGGUGUGUAGGGUUAGACGGAGUUGGUGUGUAGAGGCUGGUGGGUAGGAUUCUGAUUUACAGUAUUUGCAUUCUGUAUCUAAUGUGGGCCAAGGCCUUCAUGUAUUUCUAAGACUGUAUCUGAACAGGCUAAGGCCCAAACUAAUUCUGUGAUGGGCGCAGGCCCAAACUGUAUCUAACUGAAUUAUGUUGAUUAUCUGUAUGCAUGUUUUCUGUAGGGAUUACACACUGAGUUUGUAAAAACUCACCCUUUCUCUUUUUAAUCUGUUCAGGUAAUCCUCAUACUUGACGGGUCAGUGUAGCGGAGGACUCGACCGUGGCCACACGUAAAUUUUAGACUGUUUUCUGUUAAUGUCUAGAAUUUAUUACGUAUUUGGGGUUUUUUAUGUAACUUUUGGACUAUGGACUGGUUGGCUUUAAGUUUGGGACUUUAUACUAUUUUAUGAAUUUUUUUAAACUGGAACUCAACAACACACAAUUUUUCAAAAACUAAGGUUUUUGUAAAUAAAAACAAUUUUCCCUAAAUUAAUUGGUUACAAAAGCUUCCGCUAAGAGACAAGUUUUAAAGCAAAUAAACUAGUACUUAUUUUUUCUGAAUUAAAUAAAAGUUAACUAACUGUAACGGUUUUAACUCGGUAAUUUUGCCUUCAAAUCUCAUUUCAUGUGACAUCGCCAGAUUCAACCUUAACAUCUAGACCGGGUUUGGGGUGCUACAUUUAGUGGUAUUAGAGCAAGGUUGCAAAACUAGACUGUGGAUUUGAGUUUUAAAAAUUGGUUUUAAAGAAAUGAUUUUAAAUGGUUUAAAAUAUUUUUGACUGAGUAUGUGGUACACUGAGUCUCCGGCGUCGAUUCUAUAAGUGUUCUAAAAACUCUGAUAAGUUUUUAAAAAUAUGAGUAGCGUAUUCUGAAACUAUUAUAGGUAGUAUAUUGUACUGAGAACAUUGUAGAUAGUGUAUACUGAAAAAAGUAGCAAAAUUGAAAACUGUAGUAAGACUGUGAUUCAUGAUAACAAACUCUAAACUUCUAAUACUAUUUUGCAUAAAAUAUUUACUAAUAGAUAUCAAAACUGUAACUGAUUCAUAAAACUAUUAACACAGAUAAGUUAUGAAUUCUACGAUGAGCGCACGACGUAUCCGUGAACAGGAUACUAGAGGCCGAGGUAGAGGCUGUAGAGGGGCUCGAACCGAGUCCUUUUUGUUCGGAAGCAUGCCAAAUCUUGAUAUGAGCGAGACGCCGGUUUCACCUGCUACAGAGGCUGGGUCUCAUGAUCGUAUGGCCAGGGACAACACCUUGUCCUAGGCUAUGCUGAGGAUAUUAGAGAGGGUCACUGGGCCCAACACUAGAUCUGGGAGUCGAAGGUGAGUUACAGGACGACCCCGAUCCAAUAGGGCUGAGCUAUUCAGGGGUGUCACUAGAGUCACCCCUAGCGUGGCCGAGUACUGGAUGGAGGCCACGAAAAUAUUCGUGGAUGAUUUAGACUUUACCCCUGAACAGAAAUUAAAAUGGGCUAUUUCCUUGCUUCGCGAUGAAGCAUGCCAAUGGUGGCUGACUGUUAAGGAGGGCACUCAGCCCGAACGAUUGACAUAGGAUUUCUAUAAGUCCACUUUCCAAGGUAAAUAUGUGGGGGCAAGCUACAUUGAUGCUAGAAGACGUGAGUUUCUGAAUCUCACGCAAGGGGAUCGUUCAGUGGCCGAGUAUGAGGUCGAGCCACUAUGAAUGAGGCAUGAUGGCGACUGGAGAUAAGCACUAUGUCCGCUUCGAGGAUGGACUCAGGGAUAGUUUGAGAGUUUUGAUAGCUCCGCAGAGGGAGCGUGACUUUUUAGCAUUGGUAGAGAAUGCGAAGAUCAUCGAGGAGGUGAAGCACACUGAGCAGCAAAACUGGGAUAAGGAGAGAGGCAAGAAUAAGAGGGAUUCGGAGCCCUCGAGUUCUGGGAUGAGGCCUAAGAAAAAUGUCAGAUUUGGUGGGAUAGUUAGAGUUAGGGCCCCUGUUGCAUCUAAUGGGAUCAGGCUUUGCAGACAUUGUGGAAGACGCCAUCUGGGCGAAUGUUGGAGGACAACUGGGGCUUGUUUAGGAUGUGGGUCUACUGAGCACUGUGUUGGGGAGUGUCCGUUGAGGGCCGAUCAGGUACAAGUUAAGGGUUCUGGUACUGCACAGCCACCGAGGGUAGUUCAGCAACCGCCCAGGGGCCAUGAUCAGGCUAGGAGUGAUAAUGGUAUGGGUCAUGGGCAGAGAGCACCGGGCAAAGGUACUGGACAGGCUGAGGCGAGAUAGUCGGCCCUAGUUUAUGCUACUCGUCGCCAAGAUGCUCCAGACGUCAUCACGGGUACGUUUUUUAUUUUUGUUGUGCCUUACACUGCAUUGAUAGAUAUAGGAUCUACGCAUUCCUAUAUUGUCUGUUUUGUUUCCAAAAACCUAGAGAUUCUAGUUGAGAGUACUUCUAGUGAGGUGACUGUGCUGAGCCUGCUGGGGCAAUUUGUUAGAGUUACCAAACUGUACAGGGAUGUUCCCUUAGAGGAUCAAGGGACAGUAUUUCAGGCUGAUUUGAUGGAGCUUCCAUUAUGGGAGUUCGAUAUGAUAUUGGGGAUGGACUGGUUUGUCAAGCAUCAUGUCAAUUUGGAUUGUGCAACUAAGAGGGUCAUAUUGAUAACUGAAGGGGGUAAUAUAGUUGUGAUUGGGGAACGCCGGAAUUACUUAGCUAACGUGAUCUCUACAUUGGUAGCUGAAAAACUGGCUCGCAAGGGAUGUGAUGCGUAUUUGGCCUACGUAAGUGUUUUCGCUUCUUGGGACUCUACUAUUAAGGACUUCAGAAUUGUGAGGGAUUUUUCAAACGUCUUUCUUGAUGAGCUACCGGUUUACCUCUGAAUCGAGAAGUAGAGUUUGGGAUUGAGCUUUACCCUGGUACAGCUCCGAUGUCUAUCGGUCCCUAUUGAAUGGCACCGAAGGAGCUUACUGAUCUCAAGGCUCAAAUUCAAGAGUUAUUAGAUCAUGGGUUCAUCCGCCCUAGUGUGUCCCCAUAGGGAGCACAGAUAUUGUUUGUUAAGAAAAAGAAUGGAUCCAUGAGGAUAUGUAUCGACUACCGACAACUAAAUAAGUUGACUAUUAAGAACAAGUAUUCACUUCCAAGGAUUGAUGAUUUGUUUCCAAGGGAUGUCUGCGUUCUCCGAAAUUGACUUGUGUUCUGGGUAUCAUCAGUUGAGGGUUAAGGAGGCUGAUGUGCAUAAGACGACAUUUAAGACUCGUUAUGGUCACUACAAGUUCCUAGUGAUGCCAUUUACAUUGACUAAUAAACCGACAGCUUUCAUGGAUCUGAUGAACUGAGUGUUCAGCCCUAUCUAGAUCAGUUUGUAGUGGUGUUCAUUAAUGACAUAUUGGUUUAUUCGAGGAAUGAGGAUGAGCAUGACGAUCAUCUUAAGAUUGUUCUUCAUAUUUUGAGGGAAAAAUAGCUCUAUGCUAAGUUCAGUAAGUGCAAGUUCUGGUUACAUGAAAUAACAUUUCUGGGUCAUGUCGUGUCUACUGAGGGAAUUCGAGUCAAUCUUCAAAAAAUUGAGGAUGUAUUGGACUGGAGUAGCCUAAGAAUGUGCCUGAGAUCUGCAGUUUUUUGGGGUUGGCAAAUUAUUAUCGACGGUUUGUGGAAGGAUUUUCACUGAUCGCAGCACCCUUAACUAAGCUGUUAUGUAAAUGUGUACCAUUUGACUGGACUAAUGCACAGCAAGAGAGCUUUGAGAAGCUUAAGACUGUACUGACUAAGGCUCCUGUUUUGGUAUAGCCUGAACCUGGAAAGGAGUUCACUAUUUAUAGUGAUGCAUCACAUGUCAGUUUGGGAUGUGUGUUGAUGCAAGAUGGUAAGGUGGUUGCAUAUGCGUCUCGUCAACAUAAGACACACAAGGCGAACUAUUUGACGCACGAUUUGGAGUUGGCCGCCGUAGUCUUUGCAUUGAAAAUCUGGAGGCAUUAUCUAUACGGUGAGAAAUGUAUUAUCUACACUGAUCAUAAAAUCCUCAAGUAUCUCCUCACUCAGAAUGAGUUAAAUCUUAGGCAGCAUAGAUGGGUUGAGCUGCUUAAGGAUUAUGAUUGUACCAUUGAGUACCAUCCAGGCAAGGCCAAUGUGGUGGCCAAUGCAUUGAGCCGUAGGGCUAUGACCGAUCUGAGAGUGAUGUUCACUUGACUUAGCCUAUUUGACGAUGGAAGUCUGUUGGCAGAACUUCAGGUCAAACCGACAUGGAUUGAAUAGAUUCAAGGUAAACAGUUGGGGGAUAAGUCUCUCAGGUUGCAUUUUCGUCAGGUUGAAAAUGGUGGCACUACUGAUUUUAGGAUAAAUAGUGAUGCGGUACUUUGUUUUUGUUGUCAAAUUUAUAUAUCGAAUAAUGAUGAUUUAAGGCAGUCGAUUCUGAGAGAGGCGCAUGGUAAUCCCUAUACUAUGUAUCCCGGUUCGAACAAGAUGUACCGAGAUCUUUGGGAAUUGUACUAGUGGCUAGGGUUGACGCAUGAGGUUACCGACUUCGUUGCUCACUGUUUGACUUGUCAGCAGGUUAAGGCUGAGCAUCAGUUACCUUCGAGUUUGCUGCAGCCGGUUAAGAUACCGUUGUGGAAAUAGGAGCGAGUAACGAUGGACUUCAUUAGUGGGUUGCCUCUAACACCCACUAAGAAGGAUUCUGUUUGGGUAAUCGUGGAUCAAUUGACAAAGUCUGCUCACUUCAUCCCAGUAAGGACAGACUUUUCUCUUCAGAAAUUAGCUAAGCUCUACAUAUCGAAAAUACUGAGACUGCAUGGGGUACCUGUCUUGAUCAUUUUCGAUAGGGAUCCUCGUUUCACGUCUCCAUCCUAGAAUAAGCUUCAUGAGGCUCUGGGUUUAAUAUUAGACUUCAGUAAUGCUUUCCAUCCUCAGACAGAUGGUCAGUUGGAUAGGGUGAUUCAGAUACUAGAAGAAAUGUUGAGGAGCUAUGUUAUUGAUUUUCGAGGCAGUUGGGAGGAGUACUUACCGUUAGCGGAGUUUGCCUACAAUAAUAGCUUCCAGUCUAGCAUCCAGAUGGCACCUUACGAGGCACUGUAUGGUCGUAAGUGUCGCACUCCUUUAUGUUGGACUGAGUUAGGUGAGCGACAUGUUCUAGGUCCUGAGUUGGUCUCUGAGACAGAGGAUAAGGUUAGAUUGAUUCGAGAUCAUUUGAAAGCAGCUUCUGAUAGGAAGAAAUCUUAUGUGGAUUUAAAGAGGCGUGAGAUCAGGUAUUCUGUGGGGACUUAGUUUUUCUCAGGGACUCUCCAUGGAAAAAGGUUCUGAGGUUCAGUCGCAAGGGCAAGUUGAGCCCUCGGUUUAUUGGACCUUACCGCAUUCUGAAACGUGUGGGACCUGUUGCUUAUCAGUUGGAGUUACCUCCAGAGUUGGACCGCAUUCAUAAUGUUUUUCACGUCUCGAUGUUGAGGCGUUAUCGCUCUAAUCCCACGCAUGUUGUUUUUAUUGAGGAGAUUGAGGUUAGGCCAGACUUGACCUUUGAGGAGGAGCCAGUUCAGAUUCUGGAGCGUGAUGUAAAGGUCCUUCUAAAAAAGUCUACUCCCUUAGUGAAAGUUCUGUGGCGUAAUCAUAGCAUUGAGGAGGCCAUGUGGGAGCCUAAAGAUACGAUGCGUCAGUAAUAUCCUUAUCUGUUCUGAUCAGGUAAAAUUUCGAGGACAAAAUUUUCUUUUAAGGGGUAGAGUUGUAAUGCCCCAAAAUUUCUCAUUUCGUUAUUGUGAAAAUAUGACACAAAUAUUUGUCAGCUUUAGUGGUUAUGUUCUAGGAGUGUUUGGGAGAUCCCAAGUUCAAGUAUUCGCUUGGAGAAAUUUUGGUAUUUGGAAUGAAUUAGGCCUUAAUCUUGUUCAGUAGCCUUUUAUUUGAUUGUUGGGUAAAUUACAUUAGAAUAGGUCUGCCGGUCUGGUGGUUAAAUGGUGUGUUAUUAUGGUGGAGGUCUUGUGUUUGAAUCCUUAUGUAGGAAAGGGUAUUAUUUUUUUUACUCAGAUUUCGGGAUAGAGUUGUAGAUGUGUAGUGGGAAUUAGGGGAGAAGAUUAAUGGAUUUUGGGGGUUAUCGUGAUUUUAUUUUAUUUUUUCCCAUAACUGAAUUUUGACGCUCUUUUCCAAAAAAAAAUUGCCGUCUAUUCUUCUCCCUCUCCUCUUGCCAAAAUUCUCUGAGUUUUUCCAUCUUUCUCUUCUUUUUCUUCAUCUUGAUUUUUCCCUAAUCUAUUUAUUUUCCAUCAUUUUCGCACGCAGUUAGUGCUUACUUAGUUUCAGUAAUUGUUUCUCAUCGUUUCUGUCAUGAAUCUCUUAGUAACUAAAGUGGUAAUGUUUCUUCUCUGCGAUUUGGGCGUAAGACGAGGCUCGGACUGGUGAAUUUAGUGUUCUCAUCUUAACAAUAGUUAAAUGCAGGGUUAUCGUUGGAGGUAAGUUGGGUUUCUGUUCGUUCUUGGUUGUUACUUCACUUUUAAAUCUAUUAAAUUGAUGUUGAGUGUCUUGAUUAUAGGCUUUGGAGUGCUUGGGGACUGUUUUAGCAUCAAACAAAACUAGGUGUGUACCCGAAAUACAAAAAAAAAAGAAUUCGGAGAAAAGCCGAAAUUGCUUGCUAUUUGGACAGCAGUAGGGUAAUUUUGAAAAAUCGCCAUAAAUUUUGAAAAUCGAAUUAGAGGAUGAACAAAAUAUGAAAUUAAAGCUUAUUGAGUCUAGUGUCUCAUAGAAGAAAUGGUGUAAGUAAUGAAAUUGUAAAUCGUGAGAUAUAAUAAUGUUUGUGAGACAAGGUCAGAAUGAAUUCGAGUUCCCCUAUUCGGACUUUGGAAAAUAAUAAAAAAUUAGAGAAAAAUAAUUAUAGGUUAAAAUUUACAUGUUUAUAUUAUUAAUGAGUCUAUUUUCAAUAGAAACAAAUGGGUACUUCAUCCAAAUUUUGUACUAAGAGAUAAUUAUUUUUUAGCAAAGAAGGGUCGAAGCUAUCAGACAGCAGAGUAGAGGUAAGUUUGAAGAUUUUACUAUACUUAUUGGAUGAACCAACAAUUCUAUAAAUUUUAUGGUAGAAAGGUAUCUGAGUGUAUUUUCAAAGACAUCAAGUGGAUUUUAAUUUGGAAUUCUAUAGCGCAAGAUAUAAAUAAUUUAGUAACAGUGUCUCAAGUAGACAACUUUGGAGGAACACAUAAGUAAAUAGUGAAACAUAUAUGAAUAUUUAGCUAGCACAAGUUACAUUAAAAAUGGAUCACGUGGCCAAGGCCAAUUUGGGUCGAGUGGGUCACAUGGUCGAGUGGGCUACAUGGGCGUGUGAGCCUAUUUUUCUAAAAAGUUCUGUAAGGUUGCAGGGGUCACCCAAGUCGACGGUGGACCUAUUGUAGGGUCGAUAAGCUUUACUUAGACCCCUAAAUGUGUGAUCUGUUUGACCGAUUUCUAUACCGAGCAUGACUUAAGAUAUCUGAAUGUAUCUAUUGUUAAGUGCAUAAUGGCAUGACAUAUUUUGUAUGUUGCAUUUCAUCGGGGUGGGUUGAUGAUAUUUGGAGGAAGUGUCUGAAAGGCUAUUAAGCCUAUUAUUUGGUAGCUCAGCUGCAACCUUCUGAUUAUGUGCCGCAUUUCGGUACAGCAUGGUGUGUAGGGAUGGGUGGGUUGAUUUAAUCCCAACAUGGUGUGUAGGGUUGGACGGAGAUGGUGUGUAGAGGUUGGUGAGUAGGAUUCUGAUUUACUGUAUCUACAUUCUAUAUAUGACAUGGGCCAAGCCCUAAUUUAUUUCUGAGACUGUAUCUAAAUGGGCGAAGGCCCAAACUAAUUUUGUGAUGGGCACAGGCCUCAAACUGUAUCUAACUAAAUUUUGUUGAUUAUCUGUAUGCAUAUUUUUCUGUGGGGAUUACACACUGAGUUUGUGAAAACUCACCCUUUCUCUGUUUAAUCUAUACACGUAAUCCCCACACUUGACGGGUCGGUGCAACAGAGGACUCGACGGUGGCCACACGUAAAUUUUAGAUUGUUUUCCGUUAAUGUCUAGAAUAUAUUACUUAUUUGCAGUUUUUUAUGUAACUUUUGGACUAUGGACUGGUUGGCUUUAAAUUUGGGACUUUAUACUGUUUUUAUGGAUUUUUUUUAAACUGUAACUCAACAAAACACGAUUUUCUAAUAAAUAAGGUUUAAAUAGAAACAAUUUUCCCUAAAUUAAUUGGUUACAAAAGCUUCUGCUAAGAGACAAGUUUUAAAGCAAAUCAACUAGCACUUAUUUUUUCCGAAUUAAAUAAAAUUUAACUAGCUGUAACGGUUUUAACUUGACAAUUUUGUCUUCAAAUCCCAUUCCAUUUCGCAUCACCAGAAUCGGCCAUAACGUCUAGCCCGAGUAUGGAGUGCUACACUAACCCAAAUUUGUUUAAUGGUGUUUCUUCAUUACAGGACUUCAUGGAUCCAUUUACGAAUUUUCAAUUAUAUAACUUUACCAUCGAUAGACGAUUUUACUUGUGGGAAAAAGGUAAGUUGAAUAUUGAUAAUUCCCCACAAGUGCUACAAGAUAAAGAAUGUAAGGAAACAACAGAAAUUAAUUUAAGAAGGCAUACCUUCAAUGUUUUUGAUAAGUAUGCUACUGAUUUUGUUUGUCAAAUAUUUCAUUACAACAUGUUUUCUCAUUUGUCAAAUUUCAUUAAACCAUGUUCUGAAAGUUCAACUGAUUUUAUGGGUUUAUCUACCUUUGUAAAGGUUAAAAAUAUUAAUUUUGUUGCAUCAAAUAGGUUUUUAAAAGCAUUUUAUAUAUGUCCUCUUACAACAAAAUUUUCUAUCUUGACCUUUAACGAUGAAUUUUUACAUAAUAAUAUUAAUAUUUUUAUUUUUAUAAUUAUGUGAAAUUCUUUACUUAUCGUUCAAAAAUUCUUAUGGAUGACCGUGCAUAUUCAAAAAAAGUUACAAGUUAUUUUUUACUUGAACACUCAUGUUCAUUAUAUUUCUUUGUUUAGUGUUGAGGGUUUGUUUUGAAUAAGAGAUAUUUGAUCCAUGCUGAUUUGGGAGAUCAAAAUCAUAUAUUUGAUCCUGAAAAUAAUUUUGGUGCACAAGAAGUCUUAGGUAAGUAUUUGUUUCAUUUGAUUGUUAUUUAUUCUAAUCCCUUUUAAUUUUGUGUAGCUAAAGAUUCGGGGACAAAUCUUCUUGAAGAAUGGGGGAAUGAAGCGAGUCUCAAUGCCCAAUUUUAGACCCAUGAAUGUGAUGGGAUCACACUACCUCAAGGCUCAACAAUAAUGUCAAAGGCUAAGCAAAUCAAAUCAGCUUUUGAUCAAAUACAAGUUCGAGGAUGAAUCUUUUUGAGGAAACGGGGAAAGAUACAUGCACAGAUCGGGUGAAAUUUAUUAAAUUCCAUUCACUGAAGCUGUCAAUUUUCAAGCUUGGGAAAUCAGUAGACUUGUGAUGACUUUUUGGAUGGGAUCUUGACAUUUAUGGGUUGAGAUGUCUCAUGACGUUUGAAGAUAUAUCUCUUAGCCUUGAAAUGCAUUUUAAGUCACUCGAUUUUGAGUCUAGGAGCUCAAGUUAUGACCGUUUUAGUGAAGACUAUACGAGCAGAAUUUUUGAACGGGAUUAUGACAGGAAUUACAAGUUUCGGGCUUUUAAUUCGAGUUUAAAUCAUAUUGGGUUCGGGUUUUAGGCUUAAUUUUUAUUACAUAUGUGCCCAAUAUUGUAUUUAUCAUCACUUAUUAUUUUAUUUCAAUUGUUUUAUAAUUAUUAAUUAUUUUAAGUUAUUUAGGAGUUUUAUGUUAACAAGAAAGUUUAGUUUAAAACUACUUCUUGUUUAGAUUAAAUUAGAGUUCUAGUAUACUUAAGAGUUUUAUUUAGAUUUAUUUAGCUAGCCUAUAUAUAGGUAUUUGCAUUGCACACAAUUCAUUCAAUUCAUUAUUAUUCAAUUUUUCUUUUAAGUUUAUAAUUUAUCUUUAAGUUUUCUUUUUUUAAGAAUUUCUCUUGAGUUUCUUUUAGAAGAGUUUUAACAAUCUUUUUAGAUUGUGGGGGUCAUCUUCAAACUUUUUCUUGCCAAGGUUUCUAUCUUGAAAGGGAAAUUAGAGCCACUUGAAUGGGGUUGUGGAUUCUUCAUGUUUCUGAGGCUUCUUAGGACUUCUACACGCCACGUUCUAUCUUUUCAUAUCUUCUUUAUUUUAUUCCUUAUUGUUUUAAUCGUAGAUUUAUUAUUCUAUUUUAAUUAUCUUAGUUAUUUAGUUUAAUUAUUUUAUCUAACUUGGAUUUAAUUGCCUUCCAAGUUUCUUUCCGAACAUCUAGAGCCCUAAGUCAAAUCUGUGACUUUGAUAAACUUUACAAUAUGCUUCUGCAUUCAUCCGUCUCAUUCUUUAUCAUUUGGUAUCAGAUUUUGGUGUUUUAGGUUUUCUUUUUUGCUUUUAUAAACUGAUUUCUAGCAAACAACCUCACAACAAUUUUUUUACCUCGACUACCUGCCCAAGUGUUGAGCUAUAAGAAUCCAGUAAGUCUAUGACAAACUGAUGAGGUAGCAAAUGGGACUAUACCUCUAGCAGGUAUAACGACAGGUAGAAUCUUGACCUUCCUCCACCAUAAUACUUGGGAUGCCUCUUGAGGAGGCCCCUCCACCACAGCGUCCUCUGCAUUUCCUUUUCUGUUGUAGUGCACCUACAUUCACCAAUUGCAUCGAUUCAUCUAUAUCCCUUAGGUGUUCAAGGAUUUGCUCUUUAUUACUCCUAGUCAUUGGUGUUCUCCUGGGAUUAGUCAUUGUCACUUUAUUGUAAACGGUAGAAUACCUACCUUCAUCAUUUUGUGACGUAGACCUACCAGUUCAUCCUCCUUUCUUGACAAGUUUAACAAUUUUUUCGAUGACAUCGCAAAAACAAUGAUGAAAUAAAGCAAAUCUUAAACUGCAUUUACUAAGAAGAAGUUCUAAGUAGCAGAAAAUAAGAACUUUAAAAUGACAAUAUGGUUUCAAGGAAGAUAAAGUUCUAGAUUUAUAGAUUUUUCAAUGCUCCUUCUUAAAUGCACAAUUUUGGGAACCAAUAGCAUCUUGCCACCUAUAUAGUUUCAAAUACUCUUCAUCAUGGUUCUUUUUUCAUAAAAACACUUUGCAUUUAUGAUAGUUAUUGUCAGACUCCAAGUUUAGCGGAUCCAAGGUUAAGGUGUAUAGUAAUGAAAUAAUUUGUUUGGCGAAGUGUAAUUCUCCCAAUUGCUUAUUUUGGAAAAUAUGUGCGGGUGUAUACUAAACAUCGUGUAAAUAAGUGAAAAGUCCAUUUGAGAUUAUUCUAUUAUUUAAAAAUAAAAAUUUUUUAAGCAGCAUGGUAAUUAUGGUAUGAAUUAUAACCGAAUGCAAAGUACGUCUUGCAUGCCUUAGUGCUGUGUUGCUUGGGUUAUAAAGUGACCUGGUUAAGAACCAACUAGAUUGACUGGUCUAACCUCUAUAAUGAAGGAUUUUCAUUAAUGUUCUCUCGGAAUCUGUAAGCCAUUAAGAAAGACAAAUUCUGAAUUAAGUGACACUUGUUGAGUUCCACUAAGCGAGGUUGGGUUAUAUAUGUGUGAGAUGGGUUCUGAAAUAAGAUUCUACUUUCUCAAAAAUGUUACUCUUUGAUUUUUUUUUUCUUAAAUCCAAUUGUAUCUCUUCCUCAUUAAGCUAGAAGCAAAGGUUCUUAGUUUAACCAGUGGUCAUUCCAUCUCCGGAUAAGUAUUAUAGAUGUGCAUGCUAGGUUCUGAAAGUGUAAGUCUGUAAAAGGUAUAUGAAUAGUAAGUUGUAAGUACAAGGCUUUGCGUGGGGGUUAUUAGUUAUUGAGAUGAUAGUAAUUUGUAUGUGAAUGAGUUUUUAUGGUGAUCAUAUGUUCUUUAAGCAGUUGUUGUUGCUGGUUCAAAAAGGAUAUCUAAGUCUAGAGUUUCGAUCUUUAGUGGGUGAGUAUCAGGUGAGUCUCUAUCCCGACUCUUGCAUGUGUAAUGUACAAAUAGAAUGUUGGUGAUAAGCAUGUAAGUAAUGUCUUAUAUGAAAAGUAUGAAUUAGUUAGGAAUGCAAAAAAAAAUUGGGUAAGUGAAUACUAAAUAAACUUUCAUUUGUGAUGCCUCUAUUAGGGCAGUUAUAUUGCUAACUAGUGUAACGCCCUCAACCCGACCCGAUUCAAUAGGUCCAAAUCUCAGGUUUUACACAUACACUAAUUAAUAAUCUAAAAAAUAGUUAACAAUUUCUCAUUUCUGUAAUUAUUUUAUUUAACACUUUAACUAAAAAUUUUAUCAUUUGAUAACCAAAGAAGUAUUAUAAAAUAACUUGUUACAACAGACUUGAUACAGAUCUUUACAAUAUAGAAGUUUAUUAAGGACGAUCAUACAAGGCACAAUCCUAGACUACGGCAUAUUUCCACUGUAUGCAUAAUAGCCCUCUUCACCACUACGUUGGCAUACUCCUAGCAUCAUCCUUCCUGGCACAACUUGUGUCGAAUACCUGAAACAACAAUGAACAUGGUAAGUUUAAGAGAUCUUAAUAAACCUUAUCACGGAAUUACCUUGGUGGAUACUUUAUUUUCUUAUAAGAACUUCUAUUCAUUGACCAUCCUUCUGAAUCAUUUAUUUCGAGCGGAUUUCCCUACAAUAUUCUUUAUCUAACUAACUGAAGAUCCUUCCAGACAUUUUGUAAAUACCUUUAUUUCAUAUAUACUUCUCAAAAGAUCAUACCUUCAGAUACAUCACAUCUGGUGAAUACUUAUAUAGAACUAAUUACCACCAAUUUAUUAACCAAGUCAUUUCUAAAUUCAAUAUCAUACAACCCACACUUGUAAUGCACCACAUAAACCCAUUAGAAGAAUUCCACAUUAAUUAUUUUCAGAAACAUAUAUACUCAGAAUACCCAUAACUUAGACUUUAUACAAUUUCAGAAAGGAUCAUUACAAUCGAAACAUAACCUCAAUAUGACAGAUUCCAAGUAACUCUGAUUCAAUCAUUUCAUAACACAGAUAAUUUCACAUUGACAAUUUCUUAUGUCACACAUAACUACAAAUAUAACCAUAUCUAACAUUGUCAGAUCAUUGUGGUAGAUACCUUCAUUAUCAUACAGCUACACAGUUCUUUCCAAAAAUUUAUUCAAUUAUUUCACAAAUCUUACUCAACUCAUAAACCUGAGCAUAUCAAUACCUUAUCUCAGCCAACCUUAUUACAAACUAACAAAAUUUAUCCAUAUCUUACCAUAAAGAUAGAUAUACACAGCGUACCAUGCAUGAUAGACCACGCCACAAGGGCCACACAGAAUACACCAUAAAGGCAUCAUACAAAAUCUUGUGUUUACUAUCCCAACGGAUUUCACAGAAGGUGUCAUGGGUUUCUACCUUAUGGACUUAUAUAGAGAUUCAUGUACCGUAAUCUUCCAUUUCAAUUCAUACAUCAUUGAGGGCUACACCAUGAAUAUUCAAACAGACAUAUAAUGCCAUGGGUCUUAACCACAUGGUCUUAGAUACAUUCAUGUGUCAUGUUCUAUCAAUCUAGUCUCCAUCUUACUGGAGGUUAUAGCAUAAAAGUUUCCAAAUCAUACCAAGCUACCAUGGGCCUCUACCUCAUGGUCUUACACUAGGUUUCAAUCUAUAACAUGCCAAUCUGGUUAGCUAUAUAACUGCCCUACCAGAGGAUUCACAAUAGAACGUUAGCUCAAUAUUUACUUACCCAGAUAAUCACCUUCUUACAAACUCAUACACCUCGUAUACCAGACUUUUACUUGUAUGCUUAUGAAAUAGUAAUCCUUUAAUAAAACUUUAUGUAUAUUAUUACAGAGCAUCUCUCAUCCUUACUAUACCCAAACCCUUACCAUUUUCCAUGGACAGGAUUAUCCCAUCUAUGAAUGUGCAUAUAUAUACUUCUUAUUUGAACAAUUCACAUAAUAGAGUCAAGAUAGUGACUCACCUUAAUUCACCUACUACAGUUCUAAGCUCCAAACUUAUACAUCCCUUUCGAGUCAGAAGUAACAACUACUUAGAAACAUAAAUUUACUAUUACAACUCUUAUACAUACAAUUUACUUAUCAUCUCAAUCCUGGAUAACUUCAUGCAAAACUUGUAUUUAAAGUUUUACUGUUCAUACAACUCUUAUAGUCUUACACUUUUAGAACUUAAUAUGCAAAGGCAAAACACUUACCCAAAGAUGGAAUAACCACUAAUUAGAUCUAGAAUCGAUGUUUCUAGCUAAAUGAGAAAGGGAUACAUUUAUACUUUCUAACGAAAGAAUUAGAGAGUAGUGUUUUUAAGGAAAAAGAAGAACCUCCCUCAAAACCCUUCUCACACAUAUAAAAUUGACCCACUUACCUAGUUGGACUUAACAACUGCCACACAUUUUAGAACUUACCUUAUUAAUGGUCUGCAGUUCCCGAGAAAAUUAUAAAUAAGUACCUUGCAUUCACAAUUAUCGGGCUAGGCUAUCUAGUUGAUAUCUAACCAAAAUACUUAUGAUCUAACUAGUACAGUACUCUAAACAAACAACAUGUAUUAUAGCUUUGGCGCCAACUCAUACCAUACUUAACCUUUAUCACCUAACACAAACUUCUCCGUAAUAUAUUAGAAUAACAUGAAACAAAAUCCUUUCCCACAUAUCUGGCAGUUACUAAAUGCCCGCAUGUAUAUGCCACAAUAAGAAAUUGGGUAGAUUACACUUCGCCAUAUAGACUAUUUUACUACUAUGCGCCAAAACCUUAGACCCACCAGACUUGGGGUGUUAUAACCAAAUUUGUAGACCAUGAUAUGAAAAAAAGUGUAAGACCAUGAGGUUGAGACCCAUGGCAUCAUAGGAUAUGAAAACACUCAUGGUGUAUCCUCUAGUAAAAUGAAGACUGAACUAGAAGAUCAUGAUACAUGAAAGUGUGUAAAUUCAUGUGGCUGAGACCCAUGGCAAGUAUGAUUGUAUGAAUGUUCAUGGUGUAGCCUUUGAUAAUGUGUAGAUCGAACUGGUAGAUCACGAUACAUGAAAUUUAUGUGCAAGUCCAUAAAAGAGAAACUCAUGGCACCUUUUGGGAAAAAUUCGUCGGAAUAUUAAACAUGUGAUUUUGUAUGUUGCCCUUGUGGUGUAUUUUGUUUGGCCCUCGUGGCGUACUCUACUAAGUAUGUAUGGUAGAAUAUGAUUAUCCACCCUUAUGGUAUGUAUUGGAUAAAUUCUGAGUGUUCUGUGAUUGAUGUUGCUAUGAUAAGGUUAUGAUUCGUCCGAAGUUAAUUUGGUUGAAUUAGAUCUGUGAUGUAAUCGAAUAAGUUUCUAAGGAAGUUCUUGAAAAGAAAUGUGUAUCUUUAUGUUCAAAAAAGGGUAUCCACCAUGGUAAUUUCUUAGUUUUGAAUAUGGGUGUAUUUGUGGUUAUGAAAGACAUAAGAAAUUGUCAAUUUGAGUUCGACUGUGGUAUAUAGUGCUGAAAUUUGAGUAUCUGGUAUUGCCAUAUCUGAAGAGUAAUAUGUCUUAAUCUGAAAUCUUAUGGAAUCUGAGUUAUUUGUUACCUUGGGUAGAUUUGUGUUCUGUAACGAUUUGGAUAAUUCAUUAUCAGUAUAAGCAUGCAUUAAGGUUGAAUUAGAAAAUGAUUGGAUUUGGUAAAUUGAUGGAAUCCAACUCAUCGUGGGAAUCUAUCAAAGGUGUAAGAAUCUACCAGUAAACAGUAUCUGUGAACAGCAGUUCUGGAAUCAGUGUAUGUGUGAAGAGAUGGUCUAUAUAAAAUAGGCUCUGAAGGUGUAUUCUUUUAAAAAGUACUUUUGUGUUUUUUAAGAGAAAGAAGAGAUUAAUGAAAUGUCUAGAAGAAUCUCAAGUCAAUCAGGUAGUUAAGAGAGAACUGAUACACUAAGAGUAUGGUAGUUAGCGUGUAAAUCUAAGCCUGUAAUUGUGAAAGCAUUUGCCGAAAACAGAAGUAAGAUGUUGAGAAUGGUAGCUGGCACACAAAUAUUCAUUCGAUAUUAUAAAAGUAUCCACCAAGGUAUUCUAUAUUAACUAUCACUAAGUUCUCCUAAAUUUACAAAUGUUAUGUUUAUGUUUUAGGUAGUGUGGUAACGGAAUACGCCGGGAUGGGCGACACCAGGAGUGUGCCAAGGUAACGGCAAUAUGGACUAUUAAACAUAUAAUGGACUAUUUGUAAAUGCGACAUAUUAUAGAAUUACACCUUAGGAAACUAUCUUUAGUAAACUUUGUUUUGUUAAUGUGUUGUAACAAAUUUGAUGUAAUAUGUUAUUUCUAAAUACUAUCUUUUGUUUCUUUGAUUUUGAGUCUUUAAAUAAAAUUAUAAGAAUUACAUUUUUAAAUAAGGAGUACUCACCAAUUGUUUUGAAAUUUAGCUAAGUGAUUUGUGUUGUAACACCCAAGAUCAGGACUUGGUAAUUUGGGUCGGGUUGAGGACAUUAUAGUUACUCUAGUAGGAUUCUAGUGCUUCUUCAUCUUCUCUGGUAAGGCAAACACUCUCCCAUUAUUAAAUGCCUAAAUUCAGAUCAUGUCUCACCGAAAGCCAUUUUAUAACCUCCUGUUUAGGUUAGGGGGUUAUUAUUAUAUCCCUCCACCAUGAAGACACAUGUCAGUGCCAGAAACAUCAUUAACUCUCUUAUUGACUUUGAUUGAAGAUAAUCCUCACCUGACCAUCCAUCUAUUCCUUAAGGAAUCUAACCACACUUUCCCAAUGUGAACACAAUUUCAAGACAAUAAAGAGUCUAUUUAAGCAUAACAAUCUCGUACUAAUAGAGUCCCAUGAUAUACGACUAUCAUCCUUUACGCUUUUAACGAGGCUAAAUGUAUAUCCUACCACGUCAUAUUAAUAGAAAAGAGGAUCUCUCCUAUAAAUACCUUGAAAAACGAGGAAGAAAUGAUAGACCCCUGACGCCCUAAAGUUACUUUGAGCAAUUAUUUUCUUAGUCAACCUGUCUUCAUCCCAGAUCUAACUCUCGACCUCCUCUGCAACACCACGAUCCCCUUCUUAACCUUCUCCCUUACUGUACAUUGUAUAAAUAAGAGCAUAGAAACAUUUAAGAUAUUUAAACAUAUUAUAUUCAACUACAUGUUUGGCAGGCUAGUUGAUUUCUAGAUAAUAUUUAAACAUAUUAUAUUCUAUUUUGUUUACUUUUUCUCACUUUGAUAAUAAACUAGCUUUUCUUUCUUUUGCUAAGAUAAUAAACUAGUUAAUCCAAGUUGCAUGCGUUUUAUUCUAUUGAAAGUUCACUGUUUGUUUUUAUAUGGUAUUGAUUAACAUUACAUUUUAAAAAAAAAUUUAACUAACCCAAUUUAUUUUGAAUUUAAUAAAAACAAUUCAUAAAAUAAUAAUACAUAAGUUUUAAUUAAUGCGCUGAUAAAAACCGUCAACACAUCAAAUUAAUUGAAUCCUGGGUCUCUGCAUAUUUUAUCAUUCACUCUAUAUAUUUAAGUAAGCAUUAUUGAAAACAAGAAAAUAAAUAAAUAAGUAGAAGACAAACUGAUACUAUAUUUGAAGUCAUCAAUGGGAUAUUUACUAAGAACUUCUGGGAUGCUUAUUUUGACUAGUACCAAUUCAAUGAAAGUUAAUAACAAUGUUGGAUAUAAAUCCAAUUAAAAAAUGAGAAUAAUAAUUUUUUACGCUUCAAGUUCAGUGUAUAAAUAGCAUCCUAGUUCUCUAUCAUCUCACACCUCAACCACUCAAUCAUCCACUUCUUCUCUUCUUUGAACUCAAAGUCCCAGUUAAUAUUAGAAUCAUGGGUGUUGUCACUUAUGACUAUGAGUCUACCUCCCCAGUCGCCCCUUCCAGGCUUUUCAAGGCCUUUACUGUUGAAGCUCCGAAAGUUUGGCCCACGGCUGCACCUAAUGCAGUCAAGAGUAUUGAGGUUGAAGCUAAUCCUAGCUCUGGAAGUAUCGUAAAAAUCAACUUUGUUGAAGGUUAGUUCUUUCAUUGGCCUUUUUGUAGUCUGUUUUACACGAGUAUGUUGGAUAACAAGUAUUUAUUUGUUUAGGCCUUCCAUUCCAAUAUAUGAAGCACCAGAUAGGAGGACAUGAUGAAAAUAAUUUUUCAUACAGUUACGAUUUAAUCGAAGGUGGGCCUUUGGGGGACAAACUUGAAAAAAUCAGCUAUGAGAACAAGUUUGAGGCAGCUGCAGGUGGAGGAAGUAUUUGCAAGAGCUCAAUGAAAUUCUACACUGUUGGCGACAAUGUAAUCACUGAAGAUGAAAUCAAGGCUCUCAUUAAGGGAAGUGAGGGAGUUUACAAGCCUGUUGAAGCUUAUCUAUUGGCUAAUCCUGAAUCCUGCAACUAGGAUAUUGGUUGCUUUGAAUUCUGAUUCUUGGUUUUAAAGAGUGGUCAUUGCUUUUAAUGGUGUGUUUUUUAUAUUUUCUUUUUCCUUUUAAAACCUAAAUUGUCUUCUAAUUAUUUACAUAAGAGUGGUGGUGAUCGAGCUUUUGUCAUCUUUAUUUUCAUUACAGUCAAAGAAUUUGGGUUGUCUUUGACAUAUAUAGAAAUAAAAUAAACAAAUAAACUCAAAAAAAAAAAAAAAAAAGGUUUUACCUGGUAUAUUGAUGAGUGAAAAUUCACAGUCCAUAUUAGAGAUGUGCAUUCGGUGGUUGGAACGAUUUGAUUAUUUUAUAACAAUAAUCGAAUAAAUAAAAAAUUUUACUGCAAUUGAAUUAAUCGAACCAAACUUAAAAAGGUAAAAAUGAAACAACCGAACUGAAUUUAGUCAAUUCGAUUAGAUUUAGUUAAUCGAUUUUUGCUUUUUUUUGGUUUUUAACUUAGUUGAACUCCUCCGAUCCAAAAAUUCUUCACUGUUCGUGUCGGCAUGUUUGUUCCUCACAGAAUGGGAGCAAACAGUAGCCGCCUUACCUUUUGCUAUAAAAAGGAUUUUAGCCUUUGCUUUCAAAAUCAUCCCAAUCUCUCCAAGAAAGUGUGUAAUCUUUAUUUGUUUAGGCCUUCCAUUCUAAUAUAUGAAGCACCAGAUCGGAGGACAUGACGAAAAUAAUUUUUCAUAUAAUUACAGUUUAAUAGAAGGUGGGCCUUUGGGGGACAAGCUUGAAAAAAUUAACUAUGAUAACAAAUUUGAGGCAGCUGCAGGUGGAGGAAGUAUUUGCAAGAGCUCGAUGAAAUUUUACACUGUUGGGGACAGUGUAAUCACUGAAGAUGAAAUCAAGGCUCUCAUUAAAGGAAGUGAAGGAGUUUACAAGCCUGUUGAAGCUUACCUCUUGGCUAAUCCCGAAGCUUGCAACUAGGAUUUGGUUGCUUUGAAUUCUCAUGCUUGCUUUUAAAGAGGGAUCAGAUUUUAACGGUGUGCUUUUGAUAUUUUCUUCUUUGUCUUAAAACCUAUAUUGUCUUCCGAUUGUUGUAAAAAGAGUGGUGGUGGUGGAAUCAAGCUUUGAUAAUCUUUGACAUAUGAAAUAAACAAAAAUAUAAACUGGCAAAAAUAAUAAAAGCUUUACGUGGUAUAUAAUUUACAGUUUUCCUGAUAGACUACAAUUUUUUUUUACACUAAAACCUCGAUAAAUGAAUAUUUGAUAAAUUAAUAAUCUUGGUUAAAUAAUAUUUUUUCUUGGUCCCGACUUGAGUCAAAAGGAUAAAAUAAUAACCUGGCUAAAUGCAUAAUAUAAUAAUUUUUAGAAAGAAUCUUUAAGGGCCCAAUGAAAAUAUAAAAUAAUAAUUCAUUAAAUAUAUUAAGAUUUUUAUAUACCAUACAUAAAACUAAAAUGCUUUCUAGACAACUCUUACUCUUUUUCAAUUUUAUUCUUUGCUAAAAUAUACAUCUAUAGUUAACUGCUUCUUCUUUGCAUGUGAAUCAAAUACAGUUUUAUUUUUAACUUUUAGAAGGGCAUAAACCAAAUCUGGUAUAUUCUUCUUGUGUUGUAUUAAAUAAUUUUUCAAGGUAUCUACAACUAGAAAAGCCUCUUUUGGAGAAACAUGUGGCAAAACACUAUUGUCAUCAUCAGUUGGCACAUUCAUUACUCCUUGAAUAAUUUCUUCAUCCGUAGGUGACUUAAUCAAAGAUUCAUUUUCACUUGGAUAAUUUAAAAUCUGCUCAACAUCUAUGGCAUUUCUAUAGUGUAAAUCUGAAAUUACUUCUUUUAAUUUAUGAAUGUCUUCAACAUCACCAAUUUCUUGUUCGAGAGGCAUAUCCUCCUCGGAUCGAAUUUUGCAAAGUCGAAAACAAUUUGCAAUAGUUGUAGGCUUCACAUCAAUAUUCACUACAACAAAACAGGUUUUUAGCGGCAUUUUUAGUAGCGUUUGGACAAAAAACGCCACAAAAGGUUAGAGCUAUAGCAGCGUUUAUGAGAAAAACGCCGCAAAAAAAAUUUAUUUUAAACAAAAUGGAGCCGUUUUGCUUCCUGUCUAUUUAUUAUUUAACUAGUUUCUUUAUAUUAAAAAAAUACAAUUUAUUUUUAAUUGAAUGUUUAAAAUCUUUAGAAAAAAUUAAUGACAUAGAAAAAAUUUGAAAGUAAAAACAUAGAAAAAUAUAUGUUAAAAAUGAAAAAAAUUAAAAUACUAUUAUUUAAAAAUUAUAGUUUUUUAAUUUAUGUAUUAAAUAAUUUUUUAUAUAAUUUUAAAAGAGAUAAUAUUAAUUUUAAUAUAUUAAAAUUAUCAUUAUGGUUUAAAUUAUUUAAGAGAUAAUAGAUAAACUUUAUAUAUAAUUAAAAUUAAAAAAAUUGCUAACCCAUGCAUUUAUAGAAAAACAAAAUUAAUUAGUAAAUUGAAACAGUUAUUUAAAUUUCCUAAAAUAUUGAAAGAAUAUAUAAUUACAAAAGAGAAAAAAAUUUAAAGUUUUUUUUUUCAUAUUUUGAAUUUUUUUAUUUUCUUACAUAAAAAUUAUAUAAAAAUUUCAAAUUUUAUCUAAUUCUUUUAAAUAUUACUUAAAUUUUCAAAAAUUAUUUAUUUGAAAUUGAUAUGAAAGAUAUAAUAAUUCAAUAUAAAAAUUGUAAAAAAAAUAAUAUUUAAAUAAACGCCGUAAAAAAUCAUUUUAUUUUAGUGUUUAGGGUUUAGAAUUUAAGGUUUAAAGUCUAGGGUUAGGGUUUUAAGGUAUAUAGUUUAGUGUUUUGGGUUUAGGGUUUAAUGUUUUUGGGUUUAAGAUUUAGGGUUUAGUGUUUUAUAGUUUAGGGUUUAAGGUUUAGGAUUUAGUGUUUUAAGAUUUAGAAUUUAUGUUUUAGGGUUAGGGAUUUCAAUAAAAAUGACAAAAAAUUAAUUUAUUUUAGGGUUUAGGUAAGCAAGAAGAUUCUUUUUUUAAUUACUUUUGUACCUUAUAAUAUAUAUUAUUAAAUUAAUAUCAAAAGCAUAAUAAAGUAAAAAGGAGAGAGAAAUUCAUUAUUUCCAUAUUUCCUUAUACAAAAAUCCACCUCUUGGUAAUUUAGAAUUUGGGAAGUUAAGCUUAGCUCAAUUAGUGUGAGAAUUGUUGUCAACAUAAGAGAACAUGAGUUUGAGUAUGUUGAAAUGCAUUAUCUUCCUGUUUAUGAGUUGGGAAGGAAUUAUUAGUUGUUGUAGACAUAAUAUCAAAAAAGAAUUUGAGAAGUUAAAUUUUAUCAAAAUCAAUUUGGAUAAAUUCUAUCAACUGCACAAAAAAUUAAUCUUGUGGAUACAAACUCUUCAUAAGGAAGUUUGGUUUCAUUUUUUAAAAUUAUUUUCGUACACAAUUAUAAAAUUUUACAAAUUAAAUAUAUUGUUUGAAACAAAACAAACUUAUUUAAAGGAAUUUAAGAAAUAAUUAAACUAUAAAUAUUUAUUAGUAUCAAAGGCAUUAGCGGCGUUUAUGAUUAAAACGCGGCAAAAAAACAUUUUACUUUAAACAAAACGGUGCCAUUUUUAGUGGCAUUAAUGGUGCUAGGUGAAAAACACCGCAAUAGAGCGAGCAUUAGCGGAGCUAGGUAAAAAACGCCGGAAAAAAACAUUUUACUUUAAACAAAAUGGCGACGUUUUUAAUGGCAUUAGCGACACUAGGUGAAAAACGCCACAAUAGAUCGAGCAUUAGCGGCACUAGGUAAAAAUCAUCACAAACGGUCAUUUUGUUUUAUACGAAACUGCGUCGCUUUGCUCUCCUCCAUUUUAUCCCAACCCAUAUACUCGAAACACCUUAUAUUUUCCCCCAAAAAAAUUUCCCCAAAUCCCUAAAUUUUCCCCAAAUCAAAAUCCCAACCCAUUUGCUGCAUCGCCGUCGACUCAACCUUCUGCUGCAUUACCGUAACUGUCCCCUCUGCUGCGUCGCCGUCGCACUCCUCUGCCGCAACCAAUCAGUAAAUUUAACUCCUCUGCCGUCGCUUUUCCAAGAUUUAACAUGUCUAGAUUUUUAUUUAAUUAAAAUUUGACUUAUAAAAGGUGGAUUUUGGGACAUUAGAUCCCACUAAGGAGGGGAAUAAGAAAUCUUAGCCCUUGGUUUAUAUUAAGUUGGAGUAGAUAAAUUCCAGUAAGGAAGAAAGGAGAGGCUGCUUCUAUUUUCAUCAAGUAGAGUCGGUUAGGAGAAGCGUAAUGCCAAGAGAAGAAACUGUAAGUCUCCCUGCUGGUUUUCUUGAAUUUUAAAUGAAACUUAAUUAUCAAAUGGUCACGUAUAUAUACUUCCCAUCCAAUAGGAAAUUCGAUUGUGAGUUGUUGAAGAACCUAAGUAAUAUUUCUUAAGGAGAAAGAGGUAAGAAAAUUGGGUUCAUUCAUAGCAUUCAUGAGUUCAAGUAUAACGUUUGGGUUUUUAUAAAUGCUGGUUUUAGAGUAACUUUUUAUCAUGGAAAAUGGUUGUAUAUGCUUGAAGCUAGAGAAGAGAACAGGGGUGAAAGGAGUAUCAAAGGUGAAGAGAAGUUAGUGGAUUGAAGUUUGGUGUUGAACCUAGUGUCUUGGGAAGCUUAUUAAGGUUAGUGUUCUCUUGAAUUUUAGCAUGCUUGUGCGAAAUAAAAUUUAAGUAUUUACCGGGCAUGAUUGUAAAUGUAAAUAAUAUGGAAAAGAAUGGCUUGCGAUGGUUUGUUCAUCAUUUAGAAAGAUUAGCAAAUGAAUUUGACUAGGCAAGUCAUAACCGAAUUAGUAAUAUGGUAUGGUUUAUUUUUGCUAAAUGAACAUGGCAAGACAAUAUAGAAUAAUUUGAGAACCAUGUUGUAUGCUACUUCAUAAGUUACAAAAGAGUAUAGUUAAGGAGUUUAAUUUGUCAUUAUUUAAAGUAUUACAGAUAAAAAGAUAUUUCAAUUUAUAUCUUAGAAAGAAAUCCAUUAAUCCAUUAAUGCAUGGGAUCCUUAGUUUUGAUUCUAAAUUUUUAUUUUUAUUAAUAUAAAUAAUUAUUAUUCAAAGAUAUACAAUUAUUUAUUUUUAUUUAUUUAUUAAUAUACUUCUAUUCAUGUAAUAUAAAACAAUUAAGGUAUUUUAUAAUAUGAUACUUGUUUACUUAUAAAUUUUAAUAGUUUCAAUUAUAAAAACCAACACAGUCUAAUUAAAUAUUAUCAGAUUUUAGAUCUCUUUUUUUUUUUUGCUUUAACGUAUUUCAAUAUUUAUUAAUUUUAAAAUGAUUUACUUAUAUUAGUGUAAAACUCUAAUUUUACAUAUUUUAUCACUUUUUUUGUAAGGUUAAUAUUUUUACAAUCCAACCAUUAAAAUUAUUAAUAUAAUUUCAUUUAUCAUGUAAGGUUUGUAUGCUGGUAUUAUAUUUUGUCUCAAUUCAUAGGAUACUCUUGUAUACGUGGUUGUAUACUUAAUGAAAUUGCAUUGCUUGGUUGUCAACUACACAAUGACCUUGAAUCUCUUAUUAGGGUUUGGGAUUACUUUUAUAUUAAGGGUAGAUAAUUGGAAUUUUAAAUAAAAUUUAUAAAUUUAUAUUAUUUAUUAAAAAACACAAAUUUAUAAAUUAAAAGAGUAUAAUUAAAGGGUUCAAAUUUAAAGUUAAAAUUUAAAAAUGAUAAUCAUAACUUACACAACUUACAUAAUUUACAUUGACAAAUAAUAAUAUUUUCUCAUAACAUUUAUAAUUAAUCAACUUACUUUCGAUUCAAUAGGUUUGGAGUGGAAAGGAUGUCAAUGACAAAGUUAAAUAGCUUUCCCAAGGGUCCAAAUAGAGUAGUAAAAAGAUAUAGUGUCUUCAUCAUCAAUGGAUUCAGGUUUCAUACAAAAUCUCGCAAAAGAUUGAGGAGGACUCGAAAUUGUGGAAUAGUUGUUAAUUCUUCAAUUACAAGUUAUGCUAGUGCUAGGACUGUAAUCCUGUUAAGGGAAAUGUGGAGUAUUACGGACUUCCUACUGACAUUAUUGAGUUGGAUUACUAUGGCAAAUGGAAGGUUGUCUUAUUUCGAAUUGAUUAGGCUGAUGUUAAUACUGCUCGCGGAAUUAAAAAAGAUCAAUUUGGUUUUACAAUAAUGAACUACUCUCGAUUAAUUCACACUGGACAACAAUUGAUAAACGAGCCGUAUGUAUUUUCUUCCCGAUUGAAACAAGUUUUUUACUCAAAAGAUCCAACUGAUGAGGGUUGGUACGGUCCCUAGAGAGUUGUUUGACAUGGGCAAUGGAAGUAGAGAUGACAUCAAUGAAAGAUCAGAAACUUUGUCUUUUCUAGAACAAAACUUAAAUGAAACUAUCCCUAGUAUUAGUACACAAUUUCAAUGGGUUCGCCAUGAUGUGGAUGAAGAUGUUUACGAAUUAUGAUGUAGUAAGAUUUUACGAUUUUUUAAUUAUAUGUAAUAUUAUAAUUUAAAUCUUGAUCUUGUUAAAUAUUUCAUCUAUUUUAUAUGUACUAUUAUUGUUGUAAUUAGUUACUAAAAUUUCAAUUAUUUUAUGUGUAUUGCAGAUAAAAAGCCUAAAAGAAGAUUGUGAGAUCUAUGUAUUGUUCAGAAUCCCCCAAAUUGGGAAGAAACAAAUAGUGAAAAACAAACUGCUAUUGGAUCUUCGAAUGUUUCGAAUACAGCUGACGAACCUACAGAAAUUCAAAGUAAUGUUAACUUUAAUUUACAUGCGUGUUGACUUUUAUUAUUGAUUUCUGUUUCAAAUUCUUAUAUUAUAAUAUACCAUUUUUUUCAACUAAAAGUGGUGGGACACGCAAAACUCGAGGACGUACACUACUAAAAGAUUUAUACGAGUUAAAUUCUGUCGAGCGUGUCAAAGUAGAUAGAAACAGUCUUGGUCAGCCUAUUGGAUCUGUAACACACCAAAAUUUUAAUUUUGGGUAUUGUGAAUGUGUGACACAAAUAUCUAUCAGCUUUAAUGGUUAAGUGCUUUGGGUGUGUGUGGGAGGUCCUAAGUUCAAGCCAUGACUUGGGCAAAUUUUAGUAUUUUUAUAAAUAAAGCCUUAACCUAGCCUAAAGGGCUUAAGUUUAAUAGUCGGUAAUAAAUAACAGAAUGGUCUUGCCGGUUUUGUGGUUAAGUGGAGUGUUUGAUUGAAUGAGGUCUUGAGUUUGAAUCCAUGUUGGAGCGUAGGCAUUAUUUUUGCGCAGUGAUGGACGAGUAUUUCGGCAUAGUGGGAUUCUGGAGUGGUUGUAGGUUAGUAGGAUUAGUGGAGGAAAUUAAGGGAUAAUGGGAGUAGUGGUGAGAUAAUUAAGGGAUUUUGGGAUUCUAUCAAACUCUUUUAGUUAAUUUCGGUUCAUCCAAAAUUCUAUUCUCUCUUCCCCAAAAUUUUUUCCAUCGUUCUGACAUUUAUUCACCCAUUUUCUACCGAAUUUCCAUUGUUUCCUCCCUCUUUUCUUUUGAUUUCUUUUAUGCCUCCAUCGUAAUCGAUGAUUGAAAUCACUCGAUUUGGUAAAUAUUCGUUUCGCCACUUUCUCUUGUUCCGUGGUUGGUUUUAUGAAAAAGGGUUGUUUUGGUUCUUUCGAAUUAGGUGAAAAUCAAGUAGCGGUAGGUGCUUGUGUAGAGAUUUGACGUUUGGGUUUUCAGUUUGUUGCCAGUCUUGGAGUGCUUGGGAGCAUAUUUACAAUGAAACGAUACUAGGUGUGUACCCGGAACACAAAAAUAAGGGAUUUGGUGAAAAGCCGAAAUUGCUUGCUAUUUAGACACCAGCAGUAGGCUAAAUUUGAUAAAUCACCAUAACUUGUGAAAAUUUAAUUAGAGGAUGAAAAAAUAUAGGACUAAAUAUAUUUGAGUGUAGUUUCUCAUGGAAGAAACUAAGUAAGAAAAAGACUUUCAUAUUAUGAGAUAUUUGAAUUUUAGUGAGACAGGGUCAGAAUGCUUUUAGAAUCCCCUGUCCGGAUUUUUGAAAAUUAUUAAAAACUUUAUAAAAAUAAUUGUGGGUUAGAAUUUAUAUGUUUAAAAUCCAGAAUUCUAUACGAAUUCUAUACGAGAAGAUCAUCUGAAUUCUAUACGAGAAGAUAAUUAAUUUUUAGUACAAAAUGAUUGAAACUGUCAGACAGCAGAACAGGGGAAAAUUUAAAGAAUAAAAUGUACUUAUUUGCUAAAACCAAAAAUUCUGAAAAUUUUAUGGUGAGAAGAUAUGUGAGUCUAUUUUUAGGGAAAUUUUUUGGAUCUUAAUUCAGAAUUCUGUAGCUUAAGAUACAAAUAAUUUAGUAAUAAUGACUCAAGUAGACAGCUUUGAAGGAUAAUAUAAGUAAAUAGUGGAAACACAUAUGAAUAAUUAACUAGCACGGGUUACAUUAAAAUGGAUCAUGAGGCCAAGGCCAAUUUGGGUCAUGUGGGCCACACGAGUGUGUGGGCCCACACGGGCUAACAUCAUGGACUUGUAGGCUCAUUUUCACUGUUUGACUGAUAAGGUUGCACGAGUUGCCCAAGUCGACUGUGAACCUAUUGUAGGGUCGAUAAGCUCACUUAGACCCCUAAUUGACUGAAAUGAUUGUAUGACUGAUAUGAUUAAGCCUGAUGAUGUCCCACUGAUUUGAUACUAUAUGCCCUAUUUACAUGCGUGAUAUUAUGUUAUAGCAUGUCAUAUAUGUAUAUUGCAUUGCAUUUGGUUAGGGGAUUAUAAUGUUUGGAGGAAGUGUACUGAAAGGCCUCGAGCCUAACUUACUAGUAGCUCAACUGCAAACUACUGUCUAGUGUUGUAUUCGGUACUACUUGGAGUGUAGGGAUGGGUGGGUUGAUUAUAUCCCUACAUGCAGUGUAGGGUUGGACGGGGAUUGUGUGUAGAGGCUGGAUGGGUAGGAUUUUUGUGACUGUAUAUCUAUUACGCUACUGAUACUGUGAUGGGCUAAAGCCCUACUUCAUGACUGUUUUUGUAUUGGGAUGGGAUAAGGCCCAAACUGGACUAAUAUUGAUACUGAAAAGGGCUUAAGCCCAGACUGUGACUAUCUGUUUCCUAUCUGUACAUUUGUAUGGGGAUUACACACUGAGUUUACGUAAACUCACCCCUUCUGUUUAAUCUGUUCAGGUAACCCCCAGAUAUAGGCGGAUUGGUGAGGCGAAGGACUCAGUGGUGGCCACACAACUUCAUUUACACUGUUUAUUACCUAUUUAUGAUUUUACUUUUAUUUGGGAGUAUUUUGCUAUAAUUAUGGCCUUUACGAAUUUUAGUUUAAAUUUGGUUUUUAUAUGGUUUUAUGAUUUAAAUCUGCUAGUUUUAGGUAAAACUCAAGUUUUCAAAUGAAAUUAAUAUUUUAUCAAAAAUACCACGAAUGCGCAAACUAUUUAAAAGCUUCUGCAAUAAAAAAACGUUUUGAAAUUGAAUUACAAUUUGUAAAUGAAUAAUGUUUUGGAAACGAACAACAUGAUUUGAAAUUAACAUAAGGUAAUGAAAAAAAUGGUUAAAUAGAAAAGAGAAUUUAGCGACAACAUAUUUUUCGAAAAGCACUACCCUGUGACAUUGUCAAAUUUGGCCAUAACGUCUAGGCGGGGUUUGGGGUGUUACAAGAUCAGAAGCUCGACUUUUAACUGGAUACUUAGGCAUUGUAGCACAAAAUGCCAAUCUGUUUCCUAUCACUACGAGUAAGGGCAUCAUAUGCCUGAUACUAACAAAAAUAAGCUAUCGAUUAUAUUAAGGUAAUAACGUGAAUGUAAUUUAUAAUACUUUGGUUUAAGUUUCAUUUAUAUUUACUUUCUAAAUUUGUAUUUUUUGCAGGAGAGAUUUGCUUUAGAGGUCUCGGAUAAUUAUGUGAAGAAGGCAUUAGGAAAAAAAUGGAGAGACCAUAAAAGUUCUUUAAAGAAGGAAUAUUUUAAGAAAAAUAUAUGUCUUGAAGAGAAAUUGCGAAAUGUCCCGCCAGGAAUGUUGAGGUACCAAUGGGAAGAUGCAGUUAGAUUUUGGAAUUCAAAGAAAGGAGAGGUAUUGCGUACUUCCAAACUCUUAUAAUUAUUUUGGUUUAUAGUAUUUACUAUAUACGUAAUAAUAAUUUCAUAAUGUAGGAUCGUGAGCGAGUUGGAACUACAAGUAGGCAAAAACAAAAAUUCACGCACACAGCUAGGUCGAAAAGUUUUGCUUGCGUAGCUGAGACCGAGGUAUUUUGAAUUUAUUAAUUGUGUCAAAUAUUAAUUACUUUCUACUAAAUAAUAUUUUUACUACUAUACUGUAGGAACUGUCAUCUGGUCAAAAAGUUGGACGCCUUCAGCUUUUUGACAUUACACAUAGAAAGAAAGAUGGAUCUCCUAUGACUACUGAAACUGCAGAAAUUAUGGUAUAUUUACUUAUUAAAAUUUAAAUUAGUUUAAAUAUUUAUCAUGUUUAAUUAUAAUGGUUUAAUUCGUCGUUUUUAAUGUAAAUAAUGUUAAGUUAUGUUACAUUUGUUUUUAUUAUAUAUUUCAUUUCUAACUAUUUGAUUGAUUUAUUAGGAGAAACUAAAGGAUAAAAAGGCGAAGUAUGAAGCGAUCGCUUCGAGUGAUAGUUCUGUUAAUCUUGACGACAUUGAUAACCAAAUUAUUACUGAAGUUUUGGGCCCUGAAAUGUAACACCCCUAACCCGUAUCUAUCGCCAGAAUAGGGUUAUAGAGCAUUACCAGAGUUUACUAAUUAAUUUUUAGACUUUUCUUUUCAUCAAGCAUUCAUAUUUAUAACCAAUCAAAAUUAAAAUAUUAAUGAGCUAACGUUAACCGAUUUCACUUGUACAUGCCAUUAUAACCAAAAUCAAAUCAUCCAAAAUUAUCGAUAGAACCAAUGGAUAAUGUGAUAUAUCUCCAACAAGCUUCCAACUCAAUCGAGCUUCUAAUAAUCAUUUCAAUGCAUCAAAUAAUUAUACAUAUUACCAAUAAUAAUUCAAUUCCAAUAAUAAAACACACAUACAUAUAUAUAAUAUUCAUUACCAAAUAGCAUUCACUUCAAUUAAAAUUAUACAGAAUAUAGUUCAUACGAACUUACCAGGCUAAAUUGCAGAAAUACCAAAAUUCAGGGACAUUUUGGAAAUUUUCUACUUUUCUCAAAUUUCCACCCAAUCUUGAUCUAAAUUAAUAUUUCAUUCAAUUUAAUAAUUUAAAUAAUAAAACAAUUCAUUUCAUACAAUUUGGUCACUUUUUGACAUUUUUACAAAUUUACCCUUAAAGUUUUACUUUUAUUCAAUUUAGUCUCUGAGCCUAAAACGUGCAAAUUAUCCAUGCUAGCUGAAUAUUCAUAUAUAUAUUUUCCUCCUUCUCCUCUCCAUUCCACAUCCUUAAUUUAUAUAAUAUGCUUAUAUGUAACAUUAUCUAUGAUUUUACUAUUUACUUGUAAAUUUAUUCAAAACUGUCCAUUUGAGUCAUAACCAUUAAAUUAUUUUUAUCUUGAGCUACAUAACUCCAAAUUAGGAUCCGCUAAUUUUUCCUGAAACUAGACUCACAUAUCUUCUUACUAUAAAUUUUUUAGAAUUUUUGAUUUAUCCAAUAAGUACAUUUUAUUCUUUAAAGUCACCUCUAUUCUGCUGUCUGACAGUUCCGACCCUUCUUCACUAAAACUUAAUUAUCUCCUUGUAAAGAAUUCGGAUGAUAUCCUCAUUUGUUUCUAUUGAAAAUAUACUCUUUAAGGAUUUUAAACAUAUAAAUUAUAACCCAUAAUUAUUUUUGUACAAUUCUUUUAUGAUUUUCCAAAGUCAGAAUAGGGGAACCCGAAAUCAUUCUGACCUUGUCUCAGAAAAUCUAUUAUAUCUCAUGAUUUACAAUUCCAUUACUUACACUGUUUCUUCUAUGAGAAACUAGACUCAGUGCUUUAAUUCCAUAUUUUGUUCAUCCUCUAAUUUCGUUUCCACAAUUUAUGGUGAUUUUUCAAAGUUAACCUACUGCUGCUGUCCAAAACUGUUUUAGUGCAAAAUGUUAAUUACUAAGUUUAUAACUUCCUUAUUCCCUUUCUCUAUAAUAUUUCUCAUCACUUUCACUUAUUUCUCUUCACUAAUAUAUCAAUAACAUAAGAAUUUAUAUAAUAAAACUCUACUAUAACAUCUUUUCUAUGCUAUUUCAAUAAUAUCAAACUUAAAAAUAUAUUGAAAUCUCAAUGUUCUUACCUUGUCCUAUUGAUUUCAACCUUUAACUUGAUUUUCUCUCUCCUCCAGCUUUAAUUUCUUGAACCCAACUUGAUAUUCUAGCUCCCCAUAGUCUCUUUGUUAGUCUCUUUGUUAUCUUUCUCUCUUGAUGGCUAUGGAAAUUCUUUUGAUUUCUAAGUGAAAAUGGUGAAUUUUUUUGGUGGAAGGACCAAAUUGUAAAGAAAGAAAAAUUUUCUUUCUUCUCUUCUCUUCUAACGUGAAUUGCAUGGAAAAGAUGGUGGGUUGGUUCCUUUUCAUCUUUCUUUCCACUUAUAUAUACUAAAUAAUAAAAUAAUAAAAUAUCAUUUAAAAAAUCAAAUUAAAAUAUUAAUAAACUAUUAUUUAUUUAUUUAAUCUAAAAUAUCUCCAACAUCAUCAUUAUCUUCUAGAUUUCUGUCUCUUCUAAAUGACCAUUUUGCCCUUUAUGAUCUUUUCAAAUUCCAUCAUUGAGUCAUGACUUAAUUUGGUAAAAUUAUGAUAUAGUCCCUAGAUUAUUCCAACCUUAAAAUAUUUGCACUUUAACCCCUCAAAUUUUGAGUAUUUACUCUUGGGCAACAAAACUUUUCUCACUUUUGCGAUUUAAUCCUUUCUUGAAUUAAUAUGUCAUAAUUUACUUCUUAAUGUUGACAUAAGUCAAAAUUACCCUUUUUAUCACUUUAUUUCGUUAUUUUACUUUAUUAGGAAUAUUAUCUUAUUUUCUUACUGUAGUAAUUUUCAGGGUAUUACAUGAAAGGUAUGGUUGGGUUCAAUUUCAAGGAUCUUUUGUUAACCUAGCCCAAUAUUUUGGAUCCAGCUUGCAGCAAUACAUGCCUUCGGGGAGUCAGGCUCAAGCUGAAGUUCAGAGGUUAAUAGACCAGAUGACUUAGAUGAAAGCGAGCACAUUUGAGCAAAUUGCUCAACUUAAAGCGGAAGCAGCAUCGAGAGAAGUAGAGGCUCAAAGAAAAUAUGAAGAACUCCAGCUACAGCUUAAAGCAGAGGAAACAGCGAGGGAAGCAGAGCAAAGCAGAAAAUAUGAUGCACUCCAGUUAUAGCUUCAGAAUAUGAUGAAGAUGUUUCAGCAGUCGCAUAAUCCGCCAUCUUAGACAUUUGUUUUCUUAUUGUACGAAUAUUUUAACAUUAUAAAUUUUGAAAAUAAUAAUUUUUUUCAUUUCAUUUAUUAAUUUAGAUCAUUUAUCUUUUCAUUGGGAUUUGAAGUAUCAUUUAGAUUUGCAGUUUGGUUGGAUUUGAUGUUAUAGUAAAUUAUGUUGACAAUUCGGGUUCUAUAUAAAUGAAAAUGGGAUGUUAAAAAUCUGCUAAAGUUAGCGGUGUUUUCUCCACAAAUGCCGCUAAAGAACAUGACCUUUAACGGUGUUUUUUAGUAAAAUCGCCGCUAAAGGUCAUGUUCUUUAGUGGUGUUUUUGGGGAAGCGCCGCUAAAAGUCAUGUUCUAUAGCGGCGUUUGUGGGAAAGCGCCGCUAAAGGUCAUGUUCUAUAACGGCAUUUUUCCACAUAAACGCCGCAAAAUUUAGCGGCGUUGUCUAUAGCAGCGUAUUUUGUGGCGCAUGUAAAAAUGCUGCAAGUAGUUUAUAAGCACCGCUAUAGACCCAAAAAAAUGUCGCUAAAAACCUAUUUUGUUGUAGUGAUUCCAAGAAACUUUAAUAAAAUUGAUUGCAUCCAAUACAUUAAUCUUUUCAGGAUCUAUUUCUCCUUUCUCGGAACCUUCCAAGAAGCUAGAAUAAAAGCGACGUCGAUAAUAAAUCUUAACUGCUCUAAUACUUUUAGCAUCACAUGAUUGAAUUUUUUAAAAUGAAUUUGGAGGAAAAAAGAAUAAUUCAACGUUUCUCAAGCCUUCAAUAACCUUGGGAUGGGCUGGGCAAUUGUCUACUGUAAGCAACAUAUUUCUACUAGUCAUUCUAGCAUCAAACUAGCGAACAAGAUCUUGAAAAAUUAAUCCAGUCAUCCAUUUUUUUAUUGGCUCGAUAAUGACAGUUAAGAUUGUCAAUAUUCACAUGUUUAAAACAUCUAGGAUUAGCAAACUUAACAAUAACCCAAAAAGACACUUUAUUUGAACCAUCCCCAUUGCAACCACAGCAGUAAGUCUUUCCUAGUCUUUUUUUAGUCCUUCUAAUUGCUUUGUAGCCAGUGAAUGAUCUGCUUGCAAACGAUAAAAUAAGCCUAUUUCAUCCAUAUUAUAGAUAUCCUUCCAAUCAAUUUUUUUUUUAAUUUAGCUCAUAUUUCAGGUAAAGCAUCUUUAAUAUUCUCCUUAAUAACUUGACCACUUUCACCAAAUCUUCAAUAAGACUUAAUCUCAUGUCUUGCCUUGAACCGUUCUAGCCAACCGAUUGAGAAGUAAAAUUUGGAAUUUGCAUCACCUUACAUUUUCUAUAGAAACUCUUUUGCUUUAGUUUGAAUCAUUUCUCCAGUCAUGUUUACUUUCUCUUGAUAUUGGAGAAACCACUCAUACAAUACCUUCUCUAAUUCAGGAUAUUUGGUUGAUUUGUGCAUUUUAACAUUGCUAUUCUUUCUCUUUCGACAAAUAUUCAGAUGACUUUUUAAAAGUAUUAGAUAUUGUUGAUUGGCUAACAGAGAGAUCAAAUGUUUGCUGAACUCACUGUUGCAAAUAUUUUUGACUUGAAGAGGGAUGUUCAUUUUUGUACUCACAUAAUGCUUUUCUCAUCUCAUCUGUCAAUGUAGACUUUUUUACACCUUUCAAAUGGGAAGCCAUGGAAGAAAAGAUUAUAUGAAUUACAUUAUUUUGAUACGUACAUGUGUUUAUUUAUAAUAAAAUUUGUAAUCUAUCCAGUGAAUAUAUACGUAUUGGAUUUUGAAACCAUUAACUAUUUUUUCUUUUUGUUUACAUGAACCAAUUAAUUAACUCUUUUUUUUGUUAUAAUUAACUUUGAUUUAUUGCACCUAAAUGCAUAUUGGAUUUUGAUUAAAAAAAAUACUCAUGCAUAAAGUAUGAAAUAUUCUCUAAAAUAAUAAAUGUUAAUUUAUCGAUAAAUUAAUAAAAUAUUUAUUUAUUGAUAAACUAAUAAUCUCAAUAAAAUAAUAAUUUUUUCAGGUCUCAAGGAUAUUAUUUUAUAGAAGUUUUACCGUAUGUGUUUUGGGUUAGCAAAACUGUGAAUAAGUGUUUUUUUUUUUGUUUUUUUUAAACUGAAUUUAUAUUCCAAAUCCAAAAGAAAUAUCAUCUGAUGCAUUGUAAUCAUAGUGUAGGCUUCUUCUUCUUUUUUCAUAUAUGUGAGUUAAAAAAUUUAUUUUGCAGAGUGUAUGGUUGUAUAAUUAUUUAGCAAACUAGGCAAAAUCAGCAGGUGAAGUGUCCGACUUCAAAAACCGACGCCCCUAGAGUCCGACUUCAGUGAAGCAAGCAGGAACAACUUGAAAGUUGUAUCCUGCAGAAAUCAUCUUCCACUUUGGGCAAAGAAAGAUGAAAUGCUCAAAUAUAAAAUGGAGUAAUAUCAUGAUAUUCCCUGAAUGUUUAUCAAAAUUUUUAUAGUCUAUCCAGUUUAAAAUUUAUCAAAAUUUCGAUAUGAUCUCUCCACUUGCAAAUUAUAUUUUAAAAUAGUAUGUUAUUUUCUAAAUUAAAAAAAUAAAAAAUUAAAUUAAAAAAUAUUAUAGGAAUUAAAAAAUAUGAAAAAUAUUACAAUUACUUUUAAAAUAUGGGAAUUUAUAAUUUACUAGUUAAAGAAAUUAUAGUAACAAUCUUAAAUUAAAACUUAUAUGUUGCUUUUAAACUUAAAAAGUAGUUUUAAUAUUGGUAUAUUUUUACGAAUAAUAAAAAUUACAAAAUUAUAAUUCAACUCCCAAAUUUUUAAUAUUUUAAAAGAUAGUAGUAUAUUAUUUCUUAAAAAAUGAAUAAUCACUUGCUAGAAAAAUUUGAAGAUGAAUAAAGCAAUAAACUUUAAUAUUUUGAAAUACCUAUUUAUUAAUAUUGAAAAAUAACAUCCUAUUUUUAAAUAUAAUUUUAAAGUGGUGGAUUAUAUUGAAAAUUGUAUAUACAUUCACAGGCCAUUUAUGAUGUAAUGUGAACUGUCAUCAUUUUCUAAGGGCGGCAUCUCAUUUGAAAGUGAUUCUUCAAUCUAAAAAUGGAAUAAAAUCAUAAAUGACCCUUGAAUGUAUAUCAGAUUUUUAAUAUAGUCCAUCCAAUUUAAAAUUAUAAUUCUGUAAUUUUUAUUAUUAGUAAAAAAUUACCGAUACUAAAACUACUUUGUAAGUUUAAAGUAACAUAUAGGUUUCAGUUUAAAAUUGUAACUAUAAUUUCUUUAACUACUAAAAUUUAAAUUCCGAUAGUUUAAAAGUAAUUGUAUUUCAAUAUUUUAUUUUUUUUAAUUCUUAUAAUAAUUUGAAUUUAAAUUUUUAGUUUUUUUAAUUUAGAAAAUAACAUACUAUUUUAAAAUAUAAUUUGUAAGCGGAGAGACCAUAUCAAAUUUUGAUAAAUUUUAAAUAAACAAAAAAAUCAUUAUUUUUUAAAUAAAAAAUCAUUAUUUUUUGUCACAAUUUUAAAUUAUUAUUGUGAAUUUUACUACUAAUGUUUUUCUCUAAUUUCAACAAAAAUAUAGUGUAUAAUAUUUAUAAUAGAUCAUCUGUAAUUCUGAGUGACUUUUAGAUUAAAUAGAGUUAAAAUAUUUUUUUAUAUUAAACUCUUUUUAGUUUAUAAGAUUAAAAAUAGAUAAAAUAAUAUUUUUAUAUUUUUUAUUCUAUUUUAAAUGAAUUAAUUAAUUUUAUUUAUUUAUUGCUUAUUUUUUUCUUAUGAAAUAUUUUUGUUUAUUUAUUGUUUUUGUUAAUUGCCUUUAUUUUCUUACCGUUAUCAAAUAAAAAGAUAGAAACUAAAUAAUAAAGAAAAUGGGAGAGUAAAGAGAAAAUAUGUUUUAUUGAUCAAUUGGAAUUUUUACAAUGCUUCUCCAAAGUCUCUAUUAAUAGGCAUAAGAAGUAUAAAUGAAGUAGAGAUCUAAUUUUAAUGACUACUAGAAUUUAAAGUACAUCAAAGCUUAUCUUGAUCUUGAUGGACAUCCACUUAAUAAUAUAUUCAUAACACUCCCUCUUAUUAUGUCCAUUGGUUGAUAAUGUGUCUCGUUAAAACCUUACUAAGAUAAAAACUUUGUAGGAAACAAAUUCCCGGUGAAGGAAAAAGAGUACACAUAUCUAUAAUACGCAUAAUAAUGCUGCCUCAUUAAAAAACUUACCAGGAAAACCUAAUGGGACAAAACCUCGGUUAAGGGAAAAGUAGUGCAGCGUGUACUUACUCCCCCUCAUGAAAACAUCACAUACUUUCUCAUAUUCUACGUAUUCAAUCUUGAAUACUAGUUUUUCAAAUGGCUAUUUGAAUGUAUUUGCUAAGCAUUUAUAUCACCAUUCUUUUGAAAGUCAUGAGUGAGGGAAAAUUUGGGGGAAAUACAUUUUGAUCUCUUUAGGAGUUUCAACAAUAAUCAUAGCAAAAUUUAAUCAUGAUUGUUCUAUAAAAGUACAAAUAAGUAUUUUUGAUCAUUUUAUAAUCCUUAUUCAACUACUAUUCAGUAUGUCAAAUUUACCACAUAUGUCCAAAUUAUUUCAAUUCAGAUAAAUGAACAAUUUCCCUAGAAUUUCAAUAUGCUUCUGCCAUACUAAAUCCUUCAAGGAUUUUAAUAUAACCUUUACUAUAUAGUGAUUCAUAAAAAGUUGUAACAACAACCAUUAGACGAAAGUUAAAUAUUUUAUGAACUGUCAGUUUAAUAAUAUAUCUAAAGGUUAUUGCAUCCACCACAAAAAAAAAUCUUAUAUCCUUUCAUAAUCAAUAUCAAGGCUUAGCGAAAAACUUAAUAUUUUUAUUCCGCUUUUGCAAAACUACUUCAUUUGUACCCUCACUAGCUUUAUACCUUUAAGUAUUUAGACUACCGAUAAAAAAAAACCCCACAAAUUUAAUUGUACUUGAGUUGUGUCUUUCUAUUUUGAAAAAUCUAUUCCAUAUCUAUAUUUCUUAAUAGCUUUUUUUCAAGAUUCUCUUUUUAUUUCAUGAUUUCAACAAUAAUAUUGCAUGCAAAACCAUUAUUGACCACUUUUAUUAUUGGUUCAACAUUUUCUUAAAUUGACAUAACUUAUCAAAAUCUCUAAUUUUCACUAUUUUAAUCUUCAGUUUCAGGUACCUGAAUCUCUUUUGGAAGUUUACUUAUUAGUUAUGUCUUGGGUCUCUUCUGGAGCACCCAUAUUCACUAUAUGACCAUGUAGAUUUAUCAUUUUCUUUUAUAAGAAUUUUUAUAUUUAAAACUUGUAAUGAGUUAUCCUUGUCGAACUUCUGGUUCAAAUUACUCUCUCCCUAACUCAUUACGAGUUAUUAUCUAUCUUCCCCUAAUGUCAGGAAAACUAUCGAAUCAAAAUAGUAAUCACAAAUCAUUUAAUAAUUGAAUCUUCAAUACAUUCAAAACAUCUAAUAAUACAAUAAGACUUGUAAUUAAUAUAUAUUCCCAACUUUCUUUGAGGAUUCACUCAUAUUUGUGCGUUGUGAUGGAGCAAUUAGAACAUAUAUGCAUAUACAAAAAUUCAAAGAUGAGAAAUAUUUAGCUCUUGACUAAAAAACCAAUUGUAAUGGGGAAUAUUUAUAACUUAUUGGCUUGACACGUACAACACAUAAAUCAACACAAUCUCAUGUUGAAAUAGGAAGUUUAGUUCUCAUAAGUAAUGGUUUAAAUAUUAAUCAAAUGCGUUCAAUCAAUAAUUUUUCUAAAGUUUUAUGCGCAAAAAUAACAAGCUUAACACCCCAAACCCGGCCUAGACGUUAUGGCCCUAUCUGGUGCGUCACAUCAAAGUGUCUCUCAAAAAUUUGGCUUGUUGACAAACUUGUUUCUUAUUUUUGGAAACCUCUUUUUAAUAUCUAACGGGGCAUUUAUUCAUAUGCUUACCUUGUUAACUGCUUCUUGUUGUAUUAAGUUGAUUUAAAACGCGGAAGCAUUUUGAAAACUCUAACAUUUAAAGCUCGUGUCUUUGAAAAUAGUAAUCAUUUUGAAAAUCCAUUUUCAAAUAACUAGUAUAAAAUAUGAAAGUAAAAACCCAAUUAAAAUUUAAAACCAAAUAAAAUGUCUUAUUACAAAACAAAACCCAACUUAUUAAUUAAAAUAAAAAUAAAAGAUAAAGUGAACAGCAGUGAUUGGGUGGCCACCUCCGAGUCCCUCGCUGCACCAAACCGCCUAUGGCUGAGGAUUACCUACACAAUUAGAAGAAAGGGUGAGUUUACAAAAACUCAGUGUGUAAUCCUCUACCAAACAAUUAGCAUACAACAUGCAGAAUCAGUUUGGGCUUGAGCCCUAUAUAGUAGUAGUGUGUAGGCCAUAACCCAAUACAGUAACAGAGUGUGGCCCUUAGCCCAAUACAGUAACAGUGCAAAUGCAGUAAUACAACCCAUCCCAAUCCAGCCAACACACCACUCCGUACCACCAACACACCAUGUGGGGAUAAAAUUGACCCACCCAGCCAACACACCAGUAUCGCAGCAGAGCUGCCAGUAAUAGUAACGCAGCAAAGCUACCAGUACAGUAAUGCAGUAGAGUUACCAGUAUCAGUAACACAACAAAGCUGCUAGUAACACUAUUUAUAGUAAAUCCACCAGUACAGUAUACUUCCCCUAUAUAAAAAUCUCAACCCUAUGCAGUAUGUCGUGUCAUAGAUCAUACGUGUAUGUAAUAUGUCAUACUCAGUAACAGUCAUAUAAAUAUCACAAAGCAAAAUGGUCAGACAUAGCAUAAGGCCAUAACAGUCAUUUCAUCUCUUAGGGGUAUAACGAUCAUUUUACCCUAUAGGGGUAUUCUGGUAACUUUACCCAUCGAGGGUAUUUCAGUAAUUUUACCCUUCGAGGGUAUUUCAGUUAUUUUACCCUUCGAGGGUAUUUCGGUUAUUUUACCUAUCGAGGGUAUUUCAAUAAUUUUACCCAUCGAGGGUAUUUCGAUAAUUUUACCCAUCGAGGGUAUUUCGGUAUCUUUACCCAUCGAAGGUAUUUCGGUAUCUUUACCCAUCGAGGGUAUUUCGAUAAUUUUACCCAUCGGGGGUAUUUUGGUCAUUUUACCCAUUAAGGGUAUUUUAGUCAUUUGCCCACGAAUCGCACGUAGGGCUCACGACUCGAGCGAUCGCAUGCCCAUGUAGUCUCAAACGCCGUGUUCAUGGCUUUUCGACUUUUACCGAUUUGCAGUUGAGUGAGGGUGUGAUUACACACCUUUUCAUGAAAGCUAGCGAAAUACCUCUUGGCACCAACCUACGUUGAUUUGAAUAUUCGGUCAGCCCUUCAAUAACCAAUAUUUUCAAGUACUUAAACCACACUUAAACAAUCAUCACCUACUACAAUUAUAAGAAAUAUGGCUUGCUCUUCUAAGAUUCUUAGCCAAGACACGAUCCUUUCAACCAUCUCAAAAUCGAACAAAUAAUUCGGCACCUUCCUUUCAACCCUCUCAAAAUCGAACAAAUAAUUGCCUUGUGCCGAAAAUGCUCCAUUCCUUUCCCCUUAGCCGAAUUUCACUAAGCCUUAGAGUCCCAAUCGGCCAUAACACCCUACCAACCUCUCAGUUACACAACACGCCACCUUGCCACUAGAUUACAAGCUAUUUUUGGGUCAUAAAAUAGACACUAAUAUUUAUAAGGCCUAAACGCCACUGUCCAGAUUCAAUUAAGAGCAAAACCAAAAAUUUUGCAGAAGCCAAGACUUGAACCCCUGACGUCUAAGACACUUCCUAACACUCCUAAAUCACUUAACCACUGAAGCAGACAUUCAUUUAUGUCACUUUCUUACACAACUAAAUAUUUAUGUGCAGUCUUCUAACUGUUCCCUUGUUCAAAACCUAUUUCUUCUAGGCCCAAAAUUUGAGGUGUUACAUGUGUUUUAGCCCUGGCAGCUUCAAAGUUCUGUGUUGCGACAUGGGCCUUCUUGUGUCGCACACAGUUGUUGUCUCUUGUGCUCCUUGCCCUGAAAUAGCACCAUACACACUCAAAUGGCCUACUAGUUAUUCCCGAGGCCUAGUUGGCCUAAUGGGUCGUCAAAACACUAAAAACAUGCUUAAAAUGCUUAUUUUGCAAUAAUUUGAAUAUAAGCUACGAAAUAGGAAAAUGCAAUAAAAGAAUAUAAAAUACUUAGGAAAUAAGCGUUAAUUUCCAAAUAUUACUUAAUUUUCCACUGCAAUUUGUGGCAAAUCAAUAUUUUAUGAACUCACUAAACAAUGUUACAAAGACCCUUUAAAUAGGAUAAUUUUGGAGUGUUAAUAUGACUAAAAUGUCUUAGAUUAGUCUGAGUUUAAUUGGGGAAAGAUACUAGAUUUUUACUAGGAGAAAAGACCUGAUUCAUGUGCGAACACGAAGCCACGUCAUGACGUCGUUUAUUGGCUCAUCGUACUUCGGAUCCAAACUCUUGUUGAUUUUCAAGAUUUAAUUCCAAAAAAUUUUUGUCGAUGAUACAUUGGUCGUACGAAUCAAAAUUGGAGACAUCAUGUACGACCUCUUCCAAUGGAGUACCCACUUGGGAUUUUUUUCAGAAAAACUCCUCUAAUUGAUCCAACCAUUGUAGGAUUCUCUUUGAUUUGGCUUGGAAUUCUUGCUCAUUACUUUCCUAUUCCGAUGCAUAAUCAUAUGAAUCAUAAGGAUUUUCGUCUAACUAUUCAGAUGUUCCCAGUUGUUGCUCAUCUAUCUUUUCCAACGAAGUUAUUGUUUCGUUUCUUCGUUGGUAAAGCUCUAGCAUAAGCACUUUUUGGUUCUCCAUAAUCCCCCGUUGUUUGUAUACUCCUUCCUCAUAUAUUUCAUCUUCAUCCCAAGGGUUCAUCGAACAUCUAUUCCUCUCAGUUAUAUACUUGUUCGGCUUAGGUGGGAGUUCGUUAUAACACUCAGAUUACUCAUCUUUAUAAUUACAAAUCCAUUAGUUUGUCAAAUCUCCGUACAACCAACUCAGUUUGGAUUGCUCAUACACCGACCUAUAAAUAUCAAUAUUCAUAAUUAAAUCUGAUAAUCAACAAAGUAAAAAAAUAUAUCAAAGUAAAAAUAUUUACUUAACUAAAAAAUUCAAAAUAAUUAAUUUUUUUCAAACAAUAAUUAAAUUAAAUUAAAUUAAAUUAAAUCAAAUUAAAGUUAGAACACUAUCAAGCUAGUUCGUAUUUCGAUUAAUAUUAUUUUACAGUAAUCAACCUAAUAAAAAUUUCACCAUCGCAAUCCCCGAAAAUGACUUCAACAACUUUAUUGCCUAUAAAUGUGUUAUCGUUUAUAGUAAAAAUAGCACACCAAUAUAUAUAAUUAGAAUGGCAGUGUUCGCAAGCGUAUGAGUCAAAUUAUAAUAAAGUAUUGUGUUACAAUGGAACACUGGUAAGUAUUCUGAGGAUCACAUCCAAGGGAUUGCAGAUUGGAGAAACUAAUAUUAAAUUAAUUAUAGAAAAUAAUUACAAAUCUAAUCGAGUCACGAAUUAGAAGUGUGAACCCAAAUUAAUAUUUUAAUUAAACUAAUUAAAUUAACUAACAUAAAUUAACCCCAUGGAUUUUCUUAUCCCUAGUGUCGAGAAUGCGAGCCCCUCGUUUAUGAUCAAUUAAAUCUCUAAGUAUCUAAUUAAAUAAUUAAUUAUCCUAGAUUGAGUUAUUUAUCACCUUUAGCUAAGAAUACCCUCCCUGUUCAUCUUCACUAAAUAUUACCACCUAAGUCAUCCUUCCAGUCUCUUCCUAAGUAUACAAAUACCCUUCCGGUCUCAUCGCUCGACACAAGUUAUUCACGAUAGGAUACCUCUCAGUCUCACCUAUCUCGAUAUUCAGUUAGGGCUCUCAUUCCCUAAUAUACUAUGUGCUAUUAAAGAAAUAACCAAUUUUGUAUAAAGAAUUACUUAAUAAAUAAAUUAAGUUAUUAAUUGAGUCAUACGAGAUAUGAAAUAAGCACAAUAAUCUAUUCUAAUAUUUAUACAACAAUUAAUCAAAAGAUAAAUAAAAGAAUAGACAAAUAAAAGAUAGGAGAAGGUCAUGAAUAUAUAUUGAAGCGUGAUCCCAAAGCAAUCUCUACUUGCAAUUGUCUUCACAUCGAAAUAGAAAAGUUUUGACUACAUGAACAUGAAAAGAAAAGAAAAGAAAACCAAAAACUGAAUAGAAAAGUUGUCUGUUUAGGUUUGCCCCCAAUUCCGGUGACCCUAAGAUUGCUCAUAUAAGGAACUAGCUACUUGGUGGUCAUUCAACCCAAGAUACACUUAGAUACUAAUAAAUAAAAUAUUGUGCUAAAAGUUAGGGUCCAAAUAUAGAAAUUUCCCAAAAGUGUUGUCCAAGGAAUCAACCAUAUUUUGGCCUGCCAUCGUUGCAUCGCCAGGAUGUGGGAGUGCUCCUCGUCACGAUGUCGCCACCAUGAAUUGCCUCCCGUAAUCAUCACCUCGUCGUGACAAGAGGAAGCUCCUCGUCAGGAUGUCAAGUGCAUGCUGAGUCUUUGGUAGCUUAGUUGGCUUAUCAGGCUCCUUGUCUCAUGACCCAAUCAUCAUUCCUUGUAUUCUUGGAUAUCAAUUGACAUUCUGCACACUUAAUAGCUCAUUAAUCACUCAUAAGGCCUGAGUCGGCCUUACAGGUCAUCGAAAUAGCAAAAAAUGUGUAUAAACGCUUAUUUUAUUAACUUUUAGCUCCUAACCUACUAAUACCAAAAAUGUAAUAUUUAAUUAUAAAAGUGCUAGAAAGCAAACUUGUUAAAUGCAGAAAUGACAUAAAAUAAAUACUACAUUUGACGUCAGGUCACACCCCCCACAAAUUUCCACCUUGACUCAUAUUUACCAUGUCUUUUUUUCCAAUGCCCAUCAUGGGCUUAACUUGAUCUUUUUAGGAUAUUAAUCAAGUCCAAGCAGUGCUUGAACGUUGCAACUAGAAGGCUUCAAGUUUCUUGAACUGUCAAAUCAAAGUUCACUCGUGUCAGUUUCCCAUAAAUUUAGCGCUCUAUCUUUCCAACUUCUGCACUAUGUAAAGAACCUCUCAUAUUCAAGACGGUCAUACAUUUUUCACUUAUAUGACCAAGUUACCGAUGCCUCAAAUGAGUCGAUUUUGACUCCGUAACAGACAAGGAAAUUAUUACUUUACCAGUCACUGUUGAACUUUGCAUAACAUAAAGAUUACCAGUCUUUUAACCUCCCAUGUAACACCCUAAUUUUUGGGGUUAGAAGAUUUGAGAUUUGUGAUAGGGUUAGUGGCUAGAUGAUACAUUUGAGAUUCAUUUCACGUUUUGAUAUUAGAACGGGCUUGCUGGUCUAGUGGUUGGUGGAGUGUUAGUGUACUUUAGGUUCUGUGUUCGAACCCUCAUAGGUGUGUUUGGGGAAUUACUUUUAGUAUGGUUUUAUUUUUUUUCAAAAGUUAGUUAUUUAUUUUUAUUUUUUAUUUAAUUUUAAUUUUAAUUUUAAUUUUAGAAAACUAGAAACAUUUCACGUUUGUUUUUCCAAAAAAAUCUCUCUGCACAUUUUUUCUUUAUUCUCUCCCUCUCCUCUCACGUUAAUUUUUAUCCUUGAGUUUUCUUACUCCGUCGUUUUGUUCUUGCACCAUAUUCAUCUUCAAUCAUUAUGGUUCAUCAAUGAAGUUUGGUUGCUUAUGUUACAAAUCAGGUGUGGGUUCGGAACUCUUCUUUUUCAUUUUUCAAAUUCUAUGUUGAUUCUGGGAAAUUUGACUAAAUGUGUGUGUUUGGAAACUCUAUAAAUUUGAUGUUGAAUUACUGAUUUGAUUCUAUGAAAUUUGACAAACUCAGUGUGGUCUAAAAUUGGUAAAAACUAGAAUUGAAUAGUAUGUUUUCGAUAUAAUUUGGUAUCUUACUGAGUUACCAAGGGUUUGGGAAUUAUUUCGGCAACAAAUGCACGUUCUGUAGCUUGUUCCGAUGUGGUUUCGCGACUACACGAGUGGCCACACAGGCGAUUCAUACAGCUGUGUACAGUUGGGAAUUAGGGUUUUUGGGCAAAUUUUGGUGCCACACGACCAUGUGGCUAAAUUUGAAGAUUUUAGUCGACUUCUACAUAGUCGUGUCCCGUGGGCACAAGGGCGAGUGCAUUUGGGGAUUUUGGGAUUUUUUCUUAUCUUACACGAGCAUGUGUUUUGGACACACGACCGUUUUUGGUGGGCACACGAGUGUGUAAGACCCUCACACGGCCAUUUUUUCCCUAUACAUUAAUUUUAGCCAUUCUGGACAAAGAGUUACACAGUCGAAUCACACGGCCAUGUCCUUAGGUCACGAGGGAAUGUGGCUUAGUCACACAGCUGUGUACCUCCUUUCACAUGGGUUUGCGCCCCUCCACAUAGGCGUGUUGACCCCUACAUGGCCUAGGCUUUUCUACAUGACCGUAGCACACAAUUGUGUUGCCCUAUCUCGUAUAUUUUUGUACUAUAUUUAUUUUUAUCCAAUAAUGUUUCUGUGUGUCUCGACCCUUAUCUAAGUCUUAGUAAGGGUGCUCAGGACUUCAUUUUAGCCUAGAUUUGUGUGUAAGUCAAAAUCAUAGCUUAAAUUGAUUGAUUUUUUGUGAGCUAAUGGAUGUUGUGCAAUAAAAGAUUCUGUAUCUUAUCAAUUGAGUAUGUGUUUUUCUGAAUCUGUCUAACUGUCUGCGAUGUGUUCAUCAUUUCUGUGAGAUUGUUCGCAUACAUGCAUUUGUAUAAAUGUUUGGGUUGGGAUUUGAAGAGAAAGAACUCUGAUCUGAUUUGGCAGUUUUAACUGCAACAUGUCUGUAUAGUGGUUUACUGCAUAGUAAUACUUCUGGCAGCUCAACUGCAUACUAUUAUUUACGUGGCUUAGUUCCACAUACGUGGUGUGUAAGGUUGGAUGGGUCUUUCAAGGUCCUGUGUGGUGUGCAUGGUUGGUUGAGCUUCUUAUUACUCAUUCGUGGUGUGAAUAGGGGACGAAGAGGUGUUUUGCUGCAUAAGUGGGAUUGCUCUUCUGUAUGUGCAUACAUAUCAUAUUUCAUAUGUCUGUAGGAUUGCGUGAUUAAUUGCGUAAAGGUUGUGUGCUUGAUGUAUUUUGUACCUGUGUGUAAUGAAUGAUAACUUUGUAAUAUGCCCUUCUUUUUAGCUGGUUGUUGAAAUGGGUUGUUUCGUACACCGAUCGAAUUCUUGUAUAGUUGAGUAUCUACUUUGAAAUGUUGCCCUUGAUUUUGUUUCUGCUAUUGAACUGUUAUUUGGAAUUCUGUUUUGUAAGUCUGUCAUUUGUUGCGUUACGAACUCACACUGAGCUAGGGUAGCUCACCCCUCUUAGUUUUCCUUUUUUAGGUAUAUUCGUCUUCUGUAGCUGGACUAGGCACGCCGAAUGUCUUGGACAGCCUCGUUUUAGAACAGGUUAUAAAAGUAUUUUCAUAAAUUCUUAGUUUAUAAAUAAACAGUUUUGAAUUGUGAUUACUAUUUAGAAUACUAUGGUAUGAAUUUUUGUAAUAUCGAGAUUUUAUAAUUAGGAGUUUUUAUGUAACUUAAAUACAGACUUAUUUUCCAGUUUGUGAAACUAAAAAUAAUUUCAGUUCACUUUGGUGAUCAAUGUGACCUCUGAGAUUCGUUCUAAACUUCUAGGUCGGGUUCUGGGGUGUUACAUUUAGUGAUAUCAGAGCCAGGUUUGAAAAAACUUGGCCUCUGUUUUUACAUAUCCGUGUGCACGGGAGAUUGUUUUAAAAAAACAAUCGUAUCACAGUGCUUUCAAAUGGUUUGUGUUUUGGAAUAAGUUUUUGUAAGAAUACUGUGGUAUGAAAUUUUGUAAUAUCAGGAUUUUAUAAUUGGGAGUUUUUACGUAACUUAAAUACAAACUUGUUUUCCAAUUUAUUAAACUAAAAAUAAUUUUAGUUCACUUUGGUGAUCAAUGUGACCUCUGGGAUUCGGUUUAAACUUCUAGGCCAGGUUCUGGGAAAUAGUAAGAAGUCUGAGACUCUGAUGCCAGUCUGUACGAAACUUGGGAAUUUGUAAGAUUAGUUCUGUAAACUUAGAACUGCAAUAUUUAGACAUUUAUGCUUGCGUUUGAUUUUGGAAAUUUUAGAUUCUUUGAGAUUAGAUACAAGAUCGAUACGGAUUUUGAAGGUAAGCAAGAUUGCGAGGAUCAAUUCGGUGAGACUUUCAAGGAGUCGUCUACUUCAUCAAGAUGUGUGCUUAUUCAAGAGUCGAAAGUCAAUGCAAUUUUUCCAACUUCGGGUAGCGAUAACCUGGAGCUUAGUAUUGAGGCAUUGACUCAGGUAGUGAGAGAAGUGCCAGAACAAGUGCUCAAUGCUAGGUUAGACAGGCAUAGAAAGCUAGUGCAAAGCAGGUGUGUAGAUUGUGGGAAGAAGAGAGAUCGCAAUCCUUCGAGGUUGGAGACUUAGUCUAUGAAGCAUAAGAGAACACAUUUGAGUAACAAUAAAUGUAUUGCAGAGGGUGCUGGUGGUGGUAUGAGCGUUCCAUUUUGUGAGCACUGUAAGAAGCACCAUCCGGACAAUUUUUGGAAAAAAGUAAGAGCGUGUCUUUAAUGCGGGUCCACAAAACAUUAGAUCUAGGAAUGUCCUCGACGACAUUGAAAUAGGUAUGGGUGUAAGUUAUUUGUCAUUGUAUGUUGUUACUGAGAAUGAUUCGUUCGACUGUUCGUUGGAUAACAUUUGUGUGGGUGUGAUGAAUAAAUAUGUAUAUGCUUCAUUUGCUAAGUGUUCUGAUUGUGUGUUUGAGGUCUUAAGUUUGGUAUGGUACUGCUAGGGUUGGAGUGCACAACGGAAGCGUAGUGGUAGACCUAGGGUUAAGUUACUGUUCUGUUAGUGGGAAAUUUUGAGGAUGAAAUUUCUUUAAGGAGGGUUGAGUUGUAACACCCCGAUUUUUAGGGUCAGAAGAUUUGAGCUUUGUGAUAGGGUCAGUGGCUAGAUGGUACAUUUGAGUUUCAUUUCGCAUUUUGAUGUUAGAAUGGGCCUGUUGGUCUAGUGGUUGGUGGAGUGUUAGUGUACCUUUAGGUUCUAUGUUCGAACCCUCAUAGGUGUGUUUAGGGAAUUACUUUCAGUGAGGUUUUAUUUUGUUUUUCAAAAGUCAGUUAUUUAUUUUUAAUUGUUAUUUUAUUUUAAUUUUAGAAAACUAAAAACUUUUUACGUUUAUUUUUCCCAAAAAAAUCUCUCCGCACAUUUUUUUUCUUUCUUCUCUCCCUCUUUUCUCACGUUAGUUUUUUCCCUUGAGUUUUCCUGCUCCGUCGUUUUGUUCCUACACCAUAUUCGUCUUCAAUCGUUGUGGUUCAUUAUUGGAGUUUGGGUGCUUAUCUUGCAAAUCAGGGGUGGGUUCCGAACUCUUCUUUUUCAUUUUUGAAUUUCUGUGUUGAUUCUGGGAAAUUUGACAUAAUAUGUGUUCAGAAACUCUAUAAUUUCAAUGUUGAAUUAUCAAUUUGAUUCUGUGAAAUUUGACAAAUUCUAUGUGUUUUGAAAUUGUUAAAAAUUAGCAUUGAAUCGUAUGUUUUCGGCAUAAUUUGGUAUCUUGUUGAGGUACCAAAGGUUUGGAAAUUUUUUUGGCAAUAAAUGCACAUUCUGCAGCCUAUUGCAUGUGGUUUCAUGACCAAACGGGUUGCCACACAGGCGUCUACUGUACACGAGCGCUUCAUAGGGCCGUGUGCAAUUUGGAAUUAGGGUUUUUGGGCAACUUUUGGUGCCACACGGCCAUGUGGCUGAAUUUAGGGGUUUUAGUUUACUUCCACACAACUGGGUCCCCUAGGCACACGGGCGUGUGUAUUUAAGGAUUUAGGGAUUUUUUUCUUAUCUCACACGGGCGUGUGUUUUGGACACACAGUCGGGUCUGGUGGGCAAACGGGCGUGUGAGACCCUCACACAGCCGUGUUUGCCCUGUACCUUGAUUUUAGUCAUUAUGGAUAGAGAUUUGCACGGUCAGAUCGCAUGGCCAUGUCCUUAGGUCACACGGUCGUGUGCCUCCUUUCACACGAGCGUGUCCCCCUCCACAUGGGCGUGUUGACCCCCACACGGCCGUAGCACACAGUCGUGUCACCCUAUCUCGCAAAUUUUUGUACUGUAUUUGUUUUUAAUCUGAUAAUGUUUCUGUGCGUCCUGACCCUUAGCUAAGUCUUAGUAUGGGUGCUCGGGACUCUAUUUUGGCCUAGAUUUCUGCGUAAUUUGUAAUCAUAGCUUAAAUUGAUCGAUUUGUUGUGAGCUAAUGGAUGCUAUGCAAUAAAAGAUUCUGUAUCUGAUCAAUUUAGUAUGUGCAUUUUUUAUUCCGUCUGACUGUCUGUGAUGUGUUCAUCAUUUCUGUAAGAUUGUUCACAUACAUGCAUUUGUAUAAAUGUUUGGGUUGGGAUAUGAAGAGAAGGAAGUCUAAUCUGAUUUCGUAGUUUUAACUGUAACACAUCUAUAUAGUGGUUUACCGCACAGUACGAUACUUCUGGCAGCUCAACUACAUACUGCUAUUUACGUGGCUUAGUUCCACAUGCGUGGUUGUAGGGUUAGAUGGGUUUUUCGAGGUCCUAUGUGGUGUGCAUGGUUGUUGAGCUUCUUAUAGCUCUUUCGUGGUGUGAAUGGGGGACGAAGAGGUGUUUGGCUUGAUGGGUGGGAUUGUUAUUUUGUAUGUGCAUACAUAUCACAUUUGAUCUAUUAGUAGGAUUUCGUGAUUAAUUGCGUAAAGGUUGUGUGCUCGAUGUAUUUUGUACCUGUGUGUAAUGAAUGAUAACUUUGUAAUGCGUCCUGGCUUUUAAUUGGUUGUUGAAAUGGGCUCUUUCGUACACCGAUUGAGUUUUUGUAUAGUUAAGUAUCUACUUUGAAACGCUGCUGUUGAUUUCGUUUCCGCUAUUGAACUGUUAUUUGGAAUUCUAUUUUGUAACUCUGCCAUUUGUUACGUUUUGAAUUCACACUGAGCUAAGGUAGCUCACCCCCUUAGUUUUCCCUUUUUAUGUUUUUACGUCUUCUGUAGCUGGACUCAACACACCGAAGGUCUCGGAUAGCCAUGUUUUAGAACAGGAUAUAAAAGUUUUUCAUAAAUUCUAAGUUUAUAAAUAAACAGUUUUGAAUUGUGAGUACUAUUUAGAAUACUGUGGUACAAAUUUUUGUAAUAUCAGGAUUUUAUAACUGGGAGUUUUUACGUAACUUAAAUACAGUUUUGUUUUCCAAUUUGUUAAACUAAAAAUAAUUUCAGUUCACUUUGGUGAUCAAUGUGACCUUCGAGAUUCAGUCUAAACUUACAUCUCAUCAGAAGAAGAGCUUCACGAGAUACCUUAAUGUUGCUUGACUCGAUGGUGAUCCUACAACCUAUCAAGUCUAAUUUUCUUAAGGAGAUGAGGUUCUUUUUCAAGUCAGGCACAUGCCUGGCAUCUGAUAGUAACAUAAUGAUUUCGUCGUGCAUCAUAAUCUAAAUAGUGCCAGUAUUGAUUACCUUACAUGGUGAAUUAUUCCCCCAUAAGCACAACUCCACCUUGAACUAGACUAUAUAUGGAGAACAAGUCAUUGUUUGGACACAUAUAGAAAGAACACCUUAAAUCCAGAAUCCACUCGUGUAGCACCCUAUACCUGGCCUGGUCGCCAAGCCGAAAUAUGGGAUGCCACACCACCGUCUUAUGUCAUAUACAAUAAGUAAAAGUUCAACCUACAGGAAGCAUCAUCCAUCUUAGUAUUCGUAUUGGUUUUAGGUCAAUUAUACUUGUUAGUUAUCAAUGUUACAUGCUAACCAUACAUCAAAUAGUGUUAUAAUAAUAAUUAAACAUGCAUAAGGUCCAUUUAACAAAAUCUAAAAACUGUCACGUAGGUAUCGAUACUGACACUAGGGUAUCGAUAUUUCCUUUAAGUGGUAUCGAUAUCAACUAGAAAAAUAAUACCAAACUUGCAUUAUGUUUCUCGAUUAAAAACCAAAGUCUCAAAAAUUAUUCGUACCUGUCUUAAAGUAUCAAUAAAUUUACCCCGAGUAUCGAUACUCGAGAAAAGGUAUUGAUACCAUAUCUUUAUUCUAACUUCGUACACAUUUCAAAACACAAAGGUAUUGAUUUUAAAACUUGAUUAUUGAUACCUCUGUUACAAACCUCAAAAAUGCAGCAUACAUAUGCAAUUAAUCCAUUCCAAUUUAGUUCCUAAAUGUCAUACAUCAAUUACUUUGACAAAUAAUCAUUCAACAACCUAAUUAACUGUUCAAUAUUGCAAAAUCGUGUUCGAGCAAGUAACGUCAAUCCAUUAUCAUUUUCAUGAACUCAAGCAUAAUAAUAACAUGUAAUCCUGAAAAAUCGAACCAAAGACCAGCAAAAUGUCUAGAAGUUAACAUGGCUAUAAACAAGUCUACCACAUUGCCUUUUUUCCCCAAAACUUAAAUAAAUAUAGAACACCUACGAAAUAACGCAAAAGUCUUGCUUAGAUCACCUCCCGGAACCACACCGCUCACACUGGCACACAAUUAAUUUGCAAUGGUUAGAGAAGGGAGUGGGUGAGCUUAACAAGCUCAAUGAAUUCCUAAAACAACUACCACGCAAAUAGUUCAUCAAGCAUUAACGAAACAACCAUAUAGCAUAGACUUAAUAGUUCCAACUUUAGUGUUAUAAUAUACUUACUUGUGCAUUAUUAUUAGUUCUUUUACAUGGUAAUCAUAUUCAUUUCUAAGCAUAUAUCCUAUUACACAUAUAAUCACCUAUCAUUCAAGCAUAUAUCACAAUAUUCAAAAGCAUGUUUAUAGAUAAAUUACAUAAUGGUCACAUACUCAUUUAGGCAUACAUCAUGUUACACAUAUGUACAUUUUAAGAUAAUUUGACACUUGAGUUAUGAAACAUAAAAGUGAGUUCUAUCAUCACUCAUUGGAUACGCGGAUCUCCAACACACCAAACAUAGACUUAUAAAGUCAAACAUGUCCCUAAAGUGAAGCAUAAAGCUAAUGCUCUCUUAUUUCCCCUUUUAUGUCCCGUUGAAUGGAUGAUAGCUCACAUUCCUUUAUCCCUCAAACAUGUCUCAAGGCCUCAACACCCAAAAUCACUAUACAUAUAGGUGAGUCCUCACAAUCCUAUGGCAUGCCAACUAUAUCCAACGGUUUCAAGAUCAUAAGGCCAAAAUAUCCAAAGUCAAACACAUAUCACUUACCGAUUAUUCAUGUAUAAUCACUGCAGAUUUGCAUCUUUAGCAACACACUAUCACUAACAUUUAACAUAUGCAUGUUAUACUCUCACAACAUUUAUCAUAACCACAUAUCACAUUUUAUAGCAUCUCAUCUCAAUUCACAAGAUAACGUAGGUAUGAGAAAGCUUACACUCAAAAUUUAGAGUAGGGAUUUAGGCUACUACUAAAUUCCCAAAUAAUGAAUCAUGUCCACGAGUAAUUAUUCCAAACACUCACCAAUUACGCUUUUGCCGAAAAACCGAAAGCUUAAAACUAACUUUUCCUUACCUUUAUCUCUAAUCAUAGAACUUCAACACAACAAACUCACACAACAAUACAUCAAAAAAUUAGUCAAUGACUUAUUACAAGCAUACAAAACAUAAGCCUAAACUAAGUUCUCAUGUAAUCGAAACCUUUAACAUAACCAACUUAAAACUCAAAUAUCUCAGUCUAUACUCAAUCAUUUCGCCUAAAACCAAUUUCGUUCAUCUUACAAUUCGCCUACGACUAAUUGUCAACCUUUAUAAUACAAUAAAAUACUAAUUUCAUUGUACCAACUUUUUCGACAUGUUUUAUGGCUUUUUUUUCUGAAAAUUCAUUAAAACUUAAGAAUUCUUUAAUGAAACUUCAAAGUAAGUUUACAAACCUUCUAAUAAAGUUAAAAAAAAGUUGAAAACACUUUAAAACCAAGUUUUUAUGCAAAAUCCCAAAAUUCACCAUUAAAGACCUGAUUUUUGGCUUUUAUUUAAAAUAUGCGAUUUAAUGGCUAAAAACUUGGUUUUAAAGACUAUAUAACAUUUAAACCUAAUUAGAAGUUGAAUCAUUACCUUAGAUGAAGAAAAUCUAUGCAUUUCAUCAAAGACUCAAAAAACCCGAAAGCUUAACAAUGGAGGAACUAUGAUAUUUUUGGGUGUUUUUCUUGGUUUUUUUAUAGAGAUUUAAGGUUCAAGGGUGAUAGAAAUCAAAAAGGAUUUGAAAUUGGAGUUCAAAAUUGAUUGAAGUAGCAAGGGAGAAUCAAGGGACGACAAACACAAAUUUUGGGGAAAAUUUACGUGAAAAAUUGUAGGUGGGAAAGAAUAAAUAGGUUGGUUUUUAAAUUUUGGUCUAUUUGCUUCUUAAAAACUCACAACUUUGAAUCUUUUACAAAUCAGUUCUACUUUCAAAAUUAAAGGUAUUUUAAACUCAUUUUGAAAAAUUGAUUUAAUUUUCUAAAAACCAUAGUAAAAUACAUUACUGAUAAACCAUAUUGCAAAAUUUUGAACACUCAAAGGAUAAAAUUUCUAAAAUACCCUUAAAACUCCUAGACCCUAUUUUAGGGUGUUACAACUCGAAUGUAAGUUUAGACCUUCCAAUCGUAGACACCGACAACCAAUUAUCACCUUUUUUCCUCGGCCACACUAGUAUUAACUACCUCAGCCUUCCAUUCCUCGUCGCUCUUAAAAGCCCUUCUGUUUCUAUUUUUCAACCUAUAACAUUAUGCCUGUAUGUGACUCAACUUCUUGCAGUAGUUAGAUGGCUUGUCAUGAUUCCUCGACUUCGAUCUUGACCUAGAAUUAUUCUGAUCUACAUCCUUAGACUAUUGCUUGCCUCUAGUGACCAAAACUGAGGUUUGACUAACAGACUUGCUUCCCUAACUCAUUUAUGAGUUUUUCCUAACUCAACAAGUUACCCUUCACAUCCUCAAAUGAGAUUUUAUCUCUACCAUAAAUCAGGGUAUCCUUGAAAGUUUUAUAUGGAGGGGACAAAGAGCACAAUGAUAGCAUAGUCUGAUCUUCAUCAUCUAUAUUGAGCUCAACAUUCUUCAAAUCAUUCAAGAGAGUAACAAAUUGACUGAUGUGACCUCUAAGGCUUUCACUUCAUCCAUACGGUACGCGUAUAGGUGUUGUUUCAAUACCAAUCGUUUGGCUUCAAACUUUGUCAUGUAUAGGGUUUUUAAUUUUCUCCAUAACGCUGCUACUGUUUUCUCUGUAAGCACCUUUUGCAACACAUUGUUUGUGAGACACAAUUCACUUGUUGACAGAGUCUACUCAUCAAGCUCUUCCCAUUUUGGCUGGUUUAGAUUUUUAGGCUUUUGCUCGGUAACGACCCUUUUUAAGUCGUUCUGAACUAGAAUUGUCGUCAUUCGUACUUGCCACAAACUGAAAUUUGCGAUCCCAUCUAACCUUUUGAUACCGAAUCUCGUUGUUGUCAUUCUGAGUGAGUUGAUUGCGAAAUUCGAACCAAACUCUGAUACUAAUUUGUUGGGGAUUGAGCCGUAUAAAAAACAAAAUAAAAAAGUAGAAAAUGUCUAACACAUAAAUUUAAGGUGGAAAACUCCUCUGAAGAGGAUAAAAACCAUAGGAAAAUAAGGCUUCACUAAUCAUCAAAGUAACGAAGAGUACAAUAUGGAGAUAAUAAUCCUAAAAGAGCAAAACACAAACCCCAAAUACAAAGCCCUCUAAAACUCUCCCCAAAGCUCUUCACCAAAUAUCACAUAAGAGAUAUUCAAUGAACUCACUAACCAGGGUUACAAAGACAUUUUAAAUUGGCUAUAGUCAUAGUGCUAAUAUGACUAAAGUAUCCUAUAUUAAUCAUAGUUCAACUGGGCAAAGAUAGCAGAGUUUAACUAGGAGAAAAGACCCGAUUUAUGUGGGAACACGUUGUCACGUUGUCACGUCAUUUAUCGACUCAUCUCGAUGUUAUUUAUUGGCUCGUCUUGAUGUCCUGAUAAAUGCUCGUCGAUCGGGAGAAAAGAUCUGAUAAAUGUCAUUUUGAGCCUUCUUCAUUUGCUCGUCAAUCGACUUUCUAACUGUUUGGAGUCAAAUAAAUGUGAGGCACACCCCACACAUUGAGUCAUUGUACUAUUUUUUUAUUCAAAAAUCUUGAUCCUUUGUUUAAUUUUCCCGUUAAAGUUAUAAAUGUCAAAGGUAAAAUAACUUUUUAGCCCUUAAUAUUUAUAUUUUUUUUUCAAUUUGGUCUUUACCCUUUAAAAUUACAUAAAAAAGUUUCAAACUUUUUUUUCACAUUUAGAAAAAAACAUAAACACUAAGAAAAUUAUAUUUUUUAAAAAAAUAAAAUUUUAAUUUAAAAAAUAAAAAUUGAAAAAUAAAAAAAUGAAAAAGCUUUUAAAAAUAUAAAAAAAAAACUUAAAAAUUUAAUGUUACCUAAACUGGACCUGACCGAACAAGUCGAUCAAACUAGGAACCAAUUGGGGUAUCGAUUUGUAAGAGGUAAUGUAACACUCCUAUGUCUGUCGGGACGAUCAAAGAAGUGUUAUCAGAAGGUUUAAUGUUGCACGAUAAGAAGAAAACAAGGUUUCACUUUUAAGUUAUAAAGACGGUGCACUGCUAUUAAUUAAUGCUCAACGAGUUCACAUUUGAAAUAUAAACCAAAGUAAUAAAUACAAAUACGUACAAUAAUUUAGAAUGAAGGUUCAAUGUUCGAAAGAGUAAAAACAAAAGUUGUUCAAGCCUGCAUGCUGCCCUCGUUUGUACAUGUACAAAAUUACAAAAGGGAUGACUCACAAAUGAGAUCGUGCUUUGGUUGAGUCCUUUCAAAAAAUCCGCAACUUAUGGAAAGAAGAAAAACCGCCCAAUUUCUAAAUGAACUUAGUGAGUUCCAAAAAUCUAUAACCUUUUUGCAUUAAAAGGGGAACACAUCAAAACAUCAUCACGCAAGUAUUCUAAGAGUUAAUAAGUCAAGCAGUUCAUCCUAGGGGUGAACUAAAACAUUUAACCGAUAUGGCAUCCUCUCUCACCAUAGCUCGUUGCUUCUAAGGUGUGCUUAAUAAUUCAGCUUGUGCAUGUCAUAACUCGCACAUAUGCAUAGCUUGCACAUUGACCACAACUUGGACAUUCACUACAUCUCGCACAUGGGCACAACUCGCAUGUUAGCAUAGAUUGCAUAUUGACUACAACAAACAUAUGGGCACAUCACACACAUUAAUGUAGCUCGCACAUGGUUACGGUUCAUUUAUAAGCUUAGCUUUCAUAUUGUCAUAGCUCGGGCGUUGCCACAGCUUGUGCAUACAUUGCAGAUACAGUUUCCAUGCAACUUAUUGUAACAUUAGCACGCACAAUUGUUUCACAAUUUCAGUCCGCACAUACGCUACAGUGUCAGUUCACUUAUAGAACUUAAUGUAAUUAGCAUGCACAUACCUUAUAUAGGCAGUUCGCAUAAGGAACGUAAUAUAAUUAGCACACACAUACUUGGUUUAGACAGUUCACACACGGGCCCUUAAUAUAAUCAGCACGCAUAUACUUGUUUUAGACAGUUCACACAUAGACUCUUUCUUGUGCUAGCUUAUGAUCCUUUCAUCGCUCCGAAGAGCCCAUAUUUCAUUUAUACCAACCUACCUUCGUAAAUCCUCCUUGUUAAUUUGAAUGCAUUCGUGUUCCCCUAUAAGGUCGGGGUCUUUCGCCAAUCUCGGUUUGCAUUUACAUGCCUUACUAGAGGAAAAACACAUAUCAGUUCAUAUCAUUAAUCUCCAUUCGAUUCUCCCAUCACAAUCACACUUCAACAGUCACCUCCGUUUCUCUCAUUUCCUCCAUUUUGGAUAUUGAGCUUGUGCACCAAGGAAGGAGUAUCCAUUUUGAUCUUUUACACACAAACAAUUUCCAUAUUUAUAGCUCUCCCACUCAAGAAAGCACAUCCAAUGAUUAAUUUACGUAGGUUGUACAUUUCUAUUAAUCGAUUCUAACUAGUUUAUGGAAAUAAGCUUUACAUAGAUUUAAGCAAAACGAAAUUAGUAAACCAAAAGACAUAGCAAAACUUUACCUAGUCAGACGAAAACUUUAAGUAAUUCAUUAAUUAACAAGUAUAAGUUAAGGGAACUCACAAAAGUUUCCAAAAAUGUUUCUGUUUAUUUUACAGGUUCUUUUGUCACAUCCAAACUAGAAGAAAUAAAGAUAAAAUUUAGAUUUUAAUGCAUAAUAAGAAUAGGGAAAGCGAACCUAUAGUGCCUUAAAUUUAUUGUUGAUAAGGAAUUAAAAAGAAUAGACCACUAGGCUUAAUUGUUAAGUGUUAAGCAAGUUAAGGUCCUAGGUUUGAACUCCCUUAAUUGCACCCAUUUGCUGAUUUUUUUUCCAAUUUCCCCUAAUGUUUGGCCAAAACCCUUAAAAAUAGUUUCUUAAAGGCUAAUGUCAAGAAUGAGUUUGUUGGUUCAAUAGUUAAGACUUAGCAUCCCCUUCGAUCCCAAGUUCAAAACCUUUUGUGCGCUUUUAGCCAAAAUAUUUUAUUUUCUUAUUUUACCCCCAUAAAGUAUCGAAUUUUCAAACCAAGCCCAAACCGAAAACUAUAUUUUUUUAUUUUAGACCUUAAUUUAAAUCAAUCUUAAUUCUAAACUAAUUCCUAAUUCUAUUUUAAUUAGGGAAGAAUUUUUAUAAAUAGCCAAUCUUUUCAAAACCUAGAAUUCUUAUUUAUAAUUUUUUUCAAGAAAAGCUCUCAAAAUUCUCUCUUCUUAUUCAUUACUGAAACCCUCAUUGCAAUUAGGGUUCUUAAAAGUUCAAUAUUGGCCUAUUUUCUCAUCCAUUGUCAAACCACAUUACUUAACCAAAGAUUUCAAGAUUUUCUAUUGCAUCUGUCUCAUCCUAGUGGUUGCAAACCCUAUAUACGAACAUGUUAUGUACAUGUUAGCUGAAUUAGCAUGUUAACAACCUAAUGUUAAUACAUCGAUACAAGUUUUUAGUUUGCAUGAAGAAAUUGUAUAUGUGAAAUUGAUAUGAAUGAAUGCAUGAAUACAUGACAUUAGAUGAUAAUAUGAAAUAAUAAAUGUGCUUGACAAGAAUAGUAUCAAUUGUUGAUAAAUAGCAUGAUAUGCUGAGUUUAUGUGCAUAAUUACAUGAAAUUGAGUAUGGAGGAUGGAGGAGUUUCGUAGGAGAAAGUGCCAAUUGAAGUCCACACUGAAAGUUAGUACUGCAUGAAGUAGGCGACAAUAUCAUCGAAAUUGGGUAAAUCGGAUUGAUAGUUUAAAAAGGCCAUCAAAAUUGGGCAACUCGGGAUGGUAAGUUAUUGUAAUAAAAGUCAUCUUCACAGAUGACAAGUGAAUGUCCAUAGUCACGGGGAAAUUCAGGAUGGUCAAUUAUUGAUAUUGGUUUUAGAGUGUCAAGCGAUGCUCGAGGGCGGAUAUGAUGGAUGGGUGAGAACUUAAAAUUAAAAUUCUAGUGCAUCAUGAACAUAACCUAUACAUGCAUUGAUUUAUUGAAUAUUCCUUACAUUAUGCUUAAUCUGCUAUGAUGUUAUAAAUUGCAUGUUUUACUAUUUGAACAAUUAUAUAUAAUGGUUUAAAAAUUAGACUUGCAUUGGGCUGCCAUAAGCUCACUUUCCCCUUUCCUUACCUCUUAGGUAAUGCAAAAAACUAGGACUAGGAAUGGCAUUAGAGGAACCUCGAACUAGCAUCUCAUGUUUUUUAUUUAACAGUUUCCAUUAAAGCUUUCUUUAAUUGUUUUAUUGGUUUAUUUAUCGGGUUGUAAAUUAUUAAUUAUUUUUUUAUUUUAUAACUAUGGUUUGGGAUUAUUUAGCUUAUUAAUUUCUAAGCAUGAUACUUGGUUAAUACCCUGAUAAUUGCAUUCUAAUUAGUUUAGAAAACUAUUAUUCUUAAUAAUGUUUUCCUCUACUUUGCUAAAAACUUAAAGUUUUGAUAAGUCUUUUUAAACCUUAACUGUUUUUCUCAAAAAUUCACACUAAUAAUAUUGUAAUUGGAUUACUAAGUAAAGCCGGUUUGAUUAUUGAUUUUUUUAUUAAAAACAAAAUAGUGAUUUUCAUACAAUUCAACUCAAGCAUAAGAAUGACUUUAUUUGAUCACUUUGGUGAUCAAUGUAACGCCAUUGACUUAGCCAAAACUCUUAGGCCAGGUCAGGGGUGUUACAUCUUUUCCCUUUCUACUAGGGCCUUCCCCCACUUCUUUAGUUAAACACAUUCAAUACCUCAGUUACCAAAUAGAAACAACCAGAACAACAACCAAGUCCUUAUCGAAAAUUGAGAAAUCUAACAACUAUUGCAACAUGCAACAAUUGCAAAGGAGAAUACUCCCUUCACCCAUACUUUCAAUUUAGUCCUAUAUAAACAAUUCCUAAAAUUUUACUGAAAUUAUGGUUAAAGACAGACUCAAGAAAGUUACUAGCAACUACUUGAAAAAGAACAACUUCUAAGCAAGUUAAAAUCAUGAUUUCCUCCCACAAACAGCUAGAGUUAUAAUCUUCAAUUUCUCAACGAAGGUACACAGGAAAGACACAGGAAAGGAAAAUAGAAUUGAAGUCUUCUCCCCUUUUUCCUCUCCCCUCGACCUCCUACUCUACUCUUAGAAUAAUUUAAGAUUAAAAAUAAUUUAACCAGUCAAUGCCCUUAGCCAACCACUAAUAGCAACACAUGCACACACAGUUCCACUACCCACUAACUAUUCCUGAGGCCAACAAGUCUCAUGCACGAUGACACGUUUCCCUUCUCAAAGCUUAACACAUGCCCAAAUACGUGUCAUACACAUCGCGAGGAGUUAAGGUAACAACGAGCUCACAAACUAACGAGCUCUUUGACUAAAGAGCUCGGAGAGCAGUGAACUCAAUAACUAACGAGCUCACAAACUAGUGAGCUCACAAGGCAGCAAAGACAACUUGCCACAUACGAGGUGGAGGCUUGCGAGAUGGUAAGACAAUAGCGAAGCAGCUCAUGAGGGGAUGUUCAAAGAUAAAACCAGUCUAAUUCUCACGAAUUAGACGAGCUCACACAAGUUCCUUACCGUUCCCACUUGAUUAACAUUCCAGAAUACAGUUCCAAAAAUUUGGGGUGUGACAGGUGAAAAGUUGGUUGACUUGCGAACUGAUACGGACUACUUGAACCUAGUAAAAAAAUCAAUUGAACCUAUUUUGCACUGGUUUGACCAAUUGGUUCCUAGAACAAUUGGUUUAAUUGGUUCAAAGCAAAUAAAUUAUGAAAAAUAAAAAAUAAAAAUAUACAAAAAUCGGUUCAAUUUGUAGUUAAACUGAUUUUAUCCUACUUCAACCAGUCCAUGCCAGUUCGCAGGUCAACUGGCUUUUAAAAUUUUUAAACAUUUUUAGCCUUCAAGAUUUACAUUUUUUUUGUCAAUUUUAUCCAUACCCUUUAAAAGUACAUAAAUUUUUAAAAAUGAUUAAUUUUUUUUAAUUUAAAAAAAGCAUAAAAAUUGAAAAAAAAGUAUAAAUUUUUUAAAUAUAAAAAUAUUGUAACGCCAUAAAUAAUUUAUUUAUGUUUUUGUAAAUCCUAACAUAAAUGAGUAUUUGCUUCAAUGGCUAAGUGCUUUGGAUGUGUGUUUGUGGUCUUGGGUUUAAGUCCUACUUUCUGGAAAAAUUUUGUUAUUUUUUUUUUAUUCUAGCCUUAUCUCUGCUGGAUAGGCUUAUGUAAUAUUGUUUGUAAACUCAUAUAAGAAUCAGUCUGCUGAUUUGAGUGGUAAGGAGUUAGUGUGUUGGAGUUCUUGUGGCUGAAUCCCUGCCCGAGCUUGAGUGUUAAUUUUUGUUCCGGUUGUCUGUUAGAGGUUCGGUGGAGUUGGGAGUCUAAAGUAGUUGGAUGUGGUUAGUGGGGAGGAUAUUAUGGGAUGUGGUUGUUAGUGGGGAGUUGAGAUGUUAAUCAAAAAUCAAUUUAUUAUCUUUUUAUUUUAUUUUUUAAAAUUUUUCUCUCUCUUCCCAAAAGUCUAACGUUAGCUUUCUUUUUCUCUACCAUAUUCUUUUUUCUCUUCUUUUUCCUACAAUUCUAUCUUUGAUCUGCUGUCGUAUCAGUGUAUUUCAAAAUUUUGGUGUUUUACUUGCAGUUGGGUAAGUAGGGAUUUCACUUGUCUGUAACGAUUCUUGUAAGUUGUUGCGUUUAUUCAUUUCGUUUAAAUUUCUAAAUGGUGUGAAGUAAGGGAGUUUGAUUUUCGGUGAUGUAUUGCGUAGGAGUUGUUGGUGAACCUGCGGAUUUCGCUCCUACAGCAUAAACCGCAGUAGGGGUUGUUCUUAUCGGUGGUAAGUGUGUUUGCGCGAUUCAGUUUUACGAUGUUAAAUUCGUAUUUGAUUGCUAAAAAGGUGUUGGGUAUUAUAUUUUUAAGUGCUAGUGGUCUCGGAAAUGGUUUCGCAUCAAAACUGAACUAGGUGUGUAUCCCUAACAUGAGAAAAUGAUAUUCAGGGAAAGCCAAAAAUGGGGUUUAUUGACACCACACGGGCGUGUGCCCAAUCGUGUAUGAGACACGACUGUGUGACUGGCGAAGGUGUGGCCAUGCGCAUGACACAGCCAUGUGACGGUGUGAGUAUGGUCGUGUGGGCCACAUGGCCUAGGCCAGGUUAGGCGUGUGGGUCACACGGGCAUGCCUCUCGGGCGUGUGGGUUUUGGGCCAUGUCGUGUAGGCCACACGGGCAAGGCCAAUCUGGGCGUGUGGGCCCACACAAGCAUGUGGGCCUAAAAUUUUAAAAUAUUCCCUAGAGUCGCAUGGGUCGUUCUGAUAGACUGCAGACCUACCGUAGGGUCGAUAAGGGCUAACCAAACCCUAAUUCAUGUGAUCUGAGUAGGACACUGAUACGCAUGUCUAACUGUUCUGUUUGAGUAUAUAUAUGUUAUCCAUAUACAAGCAUGUUAAGCAUGUUAACUCUGUUAAUUUUGUAUUCUGUAUUUGUGUUUGGGGUGGUAUUUGCAUAUGUGGAGGAAGUGAUCUAUCGGUGACCUUUCGCCUAUAUUCAUGCAGCUUGACUGCAUAUUAUUCUAUCAUGUGUUGCAUCGACACUAUAUGGUGUGUUGGGAUGGGUGGGUGUUUUUAACCCCACAUGGUGUGAUGGGAUGGUCGGAGAUGGUGUGUAGAGGAUGGGGGUAGGAUUCUAUAUAUCUCUUCUGCUUAACUGAUUUUGAUAUCUGUAUCUGGUCUGAAUUUGCAACUGACGGUAUAUGAAAUUCUAUAUAUGUUGCAUGACUAUUUCUGUUGGGUUACACACUAAGUUUAUGAAAACUCACAUCUAUUUGUUUGUUCUGUUCAGGUAAUCCACAGACUUAGGCGGGUCGGUGCGCCGGAGGUUCAGCGGUGACCACUUUAUCGAGAUUUUUUUAUUUUAUAAUAAUGGUUUUAUUUUAAAAUUUGGCUUUUGUGAGAGUUCUUUAAUUUUUGGACUCUCCGGACUUUUUGGACUGUUUGGUUUGAAUUCUUGGGUUUGAUUGCGUUAUGAUUUCUAAACUGCGAAGAUUCAACAAAAUACCGAUUUUACGUGAACAAAUGUUAUUUUUGGAAACAAGAACAUGGUUUUGUUUUAAACGAUUUUCAAACUUUUGCUGUGAAAUAAUUAGUUAUAAAGGACAACAUAUAACGAUUUCAGUAAUAUAUAAACGGAUAUAUUUUAUAAUACUUGAAUGUUUUAUCAAAUAACUAAACAUGGUUUUAUCCAAGUAUAGGCAAUUUCAAAACCCUUCUUCGUAGCACUCCCAGAUUCGACCAUAGCUCUAGGUAGUGUUCGGGGUGUUAUAGAUUUUUUUUAAAAUAUAAAAAUAUUUAAAAAAAUAAAAACUCUUGAAAUUUCAAAAAUCAAAAGAUCUUAAAAAUAAAAAAUUCCAAAAUUUAAUGUUAUAUAAAUCAGACUGGACCGAUAGGAUCAAGAAUCAAUUGGGGUAUAUUGGUACAAACAGGUUUUUAUAAUUUAUAAUUUAUUGUUUUUAAUAAUAUAUUUACUUUGAACCUGUCGGACUAAUCGUUCUGGGAACCAAUUGGUUAAACUAGUUUGAAUUCAGUUCAAUUGCUAGUUCAACCAAUUUUUAGCUUGGUUCAACUAGUCCAUACCGGUUUCUGGGUCAACUUUUUUUUUUGCGUCUGGUCGGACCAAUACCCCAACCGAUUCCUGGUCCUAUUGGCUAGUUUGGUCUAGUUUAGAUAAUAUUGAUUUUUUGAAUUUUUUAUAUAUAUUUUUUAUUUUAAAGUGUUUUUUUCUAUAUUGUUUAUAAUUAAAUUAUGAUUUUUUAUUUAAUAUAUGAAAAAAUAUUUAAUUUUUAAAUUGUUUAUAUACUUUUAAAGGCUAAGAUCAAAUUGAAAAUAAUUAUAAACAUUGAAGAUUAAUAGUAUUAUUUAACCUUUGACACCAUUAAUUCUUUAAAAAAAAGAAUAAAUAUUUUUAAAUAAAAAAGUAAAAUUAAAUGGAUAAAAUAAUAUUUUAAAAUAAAAAAUAUAAAAAUUGAAAGCAUAUUCUAACUAUUUUUAAUUCCAGACUUGGAUCGACCAAAACCCCAUUUCAAACUCUCAAAGUCUUUGAAGAACCGACUAAGAAAUUAACAAAAUGUAUAUUCAUAUUUAUUUACUUAUUUUUCUUAUUUUCUUGGGUGAGGGCCUGAUUGGAACGUGAACAAACAAAAAGAUUGUUAUAUAAUAUUCUUAAAAGAAUUUGUAUAGUAUUUUUAAAUUAUUCUCUUAUAAUCUAAUUUUCGAAAAACUAACGCUUUUUUACUCAAAAUGAGAGAUAGUUUAUAUGGUAAUUCACCUCCUUUAUCAGUGCAAGAUGUUAAGGUGUAAGAUAUUCUAUAUUCUAGAAACAAAUUGUGCAUUUCUGUAGGUUGGGAAAAGUCAAACUAGGUAGUUAGGUUGCCGUAGACAUUUGAUCUUAAUUAUUAUCCUUAGUACAAUAAUUUGACACUAAUUAUAUUAUAUUCUAUUUUAACAACACGAUUAUUAUUAUAAUCAACUACGUUUUCUGCAGGCUACUUGCUUUCUGGAUAGUCCAAGUCUUCCCACGAAUUUGCCAUUAAUUCCAUUCUAUUCUAUUUUGUUUACUUUUCUCAUUACGAUAAUAAACUAGUUAAUUGAAGUUGCAUUCCUAUUUCACCUUAAAAUUUCAUCCAAUUAUUAUUUUGGUAUUAAAAGAAUAUUUAUGAUCACAAUUUUAUAAAGUAAAUAAUAGUAAUUUAACUUGAAAGUUUGUCUAAACUUUAGAUUUACCUUAAUUUCAUUUGAAUCAAUUUGAAAAAAGAUUAGAAUGUUAAAUAAGUAAAGGGUAAAUGUAAUUCAAAAUGAAUAGCAAAUAAUUUCAACUUUCUAUUUUAAUUCUAAAAUUUUUUAUUUUUAAUCAACUUAUAAUUCUUUAAAUUUGAAAUAAAUCAAAUAAAAAAUAGUCUAAUAAUUUGUAUUUAAAUUGAUCAAAACUCAAAACUAUCUAAAUUUAAAAUAGUUAAACUCAAAAUGAACUCAAAUCUCAAAUAAAAAAGAUUGAUUAAAGAGACAAUUAUGACAACUACGAAUUCAUCUGCAUGGAAAUUUAUGGCAAUGGUAACAUUAGUUUGGAAUCUAAAAUGAUUGAAAAAGAAAAACAUAAACAACUUUAUACAAUUUAAUUCAAUUCUUUUAAGUCUUGACAAGUCUUGAAACAACUAAUUCCAUAUACAAUAAUAUUGUGAUAAUUUCUGGAAUUUUUUUUAUAAUGAUUGUAAAUUUUUUUAUCGUGAAAAACUAAAAUUUUAAAAAAUAAUAGAAAAUCAUCCAAGUUUGUUAAAAAGUACAAUAGAUAUUUAUAUAUCCAUAUUGUUCCAUGUUUUUUUUCUAUAUUUUAAAUGAUUUUUCUUUUCUUUUUGAAUUUUCACUAUUUUUUUAUUUUAUGUUUUCUAAAAAGAAAAGCAUUUUUUUUAGUUCCAGGAAAGCUUUUAAUUUUUCUUUAUUUUUAAAUUUUUUGAGAUUUUCCUUUUUCCUUUUUUUUUUUUUGCAAUUUUCUGUUCUUUUUACAUUUAUUUAAGAAAAAAAGAAAUUUGGGUGACGUAAAGUGCCACAUCAUUUCUUUUAGCAGCAGCAAGAGCUGAGGUAACUUCAGAUAUCAAAUUGAUAAAUCCUUUUUAAGUACCGAAAUAAUAAUUGAGUACAAUUUAGGGGUAAAUAGUAUAUUAACCAUUUAUUAUAUUAAAAAUUUGUUUUAUGUUUCCAUAUUUAAUGAUACCAAUUAACAUUAUAUUUUAUUAAAAAAAUAUACAACUAACCGAAUUAUUUUGAAUUUAAUAAAAACAAUUUCUUAAAUAAUAAUGAAAUAAUUUUUAAUCAAUACUUAUAAAAACAGUCAACACAUUUCAUUAUCCUGUAUCCAUUCUAAAUUUUUAAGUAAGCAUUAUUGAAAACAAUAAAUUAAGCAAAUAAAUAAAUAAGUAGAAGACAAACUGAUACAAUAUUUGAAGUCACCAAUUUGAGAUUUAAUAAGAAAGUUCUGGCUGCCUCUUUUGACUAGUACCAAUUCAAUGAAUAUUAAGAAAUUAACAUAAAUCCAACUAAAAAAAUUGAGAGUAGUGAAGUUCUUACGCUUCAAGUUCAGUCUAUAAAUAGCAUCUUAGUUCUCUAUCAUCUCACAACUCAACUCAAUCAUCCACUUCUUCUCUUAUUUGAACUCAAAGUCCCAGCUAAUAUUAGAAUCAUGGGUGUUGUCACUUAUGACUAUGAGAAUACCUCCCCAGUCGCCCCUGCCAGGCUUUUCAAGGCCUUUACUGUUGAAGCUCCGAAAGUUUGGCCCACGGCUGCACCUAAUGCAGUCAAGAGCCUUGAGGUUGAAGCUAAUCCUAGCUCUGGAAGUAUCGUAAAAAUCAACUUUAUUGAAGGUUAGUUCUUUCAUUUUCACUUUCAUUGGCCUUCUUGUAGUCUGUUUUACACGAGUAUGUUGGAUAACAAGUAUUUAUUUCUUUAGGCCUUCCAUUCCAAUAUAUGAAGCACCAGAUCGGAGGACAUGAUGAAAGUAAUUUUUCAUACAGUUACGAUUUAAUCGAAGGUGGGCCUUUGGGGGAUAAGCUUGAAAAAAUUAGCUAUGAGAACAGGUUUGAGGCAGCUGCAGGUGGAGGGAGUAUUUGCAAGAGCUCAAUGAAAUUCUACACUAUAGGCGAUAAUGUUAUCACUGAAGACGAAAUCAAGGCUCUCAUUAAAGGGAGUGAGGGAGUUUACAAGCCUGUUGAAGCUUACCUCUUGGCUAAUCCCGAAGCCUGCAACUAGGAUAUAAGUUGCUUAAUUUUAAUUCUUAUGCUUGCUUUUAAAGAGGGGUUGGAUUUUAAUGUUGUGCUUUUGAUAUUUUCUUUUUCAUCUUAAAACCUAUAUUGUCUUCUGGUUGCUCAGUAAGAAUGAUGGUGGUGGUGAUCGAACUUUGAUCAUCUUUGAUAUAUAAUGAAAUAAAUAAAUAUAUAAACUGGCAAAAAAAAAAUCUAUACCCAAUAUAUAUUUUACAGUUUUCAUGGAAGACUACAAAUUUUCUUUUGUAUAUCUUUUGGGUUAGCAAAACUUUGAGCUAAACAUUUUUUAAUUGAAUUUAUAUUCAAAAUCUAAAAUAAAAAUAAAAAUCAUCCCACGCUUUCUAAUAAUAGUCUAAUCAUAUAAUUCUAUUUUUUAAUAAAAUAAAUAACAUUAAGCGAAAAUAAUAAAAUCAUCGAUCCUAUUAAAGAUAGCACUUUUAAGUUAUACUAUAUUAUCUAUAAGGAUAUUUACAUUAAAUAAUCAAUGUCACACAAUUGCAACAAUCAAAUUUAAAUAAAAAAUUACAAAAAUCAAAUGAAUUUUUUUUAGGUUUUCCUUCUAAUUAAGUGCUCAUUACAUUUCUUUCCCACGAAAUAUAGUUAUUAUUACGGGAUUUUUAUCAAAAUAUUACAAACAAAAAAAAUACCAAAAUAUUAUAUAAUUUUUAUUCUUUACCAAAAUAAUACAAAAAACAGAAAAAAAAGCUGCGAUUGACGUGACAACACAGGGGAGAAGGGGGUGCCAUAGGCGACACCAGUUGUGCCCCUGUCAGAGGCAGCACCGAUGGUGCCCCUCCCACAGGCGGCAGUGCCUAUUUAUGGGGUCAUUCAGCUGGUGGGUGGGGGGAAGAGAAGGAGAAGGAAAGAAGAAGAAAGAAAGAAAGAAAAGGAAAGGAGAGGAAAGAAAGAAAAAGAAGGAAAGAAAAGGAAAUGGGAAGAAAAAAGAAAGAAAAAGAAGGAAAGAAAAGGAAAGGAGAAGAAAAAAAAAGAAAGAAGAAGACGGAAGGAAGGAAAAAGAAAAAGAAAAAGAAAAAGAAGGUAAUUUUUGUUUUAUUAAUUUAAUUUUUUUGGUAAUAUUUGUGUAAAAAAUUUAUGUUAUGUAUAUGUGUUUUAUUCUUUUAUUUAGCAUAUAUUUAUUAUGAAAUUUAUUUAGCAUGAAAAAAUCCAUGUUAUGUACAUUGUAUGUUGAUUAGGAAUUUUUUUUUAUGAAAUUUAUUUAGGAUGUUGUAAUUAGUUUUUUUAGAAAAAUAGCAUUAAAAAUAAAAUGAUAAAAAAAUAUGUUUAAGAAAACAUAAAAUACGAAAAGAAAAAAAACGGAAAUUGUAUAUUCACCAAUAGUAAAAAAAUUCGAAAAAUGGUAUAUUUAAAAAACACACUAAAUUAAUAAAUUUCAACCAUAAUGUACUAAAAUAAUGUAAAAUAAUAAAAUUAUAAAUUAUGAUAUUUUUUAAAGUAAUAAAAAGCGGAGAAAAAAAUACGAACAAAUGGCCGAAGUAAGAGUGUUUUACUAAAUUUUUUAAAAAUUCAGAAAUAAUUAAUACAAAUAUUUCAAACAAAAUAUACUGAAAUAAUAUAAAAUAAUAAAAUACGAAAAUAAUAUAUUUUUCUUAAAAGUAAUAAAAUUCGGGAAAAUAAUACGAGCAAAGGGCAGGAAUAAAGGGUUUUUUUACACUAAAUUAAUUUAAAAACACACUAAAUUAAUAAAAUUCAAACAUAAUGCACUGAAAUAAUAUAAAAUUAUAAAAUUAGAAAUUAUGAUAUUUUUUAAAGUAAUAAAAAGCGGAGAAAAAAAUACGAACAAAGGCCGAAGUAAUAGUCUUUUACUAAAUUUUUUAAAAAUUUUGAAAUAAUUAAUACAAAUAUUUCAAACAAAAUGUACUAAAAUAAUAUAAAAUAAUAAAAUACGAAAAUAAUAUAUUUUUAUUGAAAGUAAUAAAAUUCAGGAAAAUAAUACGAGCAAAGGGCAGGAAUAAGGGUUUUUUUACACUAAAUUAACUUUAAAAACACACUAAAUUAAUAAAAUUCAAACAUAAUGCACUGAAAUAAUGUAAAAUUAGAAAAUUAGAAAAUAUGAUAUUUUUUAAAGUAAUAAAAUGAGGAGAAAAAAAUACGAAAAAAGGGUCGAAGUAAGAGUCUUUUACUAAAUUUUUUAAAAAUUCGGGAAAAUAGUACAAAUAAAUGGCUGAAAUGAGAGUUUUUUACUAACGUUUUUUUGAAUUUGCAGGCAUCGCAAUGGCUCCAUUGAUUCAACUCGGUAGAUGCAUAUCUGAUGCGGCUAAUAACGCGGUAUGAUUUAUUAUUUGUUAAUCACGGGUUCUAUUUAAAAAGGAUUUACAUAAUAUAUAGAAAUAAAUCAUGUUAUCCUAAUAUUUUUUCUGUAAUUUAACACUAUUAGGAAUCGUACCGAGUAAUAAGGGGCCGUGUGAAUGGUUUAAAGAAAGCUCCGGAUGCAAUAUUGAUGCCGUACUUGGAGCAAGCCGGAUUUGGGAAAGCAGCAUUGAUCCGGACCUUCGACUUACGCUACGAUUUAUUAUCUGCGCUAGUGGAGCAGUGGUGCCCGGAGACCCACACUUUUCAUUUUUCGUGUGUGGAGUGCACGGUGACCUUGGAGGAUGUUGCAAUGCAGCUUGGGCUCCCAAUUGAAGGGAGUCCCGUAACGGGAGUAUCUUCAUUUACUGAUCCGGCUGCACUUUGUUAUUAGCUCCUAGAAGAGUCGCCAGAGGACGAUAAGUCAAAUUUCUCGAGCUUAAAAUUUACAUAGCUGAAAGCCAAAUUUGGACAGUUAUCAGCUACUGCCACUGAAGGUGAGUUGACGUGCGCUGCUCGAGCAUACAUCAUGCAUAUCAUAGGGGGAGUACUCAUGCCCGAUGCACACAACAACAAGGUGCAUAUGAUGUACUUGUCCCUAUUAGCUGAUUUAUCCAGUGUUCACUCAUAUAGCUGGGGCUCCGCCGUUCUAGUAGUGUUAUAUCGGGAGCUUUGUCGGACGACAAACCCGGAUGUUGUAGACAUGGGUGGAUGCCUCACAUUGCUGUAGUCCUAGGCACUCUAUCGGAUGCCAUUUUUGGCAUCGGUUAGUCACCAACCGUAUGUUUAUCCACUAGUGAACAGGUGAUAAAAUAUAACUUGUCAUUAUUUGUAGUUUAUAUGGUAUAUUGACUAAUGUUACCAACCCUAAACCCUAUAUUUUUUUUGUAGGUAGAGUCUUUAUCCGGGUAUCGGGAGGUCACACAUUGUCCCGAUAUAUCGACUCAUGAUCGAACAGCAUGCCGGGGAAGGGGUAAGCUGCUAUUCUAAUAUUCAUGACAUCUUACUUUCUAUAUCUUACUCACACAUUAUGGCUAAUUAUAACCAUGUUAUUAAUCAUGCAGUUUAUAUGGAUGUCAUAUCGUAGGCCAGAAAUUACAGAUGUGGUACCCUCGUCUGCAUACGUUCAUUCUGACAUAUGGUGCACUAAUGCACCAAUUAUAAGUUUCAAUAUAGUUGAGUGGUAUCAUGGGGAUCAGGUGUUACGACAGUUUGGCUGCAUCCAACAUAUCCCGAAUCUGCCAUGCGAGGUAGGGGCGGUUCACGGCAUGAAUAAGAGAGGGAAACCGCAGUUGGAUUGGGGCAUUAAGCAUCGAUAAUUUGUUGCGCAGUGGAACAAUCGGAUGCGUCGAAGACCUCAGAUGGUUAUGGCUUCCGAUUUGCAACCAUCAUUAGAGGACAUAUAAUGGUACUUUAGUUGCGGUAAGUCAUAUAUACUUAGAAGCUAGUCGACUGUAGUCCCCUCGCACAUGCAGCGACCUGGGGGAUCAUACUCAGCGGCCCCGAUGGAGGCGGAGCCUGUGGCAUAUUAUGAUCCUGAACCAGAGCCCGAGCAAGAGCCCCAGCCAAAUCCCGAACAAUCACAUCCACAUGUGGAUUCACAUAGCUAUCAUCCGGAUUUGGCAGGCAGGGACUAUAUUCCGAGCUUCUCAGGGGGCGAAUUUGCAUACGACUUUGAACUCUUUGGAUCCUACCCACCGCAGUAUGGCAUGCCCGGCCCAUCCGACCCGUAUCCGCAGCAUCAUGGGACUCCUUCCGGUUCAAGUUCGUCGAUGACGAACGAGCCACAAGAUUUUUCCUCUAUGUUUGCCACACCCUCACCUGUGCCGAAUGAUGAUGUUGGUCGUCGCGAACACCCAGAACGUGACCGUCGACCUUCGAAUAGGUAUACCCCUAAGACCACACCAUCGAACCAUCAAUUUUAGGGGUUUAUUACAGUUUUUGUACAUUACAAAGUUUGUACGUUUUGUAUAAAUUUAAUUAUUCUAAUUUUAGGUAUGCUUACUGCUGAACUAUUUUGUAUAAAUUUAAUUAUUCUAAUUUUUCAUUAUAUUAAAGCUGAAUUUAAGGUUAAAUGGCUCCAUUUUCGAUAUAAUUUUAAUAAUUCCAAAUGCCAUAUACUAUUUUAUAACUUAAUUUAAUGACAAUUUAAGCAUAAGCAUAAGCUGAAUAAUUUUAAUUAUUUCAAAUGAAUUAUACUUUUUAUAACAUUACACAUAACAAUUUGACAGCAUUAGGUCAAUUUCGACCCGAUCCGGACGACUGUCCAACAUGAAAGUUUCACCUAGGGCAUUUAUUCCGACUAUGACCACUUAACCUGCAUAUUCCACAACGCUUACUGUCUGAUUUCUCCCUAAUGUCCAUUUCAUUACAGAUUCUGCUUGAUUGCGGACGACCUCUUGGAUUCCUACGUAACCCUCUGUCUGGGAAAAGCUCGAAAGUCGUCGGAGGCACCUCCUAUGUAGAUAAGUUAGGCAGGACAGGGAACUAAUUUUCCUAGACACGCAAUGUUCGCUCAAGCGUGUACACAUCAUCGACAUACUGUUCAACAUUAAGGUUGACUUUAGCACACGCUGCCACGACAUGCGCACAUCGAUAAUAAGGUGUUUCGAACCUCCUACACUCACACCGUCUGUUCCAGAUAUCAACUCCAUAGGACCUAGUUGGUAUACCAGGUCGACGACUGAUGGUCUCAAUAACUCAAAAUGUUUCCAGUCGUCGUGAAUAUAUUUCUACAUUCAUUGACCUCGCCAUCCAAAAGUUUGCAACCAUUGCAUCCCUGGCAUGUUAGACAAACAUGUGUCCCGCCUCCAUCUGGUCGACUUGUUGCUGACCCAUUCUUGGCAUCAAGGUAGCCAGCCUGUAGAAUGUUGUAGAAAAGAUAGAUGCAAUCGGAAGAUGACAUGUUUUCAACAAGACAGCGUUGAUCCCCUCGACUAAGUUUGUGGUCAUUUAGCCAUAACAAAAGCCCUCGUCAAAACUUUGAGCCCAUUGCCAUGGCUCCAUUGUACCCAACCAUUGUCGGAAAGAUGUGUUUGUCUUCCCCUCCAUGUCACUCUCAAGUCGGAUCAUUCUUUGGUGGAAAAUAUGUGGCUCUAACUCGUACGCUGCAUACGUGUUAAGAAAAAAUAAGUUCUAGUAACUCGAUAACAUAAAACAUUACAACUUAUAUUGAAAAUAUAAGGUUAUCAUUUACCCAUUGCCACGACUUGUCUCUUCUAGUCUGCAUUCUUAUAAUCUUUGUGGAAGUUAGCCGCAAUGUGACGGAUACAGUACACGGACCUCCAUGGCACACUGGAACGCCUAAUUGUUGCAAUUAAAUCUUUCCCUCUAUCGGAGAUGAUGCAAUUGUUAUCGUUGCUAAUAACAUACCUCCGCAGGUUAGUGAGGAAGAAUUCCCAAGACUCCAAGUUCUCUUUAUCUACGAUGGCAAAUGCUAUCGGGAGCACGUUUCUAUUGCCGUCUUGAGAAACUGAAAGAAGUAGGAUCUGUGUAUAUUUUCCAUAUAGCCAGGUCUCAUCCACCUACACAAAUGACUUGCAGUGGGGAAAUGCCCGCACACAUGGAUCAAACAUCCAGACCAUCCGAUGGAAAAUCCUUUUUACUGGCUGUAAUUGGUCGUCCGAGCCGUAAUAAGGCCUUGUCUGCAACUCAAUAAUAGUCCCCGAUACGUACUCCCGCAUAGCAGCUAUCCAUCCUUGUAGCUUGUUAUACGACGAAUUGUAAUCCCCAUACAGUUGCUCCAUUUCUGUCUGUUUAGCUAUCCAUGCCUUUUGAUAUGAUACUCGAUAUUGGAAUUGUGCUUGCAUCUCGGCAAUCAGUACCGAAACUUUAAUGGUUGGCAUGUCCUUCAUCAUUGGCAUGAUACACGUACAGAUAGUUUUCGAAUCAAGUUUUCCAUGAUCUUCUGUCAUACGUGUUGAUGUACAUGUAUGAGGACUAACAAAUUUUCAUAUCUCCCACAUCUAAGAACUUUUAAUGAAUGCAGCUCGUAUCUGCCAAUUGUAGCCUUCCGCUGCCUUCCAACACUCCCCAAUAUAUAUUGUCAGAGUAGACACUGCGACUUUAUAAUCCAUUGAUAUGUUCAUGGUAUACCGUUUAAUAGCAAAUACGCACUCUUCUUUACAGCUGAAUCUCUGGCCUAUGAAUAACUCCUCAUGAUUAGAAUUUACGGCCAGCCUGUGAGGAUGAACUAUUUCAGAGUACUCUAGGAACUCAACUACAUACGUUACGUCGGGGUCUAUGAGCGACAUGUGUGGCCCAGGAUUAUUGUGUAUCAAAAUACGUCGCAUCUAGUCCCCGACCGACGAAGCGUUAAUGUUUUCAUCGUUGUUGACAUCUUCAGCGUCAAUAUCAUUAGGUACAUCGUCCACAUCGGGAUCACCGUCACUAUCGACCUCUUCAUCCCAACGAUCACUACCACCUUCUUCUUUACCACAAACCACAUCAAUAUCGGGUGUAAUAUUCAGAUCGAUAUUGAUCCCACCCAUAGUCGAUUCACUAUCAACGUAUGAUAUUGGAGCCACCAUCCACGGUUCUUGAGCUCCGUGUUCUUCAUCAGAUGCAUUGACAUCUUCAUUUUGCUCCAUACCGGCUAACUCAGUAAAUAAGUGAAUCGGUGUAUUCUUGUCACUCCCAUUCCCAUAGUAAAGAGCGACCAUUGUCUCUACGUCUUCAUCGUCUACAAGUUCCAUUUUAGUGAAUUUGACAGGAUUUGUCGAAACUGGAAACUUGUAGAAAAUUUUUGAUAUCCUUCUCCCACAACGUCUAAGAAUUUUUGCAUUAAUCCUUGCCUUCAUUUCAUCCAACGAGACAUUUCUAUUAAAUCUCAUUGCUAUUUGUUGCCGAUAUUCAAAUACACAUCCAACACUUGUUGUCAAGAUGACUCCAUCAAAAUAAACGCAUACAAAAAACUUAUUAUCCAUCUUCAAUAUUCUAUCUGUCAAAAAAUAAACAAAAUCUCAAAAAAAAUCUCUAACGGUAAAUAAAUUACUUAAAUAAAAAAAUUUAAUGUUUCAAUAUGCAAUAUUUCAUCCUUAAGCUCAUACUUUUUCAGUUAUCAUUUUGUACAUGAACAACGUUUAACCACUAACCCUAAUAACUAACACAAUAACAAUAAUAAUAGUUUUAUACUCAAAAUAAUACUAACUAACAAUAAUAAUUAGGGUUUUACUAAAAAUAAUAACUAACCAUAAUAAUAAUACUAGUUUUUUACUAACAAUAAUACUAAGUAAGAUCUAAACCCUAAAAACUAAUAAUAAUAAUACUAACUAAAACUAUCAAAUUGAGUUUUUAUUAAACUUAAUAACUAAACUAACAACAAAAAUAAUAAAAAUUAUACAAAAAACAUAACAAUAAGAUAAUCAAUUAUUUUUAAAAAAAUACCUUUUUUUUCUCUUAUAUUUCUCUCUUUUUCUCUCUUUUUCCUGCAGCACCUCCUCUUUCUCUUCUUUUUCUUCUUUUUCUCCUUCAAUUGGACGGAUCUAGUGUUUAUAACACCAAUGGUGUUGCCUAUGGGAAAGGCACCUUUGGUGCCGCCUGUCCCAUCCGGUUUUCUGUUUUUUUAUUAUUUUGGUAAAUAAUAAAAAAUGUAUAAUAUUUUGGUUUUUUUUUUAUUUUUUUAUAAUAUUUAGGUAAAAAUCCCUAUUAUUACAAAUAAUUGUUUCUUUUUUUUAUUGCAACAUGACAAAUAACAAGUUAUCAUCAAGUUGAAUAUGGAUUUUUAAGGUUUCAAGAGUUGAAAAUUUAUGUAUAUAUAUUUAUGAAAUAAGGCUUGAUGUAUCAUUUGUCCUUUUAAGUGUCUUGUAAAUGGAAAAAAUUUAGAGCAAAUAGAAUUCAUCAUCCAUUAUUAUUGUUUAUCUUUAAUUAAUUAAAUAUAAUUAAUAAUGAGAUAAAUUAAGAAAUUAAAUAUUUUUAGAACUCUUUUAUAAACAAAUUGUUGAGUCCAAAUUUAUAUUUGAAGUCAGAAUCAAGUAGUGCUUAGAUUAGUUCUAACAGUUUCAGGCACUAGUAAUGAAAACUGUAGAAAAAUAAUAAUAAUAAACACAAUAGAUGUUUACAUAAUUCAAUUUCCCUACAUCUAUGAGGCUUUUCCCAUAGAGAAUAUUCACUAUCGUAGCUCAUUGUACAAUAAGUGUUUCCAAGCACAAAAUCUCACCAAUUUAGUCUUCUCACUUUUGUAUCUAAGAUCUAAACAUCUCCCUCUAAGUUUUCAAGGAAAAAUUAGGAAACUAACCAAAUCACACACUUGAUUAUUACAGUUUAAUGCACUCACAAAAACGUUCCUUACUUGAACAAAAUAAAGUGCUCCCACUAAGUAUGUAACAUCCCAAAAAUUGAGGGUUAGUAGAAUCAGGUUUGGGAAUCGAAAGAGAGUGGUCAUGCCCUAAUUUUUGAGAUUAUCUAUGCAUUUUUAGGAAAUAAAUGAGGUAUUGAUUUGUUGGUUAAGUGUUAGUGAAACGUUUCUUGAAACCCAAGUUCAAAUCCCUUCUCUCUCACCAUUUUUAUUAUUUUGUAAAUUUUGCCUUAAACCCUAGUAUGUGACAUACCUUGUUUUUAAAAUAACUAUUGCAAAAUUAUUUCAAGAAUUUGAAAAAAUCUUAAUGGUUAAAAGAAAUAUGAAAAAGUAUGGAAAUUAAAUAAGGUCCCAAGUUCGAAUCUUUUUCCUUACAAAAUAAUUAAAUUUUGCAAAAUCCCUUCUUUUUUUAAUGUGUGUGCCAUCCAUACCCUUGAACCCUAAGUAUAAAUACAACUUUUAUUGUAUUUUUCAACCUUUAAUUCAAAUUUCCCUACCCUAGCCAUUCAACCUCUUCCUCUCCCCUUUUCUUCUCAAUUUUCUUUCUUUCAAGAUUGUGCACCAUCUCCUUUACUCUAAUGCUUCUAUUUAUCCUCAUCUAAAUCAGCCCCAAAUCUGAAAUCUUGAACCCCAAGAUUAAUCCUGAAUAUUGCAAAAAAAAAGUGUCAUUGUUAUUUCUCUCAACUAGCUUGGGUAAGAUCUCUUUUCUCUUUAAUUUCUUGAUUAAUAUUGUCAAUUAAAAACCAAAAUUUAUAAAUCUUGAAUUUGGGGGAUUUUAAAUGAUUUCAAAGGUAUUUUUCCAUAUUUUAAUGAGAUCUCAAACCGUUUUAAAAUUCAGCCCCAAUUUUGGCCACCAUGGGUGGUGGUGUGUGUGCCUAUCUCCAAGAAAGGGGGCUAUUUUUUUCUUGUGUCUUGCCAAUAUUUUUUCCAGCAUUAAAUUUUUUUCUUAAGCCCUUCUAAUCAUCCUUUAAUCACAUGUUAAUUAGGAAGAGACAUUCUUGAUCAAUUAGACAAUCGGGUUCGACAAAUUGUGAAGCAUAAGUGUAAUUAAGGAUAACUAGUUUGUUAUUUCGAUAUAGUUGUAGGGUAAAAGUUAUGAAUUGAUUAAAUGAAGGAAUUUAAUCCUUAAUUAGCAACUUAUUUUCCAGUAUAUUAUUGAAUUAGGUGCUGACCUAAAUGCCCCAAAUCAUCUGUAAAGGUACAGAAUGAUUGUAUGUACGGUUCGCAUCGAUACAGUAUAAGAAAUCUAACUAGUUUUGAUUCAUAAAAUAGUUAUAAUUUCAAGGAUUGGUUUGAACUUAUAAGUGGGUGUUUGGGGGCUAGUUUAAUGGUAAAUUUUUUGAAUUUAUACUAAAUUUUGGUUUAGGUUCGUUUAAGAAAUUAUUAAGGAAAAUUGGAAGAUUCGCUAGUGUGCUGCGAGGAAGCGAAAAAUAAGGUGUGGGUCGUAAAUUGAUCAAAAUUGUUUGAAAUUUUUAAAUAUCAUGUUAUAUUUGAUAAAUUAGUUUGCUGAUUGGAUUGGCUUAAUAGCCAAAUUAUUGAUUUUGUGAGUGAUUGAACUAGGUAUGUUCGAGCCUUAAAAGAUUGACAUGUUGGCAAAAUUGCUAUUUUGAUAGUACGAAUGUUUGAUUGAGUUUGUAAUUACAUAUUUGAGUUAUGAGAUAUGAGAAUGUUUGACUAAAUGAUAUAAUGUGUUGAGAUAUUAAGCUUAUGUAUGAUUUAAAUGCAUGAGAUUUUGUUAUAUUGUGUACUAAAAAGAGUGCUAUUUAUACACAACGAAAAUCCGUAAAGUAUGUGAAAUUGAACAAUAUUGAUUGAUACCAACACAAUGGUAAUUUGAAAGAUUGGAACACUGUUUCCAUUUACUGAAAGUAUGUGAUUAUUGAGGACAUGCAGAGCAUGUCAAAUGAAUGUGAAAAAUAUUGAGAUAUGAUUAUGUAUGAGAUUGUGUGACAUAUUGCAUAUGCAUUGAGUUGGGAUUUUGUGGUUGAUGCAAGAGUUCCGUAGAGUGUCGACAGCGUAUUAAGUCUGCAUUAUUCGUAGCUAGUGCACUGCACCUGAAGUACUGAGGGGAAUGGCGAUUUAUCACAUUUUUACUGGCAGCUUGUCUGUAUUUUUACUGGCAAAAUUUUUUGCAUAUUGUUAUUAGUGGUUUUAACCACAACGGGAUUAAGCCUAUAAUGUUUUGGAGUUCAGAUGACGGGUUCUGGGAACUCGUGGUGUGUAGCGAAUGGUAUGGGUAGGAACCGUUUUGCAUAUUGUAUUAUGCUACGACAUAUUCGAAUGUUAUUGAUUUAUGCUACGUAUUGUUACUCGAAUGACACACCAUUUGACAUCAAUUUGAUAAUGGCUAUGUAAUGAUAUGAAAUUCCUAUGAUGGUUCUGUUUUCUUCUGUUAAAGCUAAUCUGUUUCACUGUAUUCAAUAUUUACGUUUUUUUAAAUAAUUGUUCGAUUCACACUGAGCUUUUCAUAAGCUCACCUCACAAUAGUGUUUAACUUUUUAGGUAAACCUCAAAAUUAGGACCGGACUCGGCAUACGAAGAAUCACAUUGAACCUUGGACUAUUCUUAAUAAGUAUUAUUAAGUCUUUAUUGGUUUUGGCUUGUAAUUUUUAAUUAUUUUUGGUCUGUAGCAUGGUAACUUUUCUUUUGGGGAUUUUUUGCAUGCAUGGAUUACUCAAGCAUAAUAACCGGAUAAUGCAUGAUAUCAAGCUUAAGUAAAAUUUGAUAUUGUUCCCUAGUUUUCGCUGCAUUACAAUAGGAACCAUUUUUGAAAAGCAUAUCGAUAAGGCAACUAAGUUUCCAAACUGACUUGAAAAGUGAUUUUUUUUAUAAAAAAGAGGGACAAGCAAACAAUUUUUCUAAAACAACAAUAUCAACAAUAAAAUGAAUCCUAAGCAUACGAUUUUCUCUAAAUAAGUUUAUUUAAAGACUUCAAAAGUAACGUAAGUUAGCUUAGCCAUUUUGGUGGCUAAUAUAGCCUUCUCAAUUUAGUCAUAACGUCUAGGCCGGGUUUGGAAGGUUACAAAGUACAUAACCUAUACAAGUCUUCACUAGGGGUAAUCUAGUAAGUCGAGCUUGAAUACUAUCAAGCUCAUCUUGAAAUUUGGAGCUCUAUACUUUACUCGAGCUCGAUUUAGCUUGUUUGCCAAUUUUUAUACUCAAGCUCGAACUUGAGCUAGAGUUCGGCUCAAUAAUUAAGCUAGGUUUAAUAAUAUAUUAAGGGUAAUAAUGUGAUUUAAUAAUAUAAAUGUUGGAAAAAAUUUUGGUUUGAAAACGAUUUUCUUGCACAGUGGAAAAUUAAAAUUUUUAAGUCCACCCAGUUUGUGAUAUUUAUAGCAAUAAACCUUAAAUUGAAUUCACACCUAAGAUUUCGAGCAGAAGGAACCUUAUGAUUCCUGCCUUUCACCCAAACAACAUUCUCCACUAUUCCCGUACCACUAGUAUAUUGAUGAGUGAAAAUUAGUAACGCUAGUACACAUAUUGAUCAAUUAAUAAAGUGGUGAGCAUUUAUUAUUUCCACGAAAAUCAAAUUCUAAGUUGCUUAGUAACAACAAUUCAAUUUUUAUUCAAUCCAAAUUAAUAAAAUAAAAUUUAAUUACUAUUAAAAUUAAAAUAAGUUAAUUAAGAAGACUUUAUUAAACUAAAACAAAGAAAUUUUAUAUGUUAAAUCCAAUAUGGAAAAAUUAAAUGUUCAUUCUCAUCCUUUAUCAAUACAAGAUGUUAGGGUGUAAGGUAUUCUAUAUUCUAAAAAAAUUGUGCGUUUCAUACUUACCACGAUGGGAAUAGACAAACUAAGCAGUUAGGUUGCCCUAGAGAUUGAUCUUAAUUAUUAUCCUUAGUACAAUAAUUUGACGGUAAUUAUAUUCUAUUCUAUUUUAACAACACUAUUAUUAUUAUAAUCAACUACGUUCUUCGCAGGCUACUUGCUUUCUGGAUAGUCCAAGUCUUCCCACGAAUUUGUCAGUAAUUCUAUUCUAUUCUAUCUGUUUACUUUUCUCAUUACGAUAAUAAAAGUUGCAUUCUAAUGUAAUAUUUGCCUCAAAAUUACACUCAAUUAUUACUUUGAUAUUUAAAGAAAUUUUUUAGGUAUCUCAAAUUUCCAAACAUCAAGCAUAUUACUCCCUUACUGCCAUUACCAAAAAAAAAAAAAGAAAAAAAAAGAUGUGGGAUUCUGGGAGUGCAUCAUGUCACCCAAUUUUAUGUUUUUUUUUCUGAAAUAAAUGUAAACAAAUAAAGAAAUAAGAAAACAAAUCUAAAAAAAUUAAAAAUCAGGAAAAAUUAUAAAAUUUUCCAAUUUAAAAAAAAUUCCUUUUAAAAAACAUAAAAUACAAAACAAACAACAAAUAAUUAAAAAUAUAGAUAAAAAAACACAGAAUAAUAUUGAUGUAUGUAUAGUACUUUUUAUUAACCUAGAAUUUUUUAUUUUAAAAAAAAUUCUUUUUAAAUUUAUUUUGCCAAAAAAAUUUACUCUAGGCUUGUAACUUAAUUUUUUUUAAAAUAAUUAUGAUCUGAAUUCUAUAAACUAAAUUGUAACCUUUCCAACUUGAUCUAAACGUUGUGGCUGAAUUCGAAAUAUUAUAUUGGCCACCGAAAUGGCCUAAUAAAACUAUCGGAACUUACAAAAUAGUCAUUUUAAAAUUUUUAUUUAUUUUUGAAGAAAACUUAACAUGUUAUCUUUGUCGAAGCCUUUUUUUUAAGGGUCAACUUUGGUUUGAAAACAUAAAUCGAAACGGGAGUCACCACAAAUCAUUUUUUAUGAGGUGUGAUCGGAUCACCUCGUAAUUGGGUUGUUUUAAUAAAACAUUUUGAUUUAUCAAUAACAACAAUUUUAGUCUACGAAUUUUGAGAAAACGGGUUCGAAAGUCGGUUACAUGCGAGGAAGGAUUAGCACCAUCGCCACGCCCAAAAUUGGUACCUAAUUGACUAAUUAAUGUCUAAAUAUCGAAAGUUGAAAUUUUGAAAAGAUUUUAAAAUACGAUCUCUUUUUUAUUAAUGCCAUUUAUUUUAAAAGAAUUUGCUCAAAUAAAUCAAAGCAAAUGUCAAAGACCUUCUCGUCUCGAGAUAACAAGUGUCACAUCCCGUGAGUUAGGACACGACACUUGGAAACCUCGAGAAUAAAUUUGCCUUUAACUUUUAUUGAAAUUUCGUGUAUUUUGAAAUUUAAAAGGAUAUUUGGCUAUUUAGGUUUAGCGAGAAAAUUGAAACCUCGUAAGUUAGGGUACAAUUUCUCAAAUUUCCAAAACGCGAAAUAUUGCCUUAUUUUAAAACUUUUCCCUUUUUUUGAAUAAUAGCGAGCAAAAUAUUUGAAUAAGGUACAUUCGUUUUAUUUGGGAUAAAAUAGAAUGAUUUAUUGCGGGUAUUUACAAAUCGAGUGCAACUUUCGAAGUGAUGAAAUGAAAUGGAAUAACAACAUAGAACAUGAAAUAACGAUUUAUGAGUAAAAUGUUACGUUAAUGAAUGAUGAUAAUAUGAAAAAAAAUAAUCAAGUUAUAGCGUACAUAAUGAUAAUAACCACACCACAUGCAUCAUUUUAACAUACCAAUAUUAAUAAUCCAAGUAAACAAAACGAAAUAAUAGAAAACAAUUUUAUGUAACUAAUAGUCUAAAACGAGUAAUUUAUGAGAUCAAUUCGAAAUGAAUCAUAAAAUAUUUCAAACAAACAAUAUAUAAAACUUAAAAUGAAUAAUACUAAAAUAGUUUAAAAUAAAAAAAACACAUAAAACAAUAUUCUUUUUCUUUAUUAAAAAAUAAUAUAUAAAAAAUUUAAAAGAUAAUAUAUAUAUAUAUAUGGUAGUUUAAAACAAAAUAUGUAAUAAAAAAUUUUAGUAAAUAUUAGGUAAAACAUUUAAAAUAAAUAAUAUAUAUAAAACUUAAAAUAAACAAUAAUAAUAGAAAAGCUCUUUUUUAAAAAAUAAAUUAUUUUUUAAAAAAAUAAUAAAAAUAAUAAAUUAAUUAAAUGGAAUAAGGACGAAGUUGAAAUCUAACCUAAAAUCCAAGGUUUAAAUCGCAAAUAAAUAAAAAAGGGUGGCUCGGGAUUGAAAUAGAGCGCGCUUAAGGGAUGAGGGACCGACUGGGCAAUAUUCCCAGCCCUCAAGUGUAGCGUUUCAGGUCGGACCAAAAUGAAACAAUCAAAAAAUUAUGCGGCCAAAAUAUAAAAGCAAUGAGGAUCAGAUUGCGCUAUACUAUAAAAGUGGAGGGACUGAAUAUGCAAAUAGUCCCUCAAAGCCAAAACGCGCGGAUUCUGGCCGCAUUUGGGUCGAUUUUUGGAUCUUAUGCAAAACGGCGUCGUUUUGGCCACUGAUGCUAAGGUCCAAAACGGCGUCGUAUUAUACCUUAUAUAAAUAGAAAAAAAAAGAAAAAAAAAAGAAAGCUCUCAGUCUCUCUUGGUCUCUCUCUCGGCCUCUCUUUGGCCAGCCAUGGUCGCCGCUGCUACACCGCCUUUAGCCUACAUUUCGCAGCCCCUUGGAAGCCCAACCCUCUCGACCCAGAAAAGGAGGAGGACUCUCGACCCGCUCUCAGACUCGAUGGCAAUGACGGAGGAGAGCCCUCCGACGGCGCGGUCACGGGGCGUCUCUAGUGAGCCUUCUCUUCCCUUUUUUUAUUUUACUAUUUAGUAUGUAAAAAUGAAAAUAAAAUAAAAUAGAAAAUAGAACAAGAAAGUAAAAGAAUCACCUCAAAUCUGUUUUUUUUUUCAUUUUUUUAUAUUAAUGUUCGUAAAAAAUUACAAAGGGUGAGAUAUAGGCUUUUAUAGCUGAUCUAAACAACUCUUAAUGUCCAUUUUUUUGUUGUUUUGCAAUUUGUUUUUUUACUGCUUGUUGUCUUCUUCUUUUGCAUGUUGCAGGUGGUGUCAGAGAAACGUCAGACACGUGGAGAGACGAUGGCAUGCGGCGGUGGGCAUACGAGGAGGCCAUGUGCAGGCUUAAGGGCGGCAGCUGCAUUAGGGUUUCUUUUUGGCUAAAAUUUUUUAAGUUUUGUGGGCUAGGGUUGUUAGGAUUUUUGGUUAUUGGUUUGGGUAUUGGUUUGGGCCUUUAUUUAAUUUGAUUUGGUUUUGGUUUUAUUUUGGUUUGGGCCCAGGCCAAAAUUGGCCUAUUACAAUCUUCUUUUCACUAAACGAUAUAAUUUAUUUCCAAAACGAUAGAUAUUAAGGUUUUCUUAGCAAAGGUUGAUUUCCAAUUUUAUGUAUAAAUAUAUAUAUAUCUUUUUUUCAAAAACUAUUCACUUAGUAAUGCAGCAGAAAAGUGAUAUUUGACAUAAUUUUAAUGAAAAUCAGAUUUCAUGCAAAAGUAAAUCAAGUUCCAUAUUUUAGCAAUCCUAAAAUAAAUGUAAAUGUGAUACAUGCCAAAUAAACCCAAACCUAAGUCUCAUACCAUCGUUCAAAUAAAACAAUACAGUCUCUCAAUAACAAAAAUUUCGAAUAAUAAAUCUAGACUACUUUUAUUGAAAAAAAUAAUCUAAGAUCGAGCACUCCAAAUGCCAAGUCUGUUUCCUAACCUGAUGGUUUAUCUAUAAAGAUGAAAAUAAAGGGGAGUAAGUUUAAAAAGCUUAGUGUGAGUCCAAUUACAAGAAGGUCAAUGCAAACAGUAGAUGAAGCACACAAAAUAACAAAUCUCAGAACAAUCACACUCAUAUAACGAUUCAGAGUAUUCGGUCUUUAGAUCAACACAUCCAAUAUAAUAUAUCAGAAUUCAUAGUUAUGCAUGCAUGUGCUUAUGAAUGGAGAUGCAAUUUCAAUUUAUUAGAGAAAAUCCUACCCAUGUCCGCUACACACCACAAUAAGAGUUCCUUAGAACUCAUUCAUCCCUACACACCAUGUUGUGGAUGAACCAUUAGUAAUUACAGAUGAACUGAACUACCAGUAAUAAAAGUUGUGGAUGAACCAUAAAAAUUUAUAGAUAAAAAGUUUGCAGUUUAAUAACCUACACACCAUGUUGUGGAUGAAUCAUUAGUAAUUACAGAUGAACUACCAGUAAUAAAAAUUGUGGAUGAACCACAAAAAUUUUCAGAUAAAAAGUUUGCAGACAAGCUGCCAAUAUGUUGUGGAUGAACCACUAGUGUUUGUAGAUUAUUAGCCUACCAAUUCUUCCUCCACUCGUAUCGUCCCACCCUAUGCAAUGCAAUAUGACAUGCUUAUAACAGAUCAGUACGGUAGUAGUAGACAUGCUUAACGUAUUUUGUUCAACAGUAGCAGUAUGCAUGCUGAACAUACAAUCAGUGAUAUCAUGGCAGAAUUAACAAUAUAGUUUAUCAGAAAUACAGUGACAGUAGGCAUAUAUCAUUCACACAUCAUGCAUAUAAUAGUAGUAAUUUAGUCAUUCAGAUAAUAGUUUCCAUAAUAUACAUAUUAUCAAGGAUUUAAUUAAGUGAAAUAAAACUCUAAAAAUAGUUCAAGGACUAUACAGGGACUAAAUAGAAUAAUUCACAAAUUUCGUGACAAAAUUAUAAAGUAGGGGUCACAUGGCUGUGUGAUCAGGCGUGUGAGGAAGCAAAGAUUGUGUGGGAGGCGUACAUGGUCGUAUGGCCAGGCCGUGUAACAAACUGAGGUCGUGUGACAAACGCCAAAGUUACCCUAUAGGAGGGAAACGACUGUGUGAAAGGGUUGUGGUCGUAUGGUUCACAAACAAGCCUAAGAUUUACAAGGGCACAUGGUCAUGUGGUUCGCACACCUGUGUAAGAGAUCGUAUGGCCCUAAAUCUACACAAUAUCACCACCGAUUCACUUGGAAAAGAACACACCUUUCACCGCGGGUCUGGUUGACGUUCAUCACGCUCAAUUUUGUCUGAUUCAAUUAAAUCUAGUCCUUCAAAUGACAUUUACACACAAAUUAAUGGUUGUAUCAAGAUUUGACAAUAUUUACAAAAGAUUUGGCUAGAUUUCGAGGAAAUUGAUUAAUCGAACCAAAAGACUAACGACGUACAUUAAUAUUACAAAAAUAUGGGAUUUAAUCAUUAAAACGGAACACACUUACUGAUUAUUGGUGAAGGUAAUGGAUGCUAUUUGAUGAUAACUCUAACAUUGUUAAGAAAAAAAAAGAAAUGGGGAUUGAUUCGAUACGAGAAAGAAAAAUACUCAAUAGUUCAAAGGUUAAAAUAUGAUGCAAGUAUGAGAGAAAAGAAGAGGGAAAGAAAAGAAAUAAAAGAUAAAGAGGAGUUUUACUAAAUUUUUGAAAAGAGGCAAACCUAAUCCAAAUGGAAAAGGAUGGUUAAAUAGCUAGGGUUUGAAACCCUAGGGGCAACAAGGGUAAAUUACCCAAAGCUACCAAAAUUCAAAAGAAAAAUGAGUGGGGAAGGAGGUAGCUUGAAUUUAGGACCUCUAGGAUAAGAGAGUAACACUUAACCAUUAAGCCUAUUGCCCAUUUCUUAUUUAGUCUUAAUUCCUGACCAUAUAUAUUUUGGGUGUGACUUUUCCCUAGGUUGUCGAAAAUAAAAUGGGAGGAAGGGAGCUCGAACUUUUGGGUCUUUAAGGAGGACUCUCUAUCACUUAACCAUUAAGCCUAUUCAAUUCUUAUUUAACCAUUUCGAUUAACCCCCUAUAUUUUGAGGCGUGACAUAAAUAAAAGUAAAUUAUUCUUAUACUUAAUUGAACUUGAAAGCUUGUCUAAAUUUUAGAUUUACCUUAAUUUCAUUUGAAUCAAAUUAAAAAAAUUAAAAUGUAAAAUAAGUAAAGGGUAAAUGUAUUUCAAAAUGAAUGUCAUUCAAAUGGCAAAUAAUCUCAACACUAUAUUUUAACUCUAAAAAUUUUGAUUUGUAACCAACUCAUAAUUCUUUAAAUUUGAAAUAAAUCAAAUAAAAAAAUUUAGUCUAAUGACUUGUAUUUAAAUUGAUCAAACUCAAAAGCAUUUAAAUUUAAAAUAAUUCAAAUAAAAAUGAACUCAAAUCUAAAAUAAAAAAGGUUGAUCGAAGAAAAUUAUGACAACUACGAAUUCAUCUACAUGGAAUUUUACGGCAAUGGUAGCUUCAGCUUGGAAUCUAAUAUUAUUGAAAAACAAACAUAAACAAUCUGUAAGGUUAAAUCCCAAAGCAUUUUGUACAAUUUAAUUUAAUUCUUAAGUCUUGAUAAGCCUUGAAAGAACCAAUUCCAUAUAUAUUGUGCAUUUAAAAAAAACAUGAUAAGUGCUAAAAGUAACAUGUUUUAUUCUCAUUCUUAAUGCGUUUUUGGGUGAUUAUCCGAUGUUAAUUUUGAAUUUUAUACUCCUAAUCCUUUAAAUUCAUGCUUUAUGCUUAAUAGAGCACUUAGGAGCAAAAUGAGCAAAAAACAAUCGAAAGUCGGAGCGUCGGAGCAAGUUGAUGGAGCCACACAGGCUGAACCAUUUCACAUGGCAAGACCACACGGCCAUUUAAUCUACACGGGCAUGUGGUAGGGCAUGUCGAUUUCACAAGAUUGUAUACUGAACAGAAAAAAAUCAUGAAUUUUAGGUUUUUUGGGCAUUCUAAGACGUAUAUAUGACAAAAUUAAGAAGAUAAGAGAGAGCCGUAAGAGAAUACUCAAGAAAACAACUCAUAAAACACCAUUGAAGCCGAUUUUGAAGUAAAUUUCCGUCGAGAUUGAAGAUUCCCAGUUGAUUUCUUAGGAAGUUAUCAUGCGUUUCUUUAUUUCUUUCAAUUAUACCGUAUUUUUUAUUUUUCUCUUAUCGAGUAUGAACUAAUUUUCUAAAUACCUAGAGGAAAUGGACCCUAUGAUGGAUUCUGUCAUUUGAUUUUUUAUUUUACACAAUAAAUACUUAGUUUCUUAUUCUCAAUUAUGUGUGCUUUAUUCUUGGUUUGAUAUUUCUAGAGUAUUAAUCCUUGUUCGAUGUGCUUAAAUAGGUGAUUGAAUAGACACCGUUUAAGAUUAGAUCUUGCGCAAUUGAGUGAAGUAGCAUUCAAUCCUAUAAAUAGGAUGACAUAAAUUUACCGGAUUAGAGUCAAAUCUAAUGGGAAAAUCCAUAGCAUGAGUUAAUGCAAUAAUAGGGGUUUUAAUUAGAAAAAAAUUCAAUUAAUCAACCUAGAGUCAGUUGCUUUUAUACUUGAAAGAGAUAUUAGCAUAAUUUAGGGAUUUCUACGGAUCAAGGUGUUAAGUAAAGAAAUUGUGUAAUUUAGAUUGCUAGUGACAGAUGAAAUCUAGGCAGAUUCUUUCUUAUGUAUUGUUUGAUUUCUUGGUUGUUAUUUGAUUAUUUUUGCGAUUUGUUCUUUGUUGUGUUCAUUAGUUAAUAAAAUUAGUUAAUUUUAGUUUUAAUCAAUCAUUUGAAUUAUUAGAUUAAAUAAUCGAAAGACAGUAAUUACUAAUACUCGUAGUCCUCAUAGGAACAAUAUCUUUGUUCACUGCUAUAUUAUUAAUUGAUAGGUACACUUGCCUUAAUUAAAUUUUUAGCUAGUUUUGUUGACACCAAAAAAUCUUUUUCAUAAUUUUUGAAACUUUUUUAUAAUGUUUGUAAAUUUUUUUCUUUUAAUUUUUUUUCUAUUUUUUUUAAUUUUAUUUUUAAAAAAUAUUAAAAAAAACCAUUCAAAGUUUUUAAAAAUUACUAUAGAUAUUUAUAUAUCCAUAUUGUUCCAUUUUUUUUCUAUAUUUUUAAUGAUUUUCCUUCUCUUUUUGAAUUUUCACUAUAUUUGUAUUUUAUGUUUUUUAGAAAGAAAAGUAUUUUGUUUAAGUUCCGGAAAAGUUUUAAAAUUUGUCUUAUUUUUUAUUUUCUUGAGAUAUUUCCUCUCAUUUUUUUGCCAUUUUUUUUAAUUUUUUGGUUUUUUUUUGCAUUUAUUUAAGAAAAACAUAAAUUUGGGUGACGUAACGUGCCACAUAUUUUUUUUCUAACAACAGUAAGAGUUGAAAUAAAAAUAUCUAAUGUUUGGAAAUUUCAGAUAUCAAACUGAUAAAAGAAUUUCUUUAAACACCAAAGUGAUAAUUGAAUCAUCAAUACCACAUUAACCCUUUAUUAUAUUAAAAUUCUCAUUCUGUUUUCAUAUUUAAUGGCACUGAUUAACGUUACAUUUUAUUAAAAAAAAUUCAACCAACACAAUUUAUUUUGAAUUUAAUAAAAACAAAUUCUUAAAGUAAUAAUUAAAUAAAAUUUAAUCAAUGCCUAUAACCACAGUCAACACGUUUCAUUAUCCCGUCUAAAUAUUGAAGUAAGCAUUAUUGAAGAAAAGCAAAUAAAUAAAGUAGAAGACAAACUGAUACAAUUUCUGAAGUCAUCAAUGGGAAAUUUACUAAGAACUUCUGGGAUACUUAUUUUGACCGGUACCAAUUCAAUGAAAAUUACUAACAAUAUUGGAUAUAACUCCAACUAAAAAAAUGAGAAUAGUAGAGUUCUUACGCUUCAAGUUCAGUCUAUAAAUAGCAUCUUAGUUCUCUAUCAUCUCACUCCUCAAUCACUCUAUCAUCCACUUCUCCUCUUUGAACUCCAAGUCUGAAUUAACAUUAAAAUCAUGGGUGUUUUCAGUUAUGACCAUGAAACUACCUCCCCAGUCGCCCCAGCUAGGCUUUUCAAGGCUUUUACUGUUGAAGCCCCAAAGGUUUGGCCCGCGGCUGCUCCUAAUGCAGUCAAGAGUAUUGAGGUUGAAGCUAAUCCUAGCUCCGGAAGUAUCGUAAAAAUCAACUUUGUUGAAGGUUAGUUCUUUCAUUUUCACUUUCGUUGGCAUUUUUUAAUGUGUUUUACACGAGUAUGUUGGAUAACAAGUAUUUAUUUCUUUAGGCUUUCCAUUCCAAUAUAUGAAGCACCAGAUUGGAAGACAUGAUGAAAAUAAUUUUUCAUACAGUUACAGUUUAAUUGAAGGUGGGCCUUUGGGGGAUAAGCUUGAAAAGAUUAGCUAUGAGAACAAGUUUGAGGCAGCUGCAGGUGGAGGAAGUAUUUGCAAGAGCUCAAUGAAAUUCUACACUGUUGGAGAUAAUGU
rnacentral:lncRNA from 1 species